rnacentral:lncRNA from 1 species
UGGGGCCUACCUUAGAGGCAAGGUUCUAUACACUGGAGUACUUUUGAUGUGUCCCGUCAACUCGCAGAAUGAGGAGAAGCUUGCUUAGUACGCCUUCUCCCCCGCCCAUGGGCGCGGUGGCUCGUAGGAUGAGGUGAAGCUUGCUCCGCCUUACACCCGCUCCCUCGCCCAUGCGCGCGGUGGCUCGCAGGACGAGGAGAAAAAUUGGCUACUCCCUCCAUUUACUCCUCGUCCCUACUACCUUGGUUAUAGAGAUUAUAUCAUACUGUUUGGAAUAUAUAUGUCCUUUAGUAGAUUUCAAUAUGAACUACUAGUACAUACUCCAAACACUGAUGUAUAUAGACGUAUUUUAGAGUGUAGAUUCACUCAUUUUGCUCUAUAUGUAGCACUCUCCCUCGCCCCUCAACCCUCGCCCACGUGGUGGAGGUGCAGCAAUUUAUUCAGUCUCAUAUAGCCAAAAUGAUAUAUACUGCACUACCAUUAUUGCUCAAUUUCCCGAAGAGGCGAAGAGCCAAUCGCAAGGUUAAUAUUUUGGAGAUGCCAAGUGCAAGGUUAUAGGAGAACGAGUAGUAGGUGCCGCAUCAUUUAUAAAUAAAGUUUUUUUUCUUCAGUGGCACGUACGCAAUAUGAUAGGUUCAUAUGGAGAGAAAAGGAAACCGCUCCACUAUAUAUAUAGUCAGGACGGGCUAUCCUACACGGUUGCUUGCUGGGGUUGCUCUCUUCACACUCUCUCGCACAAAACGACUGUGGUCACAUCUCUAACAUCCCGGCGGAUCACCUCCGCUUGGGGAAGGGGUGGAUGCUUAGUGUAGAUGCGGUGGCCGUCGCCGACGGCGAAAACCCACUGUCGGCACGUCCCGAUCAGGGGUCCCCGUCAUUCUCUCUCACAAAGCCGGUGAGGUUGCCUUCGUCCCUUGCUCAUUGCCGCGAUGUGGGCAGUUGCCGCCUCCCGCCGCCCUCCUCAAGGUUGAGCUACGUGCCUCAGGUACAACUCCCUUUACAGCCGGCUUGCACCACUGCUCCAGCUGCCCACAUCACUCCAUGUGGAUAUUUCUCUACUUCUUUGCCCCGCACAUACCUCUACUGGCUUCUACAUACUAUAUUUGUGAUGAGUUUAUGUCUCAUCAACUAGUCCCAGUAAUCUUAUUCUAAUCACGCUUCUUCAAUUUCUUUGCCACAGGGAUGCUCAUCUCGAUUUUGGUGAAACUGCACAAAAUGAUCCGAUGGUCAAAAGGUUGCAAACUUCAUUUAUUAGGAAGCUCGAACGUUGCCAGCAAAUUGAAGCUUGGUCAGGGUUCACGGUUCAAGGACUAGUGGAUCGUUUUUUUCUUUAGCUGUCUCUGUUCCAAAAUAAGUGUCAACUUUAGUAGUAGUACAACUUUGUACUAAAGUUUGCACAAAGUUGAGACACUUAUUUUGGAACGGAGGGAGUACAUAUCUGCUAUGAUCUGUCAAUCAUUGAGAUGCAAUAGCAUGCAUGUUAGUCUCCUUUGUAUUUGAUGAAAUGUUGCAACGGGCAACCUUGGACGCAAGAUACAUGUAACAGAAGCUGGAAGCUUCAUAGCAUUGUACAAAUUUAUCUCGCUGAUAAAUUACAGUACGUACUAUACUAGUACUUCCUCUGUUCCUAAAUAUAAGUCUUUGUACAGAUUUCACCAUGAACCACAUGCGGAUGUAUAUAGAUGCAUUUUAAGUGUAGAUUCAUUCAUUUUGUUCCGUAUGUAGUGGAAUCUCUACAAAGACUUAUCUACUAGUAAUAUCUAGCCCCCACUACUAGGAAUUCUCUAUCCUCUCCUUGAGCCACAUCAUCAAAAUUGAUGUAGCCGUUAGAUGAAGUAAAUCAGUCCAUAAUAGCCGUCUGAUCUAGACGUUGAGAGGCUCCGCACUAAGCCACAUGCAAGCAUGCAGAAAUACCGUGGCACAUGCAUGUGAGUGGGUUUUAAAUCACAUCAACAUGUCUGCAUGCAAGCAUGCACCGGUAGCAUGCAUGUAAGUGAGCUUUUAAGUCCCAUUAACAUGUCAAAAAGAAAAAUAUAAUCACAUUAUGCAGUAGGAGUUGGCUGAUCUUUUUUCCUUACGUGGGAUGAUCUAAAUGAUGAUGGGAGUUUAUUUAGUUUGGCUACCACAUUUGUCAUGCGGUUAUAGAGUUUUUUUUAGUUCUAUGAAAUCGAUAAUUUUGUGCAGAGAGAUAUACCGCUGUUCCGCAGCAACGCGUGGGGACUCAUCUAGUAAUAUUUAGGAACGGAGGGAGUACUAUGUAAAGAGUUAGGUGUCGCACGGUGAUAGUGUGAGGUGGGCCAUGUAACCACUGAGCAUGCGUGUUUUCGCUGCUCUUGCACGCCUCCGCUGUAAGAAUGGAGAAAAUUGUAAUCUAGUAGUAGUACCUCCUUUCGCCAAAAGCGUGGGACAUCCAGCAGUCCUACCACCUCAGUAAUAAAGACCAAUGAGCCGUCAAAUCACAUAGACCCAGCAGUAAGUUGGACGGACGAAGCAACCAUCACUCUUGCGCCAGUGAGAGGUCGCGUCCGCUCUGCCUGGGCAUGAAUGCGGCACCGAUUCUUUGGAGCGGCGUUGACCGUUUCGGGCGGGAAGUGCGCGCAGGAGAUGGAGGGGCUUUGGGUGGGCCAGGCUGGUCAGGAGCGGGCGUGGCAGCUUUCCGCAUGUCCCUAUCGGACACACCUGGAAACGAGAGGAUGCACCGACUCUCGCGGCUAAAAUCGUACACUACAGAACAUCUCUCUGUAGGAGUAGGUCGAUCUGUCGCUCUCUCUAACACACACAUGUUGUUAAACACACACACACACACACACACACACACACACACACACACACACAUGCACGCACACACCUUGGUCCCGUUGCACAUUCUAACAUGAAUUAUUACACCUAGACGGAGGGAGUAGUAAGUAUAUGAGAUACGGUGGCACACUGACUUAAGUCGAAUAUAAGUGCCCAAAAUUUGUGUGCAUGUUAUAAUAAGGAUUCACUUAAAAUAGUAUGUGAGCGAACAGAGGGAUCAAUUGGACAGUGUUCCCGAGCAGUAGCGAGAUGUGUGAGGUAAGAAACACCGCUGGCGCUUUUAAUUUUUCUUAUUAAUUUGUUUGUUUCACCCUCUGACUGGUGGGACCCAACGUACUACAUGGAGAGAGGUAAGGUGACUAAGGCUGCAUUAUUUCUGCACCACCGUGGAUAUUCUUACCAUCAAAGCCACAUGACACGAUUAUGAUUGAAAUCCCAAUGACUCCCACACACACACACACACACACACACACACAAAAAUACGGCAUGUUUGUCACACGAAUGCAGGAAUGUAUAAAAGGUUAUUUCCCUCUCGUUGAACAUAACAGGAGGGUUGUGUAGCUGGUUAGCCUGUUCGCUCAUCAAACUUGAGGUCUCGGGUUCGAUAACUACACUUGAGCAUAAUUUGUGCCAGGAGGAUUCUUUAACUGGUCAAAAUGUUUUCUAGGGUUUGCACGCUUCACACUCUCUCCCCAGUAUAUAUAUACAUGCUGGAGCCUCAGUGCUUGUAGUUGCUCUCUUCACACUCUCUCGCCCUCUCCCGCUGGAGCCUCGGCGCUUGUAGUUGCUCUCUUCACACUCUCUCGCCCUCUCCAGAUCUAAACAAGACUUUGUUGGCCUCUCUCUCCCCUUACUGCUGCUCAAAGAGCCGGCAGGAUCCGUCCGUCGGGAAGGGAAGGAGGCUUAACGCUGUCACCAUCGGUGAGGGACUACCGGCGCAGCUGUUCACUUUCCACCCAGCGGCAGAGCGGGAGGGCCUCCGACCCCUUCUUCUUUGCCGCCGUCCCGUCGCCCACCGAACCACGCCCCAAGAACCUUAAGGUAUAAUUUACUUACUCCACAUGCAUUGCUCUAGCUGCAUGUAUACCAUGAAUCUAGGGCGUGGUUCAAAGGGGAAAGGAGUGGGGAAAAGUUGUGGGAAAAGUUGUAUAUAGCAUGAAUCUAGGACGUGGUUCAAAGAGGAAAUGAAGGGGGAAAGUUGUAUAGCAUGAAUCUAGGCUGUGGUUCAAAGAGGAAAGGAAUGGGGGAAAGUAGUGGGGAACGUUGUAUCACAUAAAUCUAGGACGUGGUUCAAAGAGGAAUGGAAGGGGCGAAAGUACUAGUUCAAAAAGGAAAGGAAGGGACAAGGCUAUAGAGUUUGAGCAGGACUAGAUUUGCUGCGCUCACAUAGGGAAGGGUGUCUAAAGAUAACAAAACUGGGACCAACACAAAUAUGCUCCUUGGUUGUUUGUUCUUUGUUACAACAGACUGUGCAUGACCACAGUACAUCGGUAGAUGCACAUGGUGCUGGUGCGUCCACUGUCCCGUGCAACUCAUUAGCUGUUGUUAAUCUAAGGCCCUGUUUGGUUAAAAACUCCCUAGUCCCUACCUGCUUGGUUCCAGGGACUAAACAUGGACUAGAGGUUAUUAAAUGACAUGCUAAAAGACCAUGUUACCCCUAGUAAUGAACUAAUAGAGACAAGGUGCGAUGCGUGGCAGGGGCAACUAUUGGAAAAAGUCUCCAAAAGACUCCCUUGUGGUCUUCUUUCUUUAGUCCCAAAUGCCCACUUUUAGUCCCUAAAAGUCCCUCCUGUUUGGUUUAGAUGGGACUGACACGGAGUCUUUUUAGUACCUACACCAAAAUGUCCCUGUAAACAAACACCCUCUAAUAAUGCCGCUGGAAAAUUGAUGCAAUGCCACAGUUAAAAGCAAAUUACAUGUUUAACGAAUUUUAUUGUUAAUAUAAUCUCUAUAUUAAUAUUAAUCAAUGCCACCGUUUGAGAAAUGCUACUGUCUUGCUUUCUUUCCCAUUUAGAUAAGGUAGAUGCUUCUUUUUGUUGGCUUCUGUGUCAUAACGUUAUUGACCACUAAUUGUUUCCUUUGCACCUCUAUGUAAACAGGGUUAUCUACUUCACCUCAUUGCCAUUGUGACCUUUUGUUGCACUGCACAAAACACUUUUGUUUUAAGAGUGUUUUGUGCAGUUCAACCAAAAUGUCACACCGACAACGUUGCUUGAUUGCUUGAUCUUAGUGGAACUGCACAAGAGGAGAUCUUACUUCAUAUCCACUAAGGCAAAUUUGGUUCAGAUCUUCUUCUUGUGAGUUGUUUGAAUUCCGCAUCAUGAGAGGUCAAUACUAGCCUUCUUUCACAUGAUUUUGUAGUGUGCUUUCUUAUGUUGUGCUACUUGUACGAUAAUGUUGCUUGAUUUUAGUGAACUGCACAAAUGGAGACAAGACUUCCAAUCUAUUUGUGCACCGUGAUAUCCCAUUGAGGUAAGAUAAGGAUAUUUCACAACUGCUGGCCUGUAUUUUGCCACUUUCAUCAGAAAAUUAAGUUUAGUACUAUACUUGUGCUGCCUAAUUGACAUGCCAAAUCUCACAUUGAAGGCGAAGCUUGUCUGUUAUCGAACCAAGUGAUGAAGGGGAAGAACAAGUGGAAGAAAAACAAAAAUCAACUCUCGGUGCUGUAAUGAAGCACUGGAACUGUGAUGACACAAGUAAUGAUAUAGUUUUGCAUCUUAAUUUAUUGCUAUGGCUGGAACGAGCAAUUGUUUUGCCACUGAUUUGAUGCCACUCUUAAUGUAAUAUGUAAUUAUCUCUACUUGUGCAAAUAGGGAUAUUCUUUGAAGAUACCAUAUAUUUUAGUGGAACUGCACAAGAAGAUGUUGGAAACAUUAAACUAAUCGAGGACUAUAUAGUAAGCAUGGCCACCACCGUAGAUAGCAACAGAUGGUUCCGGAGAAGUGCUUCAUCUGUAUGCUCUACACAAUAAGCCUCCUGACAAAGGUUGGUACUCGCCCAUUGAUUUCAUCCAUACGAUUGAGCUUUGUCAUCUCUAUUGGUGUUGUGCUACUGUUUAGAUACUAUCAUGAAAAAGUGGUAUUGUCCUUGAGAAGUGCUUCAUCUGUGCUGUUUUAAAUAUUUCCUUUCCUUUUUUCGAGCAAACAGGGAUGCUAGCAUUUAGUAGUCCUCUUGUCUUUGCACAACAGGAUCAUCUUCCUCUGAAGAAGAAUAUGGAGUACGUGAAGUGACUAGUUACGAUUAUGCCAGGAUGAAGAAGCCAUGUCUAUCUUCUCAUCAGAAGGAGCAGUUGAAGGAUGGUUACAUUACUCCCCACAAGACCAAACUAACUUCAGCUUAGAAGGACUGACAAAUCUCCAUUUUUUUGCUGUGAUGCGCGAGUACAAUGUUGUUCUAGGAUUCUUUCUGGUGAGUUCCAUUUUUCUAAAAGUGUGCUCUACAUGGACCAUGUAUGUGCCUGUUGAAACUGUCAAUUCAUAGUAUGGUCUGCUUUAUACUAAUCACUUUUUGUAUUUGUGCAAACAGGGGUGCUCAGCUUGAUUUCAAUGGGAACUGCACAAAAUAUUCAUGAAUACAUCGAAUCAUUCAUUUCCACCACAAGAAAGCAGGUGCCGAUAAGUUCAAGGCGUUGCAACAUAUAAGGGCGAAAUCAUACAAGCUAUGCGCGAAUUUGGUUGAUUUUGGUGGAACUGCACAAAAAGAACAGCUGGUUUAUUUAGCACGAGGUGCCAUGUCACUGUCCGAACUGAUGGCAAACCCUGCCCAUUCCACAAUCGUAGGCAUUUGAUAUUUUGGAAUGGGACAACCUUGUCAAAUUUUGCUCAUUGAUUUUAGCAAGACAUGCGUUUGAUAUUUUCGAAUCGGACGCCCUUUGCUGUCAGCAACGUCGAUCAAUUUUUUCUUUAUUCUUUAGUUGUGAAGUAAAUAUUGCCUCUGACAUGUGAGUCACUGAGAUGCAUAAUCAUCGAUUGUUUUGAAUGUUCUCUAUGAAUUGCCAGGCCUGUGUGUUUGAUUGCAAUGUACAGAAAUGCUAAAAAGCUGCUCAAACUCUUUGUACUCCUUCUGUUCCUUUUUACUUCACACAUUGUGAAAGUGCAUACUUUUUUGUAUAAGAUUGGUCAAAGUAGAGAUACUUUGACGGCAGACAAAACUUGUAUGCAGACUAGAAAGGACCGGAGGGAGUACAUGUGAAACUGCUGCAAACGAGGUGAUCACCCUGGGAAUAAUGCUAGUACAUAUUGUUUUGCAAGUUCAUCCAAUGCCAGUGAUACAGGAAUUCGAACUAAUCGAAAUAAAUUCUUUCAUACACGGUCGGAUUUCAUAUAAACAUGCCGGAUUUCAUUACAUUUCAUACAUUCUUCAACUAAAAAGGGGUGCGCUGGAGGUAUAAUUAAUUAACCGAAGCUACCCACCUGUGUCCCACUGAGCCGAACAGAAGCUUUAGUGACUUAACUGCGGGUGCAGUUGCAUAACUGACAUGUGGCCUGUUGGGCCCACAUGUCAGUCAGCCAACUGCACCAGCAGUUAAGUAGAAGCAGCGUUCUUCUCCGGCGCAGCUCUCCGACUCCACGUCGCCGCCAAGAAGCUAACCGGCCGUCAAUGGCCAACCCGCCUAGCUUGGCUUCAACUGGAGGGUAGCAGCGGUGGCCUUACUUGGACCCGAGCAGCGGCGACCUACCGUGUUCUACUCUUCCUUGUUUUCUGUGUGGCGUGGCCUCGUUGGCAGCGGGGCGGGGCCUCGGCGGAGCCGACGAUGUCCUCUAUCUCGUUGCCGGCGGGCGGCGCCUCAGCGGAGCGGUGGAAAUCCUCCCCCACGUUGCUGGCAGGGUGGGGCCUCGGCUAAGCCGGCGAUGUCCUCUGCCUCGUUGUUGGCGGGGCGGGGCCUCGGCGGAGCCGGCGGUGUCCUCUGCCUCGUUGUUGGCAUCGCGGGGCCUCUACGGAGCAGGGCCUCGUUGAUGCCAGUGGAGCGGGGACUCGUCGGAGCCGGCAUUGUCCUCUGCCUCGUCCUCGGUCUCGCCAAACAGCACCUUGCCCGCUUCAUCGCCCUCUUUGCUAGCCUCUUCAUAGUCGGCCGCAGCCUCCGCCACCCGCAUGCGGUACCGCCAGCACUCGAGGCGGCCCUUGCGGGCGGAGCGGUACGAGUCAAGCAGCGCCUCCUGCUCCACCCGCUCCUCGGUGGUUGUAGACAGCGUCGGCCUGCGCCUCCUAGAACUGCUCCUCACGCAUCUGCCUCACCCUGUCCAUAUAUUGGGCACAGGCCUCACUGAUGGUCAUGGUGCAAUGCACUGGCGAGGAUGGUGCGGAGGAGGGGGUUGGCGCCGGAUCGUCCACUACCAUGUUCUCCAUUGGGACAUCGUCGUCCUCCGGCUGCCUGCCGACCAGCCGGUUAGCAGCAAUGGCUGCCAUCUCCUUAUGGUCCAUCGCCCGCUCGUCCUGAAGAGCGCUGGAGCGCGAGGAAGCCAUGGUGGGCAGUAGUGGCGUGGACAGGAGAAAGGGAACGGAUGCGGAUGACUGCGGCUAUGGCCGGCGUAGCAGUUUAUAUAGCAAUGGCGGGCGGGCGGAGGGACGGACGUGUGGCGUCGGAGUAGCCACCUCGGCAACCGCGUAUCAUUAAUGUGGGCGGCAAAUGGACGGACGGACGGCACUUGUGUCGUUUGAAGGCAGAGCAAUCGCCUGCACUGGGAAGCGAGGCGGGCAGCGCUGACUGUUUCAGGCAGAAAGCGCGCGCGGGCGAGGAGAUGACUUUACUUGGAGAGAAUGACAAUGGGGACCCACCAGGUCCAUAGCCUCACGUACGCAAGUGCCUCCUUAUUUUAUAUAUAUAUAUAUAUAUAUAUAUAUAUAUAUAUAACUACAAUUUAUUUUGCUUCCUCCUGGUUUCCUGACAUCACGGUCCCACACCAUUGUCAACCUAUGUAGUAGUCAAUAAACGAGAAAAUUGCACAAGAAGCGGCCGACAGCUGGGACCAAGCAUCUCGAACAAUAUUUGUGUUUGUGAGGUGUGAGCACUGCAGAGUUUUUCGAUGUUUAGCCCAGAUAUUAUUUUUUCUCCUCUGAACAACAACGAAAACAUCGCUGCAGGUAUUAACUGGGCGGGCUGUGGCCCAUCUAGCCCAGGCCAGAUAUCCAGCCCAGAUAUUAAUUUUUUUCAAGCUGAAAAUGGCUAGCCCAGCUAUUCUUUUUUUAGGAAUACCCAGGCAAGGUCAAGUUGUUAUUCUCUGCCCUGCUAGGCUGCAAAUCUUUCCUAGGAGGGAUGCAUUUGGCUUAACAAGAAAAUGGGCUUUAAGAAAUAAUAAAUGGGAUGUAACUAUAAAAACUGGGCAGUAACUAUAAAAAAUGCACCAAACACGUGAUUACUUUACAAAAUAUUAUUUUUGGAUAUUGAGAAUUUUAAUUUCAUUAAUUGUUGCGAGCACAAUGUUUCGUUGGAUUUUUACGUAAUAUAAAUUUAUAUUGAAAUUGUAUUUAAUCUGACUAGAAAUUUUGGGAUAAAAAUAUUUCGAAUCCCAUCAAAAUGUGGGAAAUUUUAUUGAAUUCUAUUUUGAACGGUUGGUUGAAAUGGGCUGUACUUUUAACAAACUGUAAAUGGGCUAUAGUAAAUUCCAUUAGAAUUCAAAAAUGGGCUACACAUUCUUACAAAUCUCAAAUGGGCUAUAAGUUCUCUGCCACACACUUCUGGCCUUACUAAGUUGACGUGUCCCCUAAAAAAAUAGAGUUGACGCGUAUGCAAGGCUUUGUCAACUUAUAGUCAACACACGGUUCUAGCAGCAGUGGCCGUUGGAUGUCCAUCCAACGUAUGCCAUGCUUCUUCUUCAACCUCGGAUAUUCUAGAUUCACCCGCCCAAAAAAUGAUUCCUCCCGCUGACAUCUGGGGCGCACCGUUUCGAAAGCUGACCUGUGGGCCUAGUAAGUUGACGUACCAAGGGCUUUGUCAACUUAGUCAAUAUAAACGAUUCUAGCUGCAGUGACCGUACGAUGUCCAUCCAACGGCCGUGGUGCUUUUUCAACCCUGGUCUUCUUGCUCCAGCCGUCCAAAGCAGCGCCGGUCGUGCCGCCUGCUCCUGCCUCUCGUGGCCGGCUGUGCUCCCGCGGAGGCCUCACCUCCCCCUACUACUCCCACCGCUGGCCAGGCCAUCCCUCCACUCACCCACACCCCUUGUUAUUCUGCGGCGACAGCAGCGCAACUGAACCAGUGAACUCUCGUACUCCUCUCCGCGUGUGCAUCCACUGUCGCGUCUUCCCCAGCUCCGCAUCGUCCCCUUCCUAGGCCUCACCGUCGUCCACCGCCCUGGUGCUCUCGGCGCAGCGUGGUCAACGUGGUCAAGGAACGACUUCCAUCGGACGUGGACUGUAUGUGGAGAGGCUGAUAGCUGGGUCCACGACAGCCGCAAGGAAGUGCCUCCUUAUUACGUGAAAAAUAAUUUUUCCUCCACCUGACAGCGGGGACCCACCGGACGGGCCACCAUAUUUCGCGAAAAAAAUGAUUUGCCCCCUGACUGUUGGGACCCACGAGCUACAUCUUCGCACGCAAGGAAGUGCGUCCCGGAAAAAAAUGAUUCGCCCCCGACUACUGGGACCCACCAGCUACACCUUCGCACGCAAGGAAGUGCGUUCGGGCAAAAAAAUGAUUUGCCCCCCUGACUGCUGGGACCCAGCAGCUACACCUUCGCAUGCAAGGAAGUGCGUCCGGAAAAAAAAACCGAUUCGCCCCCCUAACUGCUGGGACCCACAAGCUAAAUCUUCGCAGGCAAGGAAGUGCCUGACAGUCGGGACCCACCUGGUCGAAGCGUACGUAGCGUUGUCAUUCUGGUCGCGAACGUGUACGUACAUACUGGUCGAUAUAGAGGCGUGCACGUGUCGUAGUAGAGGCGCGCACGUGUCGUAGUAGAGGCGUGCACGUGUCGUAGUAGAGGCUCGCACGUAGCAUGUACACGUACGUACAGCGGCCAGGGUGCAAGAAAGAAAAUACGGCCACGUAUGUGUACAUACGGGCGGGCUCUCGAACGCCUACUCGCGCAUAUGUACGGCCAAGGCUCGUGUACAUGGCUAGGUCAGAACGAAGAAACAGCAUCGCCAUCGUGUUCAUGGGGAGGCAACGAAAUGCGUCAUGUUCAUGGGGAGGCAACGGAAUGCUCGUGUUCAUGGGGAGGCAACAGAAUGCGUCGUGUUCAUUGGGAGGCAACGGGCGUCGUAUUCAUCGGGAGGCAACGGAAUGCGUCGUGUUCAUCGGGAGGCAACGGAAUGCGUCGUGUUCAUCGGGAGGCAAUAGAACGCGUGGGAGCCAACCAGCUGGGUCAGAACGGAAUGUGUGGUUGUGUUCAUCGGGAGGGCUUGGACGGAACAGGCGAUGGAAACAAGGCCUGGCGUACUGCAGAACGGAGGAAACAGACCUCCUACGGUUGAAACAAGGGUCCUGUUGAUCAAGAGGGGUGUGGCGUACCGCAAAAUGGAGGAAACGGACCUCCUACGGUCGAAACGGGGGUCAUGUUGAUCAGGAGGGGUGUGGCGUACCGCAAAACGGACGAAACGGACCUCCUACGGUCAAAACGGGGGUCCUGUUCAUCGGGAGGGGUGUGCCGUACCGCAAAACAGGACUCCACGGGAUACUGUUCAUCUCCACCGUCGACCUCCUCCAGCCUCCACGGCCUGCCGUCGACCUCCUCCAGCCUCCACGGGCUCCUGGUCAUCUAGCCUCCACCGCGCGCUACUCCAUCGGCUACUGUUCAACCACCCCUCCACCAUGUACUGUUCAUCCAGCCCUCCACACCAUGGGGUCCUGUUCAACCACACCUCCGCGGGCACCCCUCCACCGUCUACUGUUCAUCCAGCCCUCCACACCACGGGGUCCUGUUCAUCCAGAGGCAAUGCCACCGCUCACUAUUCAUCCAAAACCCCCCGCAACGCUCACUGUUCAUCCCAGACGCAACAUCGAUCGACUUCAGUUAGCAGCAGUAGCGAAGGAAUCGCUCGAUCGGGUUCAGUUAAUAGCCAUCGAUCGAUCGCUCAGGUUUAGUGACGCGUAGCCUGCAGUGCAAUCGCUCGGGUUCAGUUAGAGCCCAAUGCCUCGCUCGGGUUCUGUUAGAGCCAACGCCUCGCACACACGCGCGUACGUGUACGAGAGAAACGCACAUCGCUCAGCACCUGACCUCCCACCGUAACCGGGAACUCCCCGAAAUUUUCCUAGCCCUCGCUUCUACCAUGGUUUUUUCUGUCAUGGACGGCCCAAAGAAUGUCAUGCAGCUGCGUCUCUGGCCCGCCCAGGACGAAAAGCCCAUUUUCUGUCAUGAUUUUUUGUCAUAGAAGUAGGAUCCCACCACAUCUACGAUGAUACCGGGUUUUGUCACAAUUAUCAUCAUAGAAGUGUCAUAUUUAUGACAGAAAAAAAAUUCGUUCGGCCCAAAAUGUCAUGGAUGUGUGUUUUUUUUGUAGUGCUAAUACCCAAAGGGUUUACUAGAGUCAAUAAUCUAGUUCACAUCGCUAUGUGAUUAACACCUAAAGAGUGAUUAUGUUUUGCUUGUGAGAGAAGUUUAGCCUACGAGUCUGCAACAUUCAGAUCCGUAUGUAUUUUGCAAAUUUCUAUGUCUACAAUACUCUGCACGGAGCUACUCUAGCUAAUUGCUCCCACUUUCAAUAUGUAUCUAGAUCGAGACUUAGAGUCAUGCAUCUAGAUCGGUGCCAAAAGAUUGCAUCGACGUAACUCUUUACGACGAACUCUUUUAUCACCUCCAUAACCGAGAAAUAUUUCCUUAGUCCUCUAAGGAUAAUUCUGACCGCUGUCCAAUGAUCUACUCCUAGAUCACUAUUGUACUCCCUUUCCAAAAUCAUGCUAAGGUAUACAAUAGGUCUGGUACAGCAUAGCAUACUUUAUAGGACCUAUGACUAAGGCAUAGGGAAUGACUUUUCAUUCUCUUUCUAUUUUCUGCCAUGGUCGGGUUUUGAGUCUUACUCAACUUCAUACCUUGCAAAGGCAAGAACUCCUUUGACUGUUCCAUUUUGAACUACUUCAAAAUCUUGUCAAGGUAUGUUCUCAUUGAAAAUAUCUUAUCAAGCGUCUUGAUCUAUCUCUAUAGAUCUUGAUGCUCAAUAUGUAAGCAGCUUCACUGAGGUCUUUCUUUGAAAACUCCUUUCAAACACUCCUUUAUGCUUGCCAGAAAAUUCUACAUCAUUUCCGAUCAACAAUAUGUCAUUCACAUAUACUUAUCAAAAAGGUUGUAGUGCUCUCACUCACUUUCUUGUAAAUAUAGGCUUCACCGCAAGUCUGUAUUAAACCAUAUGCUUUGAUCACUUUAUCAAAGCAUAUAUUCCAACUCCGAGAUGCUUGCACCAGUCCAUAGAUGGAUCGCUGGAGCUUGCACACUUCGUUAGCACUUUUAGGAUUGACAAAACCUUCUUGUUGCAUCAUAUACAACUCUUCUUUAAGAAAUUCCAUUAAGGAAUCCAAUUUUUACAUCCAUUUGCCAGAUUUCAUAAAAUGUGGCAAUUGCUAACAUGAUUCGGACAGACUUAAGCAUCACUAUGAGUGGGAAAAUCUCAUCAUAGUCAACAUCUUGAACUUGUCAAAAACCUUUUGCGACAAUUCGAGCUUUGUAUAUAGUAAUACUACUAUCAAUGUCCGUCUUCCUCUUGAAGAUCCAUUUAUUCUGAAUGGCUGACCGAUCAUCGGGCAAGUCAAUCAAAGUCCAUACUUUGUUCUCAUACAUGGAUCCCAUCUCAGAUAUCAUGGCCUUAAGCCAUUUCGCAGAAUCUGGGCUCAUCAUCGCUUCCUCAUAGUUCGUAGGUUCUUCAUGGUCUAGUAACAUGACUUCCAGAACAGGUUUACCCUACCACUCUGGUGCGAAACUUACUCUGGUUGACCUACGAGGUUCGGUAGUAACUUGAUCUGAAGUUUCAUGAUCAUCAUCAUUAACUUUCUCGCUAAUUGGUGUAGGCAUCACUGGAACCGAUUUUUGUGAUGAACUACUUUCCAAUUCGGGAGAAGGUACAAUUACCUCAUCAAGUUCUAGUUUCCUCCCACUCACUUCUUUCGAGAGAAACUUCUUCUCUAGAAAGGAUCCACUCUUAGCAACAAAGAUCUUGCCUUCGGAUCUGUGAUAGAAGGUGUACCCAACGGUUUCUUUUGGGUAUCUUAUGAAGACGCAUUUCUCCAAUUUGGGUUCGAGCUUAUCAGGUUGAAACUUUUUCACAUAAGCAUCAUAACCCCAAACUUUAAGAAACGACAGCUUAGGUUUCUUGCUAAACCACAGUUCAUAUGGUGUCGUCUCAGUGGAUUUAGAUGGUGCCCUAUUUAACGUGAAUACAGCUGUCUCUAAUGCAUCACCCCAAAAUGAGUAAUAAAUUAGUAAGAGACAUCAUAGAUCGCACCAUAUCUAAUAAAGUAAGGUUAUGACGUUUGGACACACCAUUACGUUGUGGUGUUCCAGGUGGCAUAAGUUGCGGAACUAUUCCACAUCAUUUCAAAUGAAGACCAAACUCGUAACUCAAAUAUUCGUCUCCACGAUCAGAUCGUAGAAACUUAAUUUUCUUGUGACGAUGUUUUCCACUUCACUCUGAAAUUCUUUGAACUUUUCAAAUGUUUCAUACUUAUGUUAAGUCAAGUAGAUAUACCCAUAUAUUCUCAAAUCAUCUGUGAAGGUCAGAAAAUAAUGAUACCCGCCGCGAGCCUCAACACUCAUCGGAUCGCAUACAUCAGUAUGUAUUAUUUCCAAUAAGUCAGUUGCUUGCUCCAUUGUUCCAGAGAAGGGAGUCUUAGUCAUCUUGCCCAUGAGGCAUGGUUCGCAAGCAUCAAAUGAUUCAUAAUCAAGUGAUUACAAAAGCCCAUCAGCAUGGAGUUUCUUCAAGCGCUUUAUACCAAUAUGACCUAAACGGCAGUACCACAUAUAAGUUGCACUAUAAUUAUUAACUUUGCAUCUUUUGGCUUCAAUAUUAUAAAUAUGUGUAUCACUACGAUCGAGAUUCAAUAAACCAUUUAUAUUGAGUGUAUGACCAUAAAAGGUUUUAUUCAUGUAAAUAGAACAAGAGAUAUUCUUUGACUUAAGUGAAUAACCGUAUUGCAAUAAACAUGAUCCAAUCAUAUUUAUGCUCAACGCAAACACCAAAUAACAUUUAUUUUAGGUUCAACACUAAUCCCGAAGGUAAAGGGAGUGUGCGAUGGUGAUCUUAUCAACCUUGGAAUCACUUCCAACACACAUCGUCCCCUUGCCCUCAACUAGUUUCUAUUCAUUUUGUUACUCAUGUUUCAAGUUACUAAUCAUAGCAACUGAACCAGUAUCAUAUACCCAGGGGCUAUUAUGAACACUAGUAAAGUACACAUCAAUAAUCUGUAUAUCAGAUAUACCUUUGUUCACUUUUCCAUCCUUCUUAUCUACCAAGUAUUUGGGGUAGUUCCGCUUCCAGUGACCAUUCCCUUUGUAGUAGAAGCACUCAGUUUCAGGCUUACGUCUAGCUUUGGGUUUCUUCACGGGAAUGGCUACUUGCUUGCCAUUCUUUGAAGUUCCUUUUCUUUUCCUUUGCCCCUUUUUCUUGAAACUAGUGGUCUUGUUAACCAUCAACACUUGAUGCUCUUUCUUGAAUUCUACCUUCGUCGCUUUCAGCAUCACAAAGAGCUUGGGAAUCGUUUUCGUCAUCCCUUGCAUACUAUAGUUCAUCAUGAAGUUCUAGUAACUUGGUGAUAGUGACUAGAGAACUCUGUCAAUCACUAUCUUAUCUGCCAGAUUAACUCCCACUUGAUUCAAGUGAUUGUAGUACUCAGACAUUCUGAGCACAUGCUCACUAGUUGAGCUAUUCUCCUCCAUUUUGUAGGCAAAGUACUUGUCAGAGGUCUCAAUACCUCUUGACUCGGGCAUGAGUCUGAAAUACCAAUUUCAGCUCUUGGAACAUCUUAUAUGCUUCGUGGCAUUCAAAACGGUUUUUGAAGUCCCGGUUCUAAGCCAUAAAGCAUGGUGCACUAAACUAUCAAGUAGUCAUCAUACCGAGCUUGCCAAACGUUCAUAACAUCUGCAUCUGCUCCUGCAAUAGGUCCGUCACCUAGCGGUGCAUCAAUGACAUAAUUAUUCUGUGCAGCAAUGAGGAUAAUCCUUAGAUCAUGGACCCAGUCCGCAUCAUGGCUACUAUCAUCUUUCAACUGAUUUUUCUCUAGGAACAUAUCAAAAAUAAAACACGGGAGCUAUACGCGAGGUAUUGAUCUACAACAUAGAUAUGAAAAACUACCAGGACUAAGUUCAUGAUAAAUUAAAGUUCAGUUAAUCAUAUUACUUAAGAACUCCCACUUAGAUAGACAUCUCUCUAAUCAUCUAAGUGAUCACGUGAUCCAUAUCAACUAAACCAUGUCUGGUCAUCACGUGAGAUGGAGUAGUUUUCAAUGGUGAACAUCACUAUGUUGAUCAUAUCUACUAUAUGAUUCAUGCUCGACCUCUCGGUCUCAGUGUUCUGAGGCCAUAUCUGCAUAUGCUAGGCUCUUCAAGUUUAACUCGAGUAUUUAGCUUGUGCAAAACUGGCUUGCACCUGUUGUAUGUGAACGUAGAGCUUAUCACACCCGAUCAUCACGUGGUAUCUCGGCACGACGAACUGUAGCAACAGUGCAUACUCAGGGAGAACACUUGUACCUUGAAAUUUAGUAAGGGAUCAUCUCAUAAUGCUACCGUCGUACUAAGCAAAAUAAGAUGCAUAAAAUAUAAACAUCACAUGCAAUCAAAAUAUGUGACAUGAUAUGGCCAUCAUCAUCUUGUGCCUUUGAUCUCCAUCUCCAAAGUGUCAUCAUGAUCUCCACCAUCACCGGCAUGACACCAUGAUCUCCAUCAUCUUGAUCUCUAUCAACAUGUCGUCACAUGGUCGUCUCGCCAACUAUUACUUUUGCAACUAUUGCUAUCACAUAGCGAUAAAGUAAAGCAAUUUUAUGGCGCUUGCAUAUUUGUGCAAUAAAGAGACAACCAUAAGGCUCCUGCCAGUUGCCGAUAACUUUAACAAAACAUGAUCAUCUCAUACAACAAUUUAUAUCUCAUCACGUCUUGACCAUAUCACAUCACAACAUGCCCUGCAAAAAUAUGUUAGACGUCCUCGACUUUGUUUUUGCAAGUUUUACGUGGCUGCAACGGGCUUAGCAAGAAUCGUUCUUUCCUACGCAUCAAAACCACAACGAUUUUUCAUCAAGUGUGUUGUUUUAACCUUCAACAAGGACUGGGCGUAGUCACAUUCGAUUCAACUAAAGCUGGAGAAACAGACACCCUGUAGCCACCUGUGUGUGAAGCACGUUGGUAGAACCAGUCUCAUGAACGCGGUCAUCUAAUGUCGGUCUGGGCCGCUUCAUCCAACAAUACUGCCGAAUUGAAGUAUGACAUGCUGGCAAGCAGUAUGACUAUUAUCGCCCACAACUCUUUGUGUUCUACUCAUGCAUAUAACAUCUACGCAUAGACCUGGCUCUGAUACCACUGUCCGGGAACGCAGUAUUUCAAAAAAAAUCCUACAAUCACGCAAGAUCUAUCUAGGAGAUGCAUAGCAACGAGAGGGGAAGAGUAUGUCUACGUACCCUCGUAUACCGAAAGCAGAAGCAUUAUGAAACGCAGUUGAUGUAGUCGAACGUCUUCGCGAUCCAACCGAUCAAGUAUCGAACGCACGGCACCUCCGCGAUCUGCACACGUUCAACUCGGUGAUUGAUGAGGACAUAGACCUGGGGUAGGGUAAUAGGCCUGACCUAUACGUCCUAUCCAAGGUCACUGUCUUAGAAGCAAAGAAGCUCAAGAGACGACAGGGAGGGCCCAACAAAGGUGUCGAGUGCAAUCCACUUGACCUACCAGUCACUCGGUGACUCCUCCUUCUUUGGGUCACUCGACCAGACGAUCAUUCGACCAUACAAGAAUCCAUUUGACCUGUUUGAAGACCAAGAGUCAUCGAGAACAGCAAUGGGCAAGCGUCCACUCUGUAACCUUUAAAGCCAUUAAGGCAUUUAAGGCUACCGUUACCAAUAACGCCAUCUCUUUAUGUACCUUAAACUCCUUGUAACGUGGGUUGGCUGGGGUCCUGGCGCACUCUAUAUAAGCCACCCCCUCCACUGAGACAAGGGUUCGCACCCCCAGUAAACACACAAAUACAUAAUCUAGUCGACCGCCUCCGGGCACCGAGACGUAGGGAUGUUACUUCCUCCGCGAAGGGCCUAAACUCGUAAAACUCGUGUGUGUACAACUUCACCAUAGCUAGGAUCUUGCCUCCUCAUACCUACCCCCCAUUCUACUGUCAGUCUUAGAUCCACGGCAGUUGGCGCCCACCUUGGGGCAGGUGUCUGAGAGACUUUCUGGUGGAGUUGCAAUUUUUCCGAUUCUCAUCGUCAUGGUUUCCGCCGGCGGACUGGUUGAGGGCCGCGAGAUCCGUCUCGACGCGCUCGUGUUCAUCGCCGAUGACUACGCAUGGCUCCAGGAAGCUCCACUCGACGUCGAUGUGCUCCCCGUCCAUGGGGCGACACACUUUCGCGCGUGCAUCCGCGGCGUCCUUCUCCGGCAACCGUCGACCCAGUAUCGGUCGGUUCCUAUCGUGUCAUCAUCCCCCGCCACUCACCGGCACAAGCGUUCCGGUCGGUCGCAGCUCCAGCGGUGGGUGAGGCAUGCGGUAGCCCGCCAGUCGGCCACCUCACAUGUCGCGGCAAUCGAGCCCGACGAAACUCUCUACGGCAUGUUAGACCUGUUGGCUGGCUCCGUCGAGACCGCAUCCGAAUGCGACAGCAGCGAUCCCGCGGCAGAAGUCUUGAUGGUCGACGGACCACCCAGUCCUCCUGGCUUCCCCCGCAACAACGGUGAUGAUGGCGGUGGCGAUCCAUCGCGCGUUCACGAGGAGUACCACCCCGAGCCCCUUUCUUCGCAGCGGAGGGAAGAGCUCCGCCGCCACAACAUGGAUGCACUUCACACUCCUAUCAUUGGAGAAACCCCCGAGGCCCGGGCCUUGGAGGAAGCGCGCCUGGCCAACUUGGCUGAGCGCACUCGACUGGAGAACCUGCAACAUGCACUCGAUGAGCGUGCUCGGCAGCGGAUCCCUGAAUCCAGUCGACAGUAGCUUUUUGCACCUCAAACUCAGGUAUACCGCACUCCGAUCCAAAAUCUCACAGCCGCAGCCCGAAUAGCAGAGUCAAUCCAGCCUUCCCAGUCGGAGGCAGGCAGGGGUUUGAUGCAGAUCCGAGCCUUGCUUCGAGCAGCUGGAGAAUAGAAUAUAGCAGUAUCUCAGUUGCGGAAUAGGAUUCAUAGCAAGUCUGUGGUGGCGGACACAGUCCAGUCAGCUCACAGCCCAAGAUCGCCUCCGUAGCGUGAGGGACGUGGGCACCGGGAGGAUCAGUACAGAAACCGCGAGCAAUAUGAUCGCCGACUCUACCACGAUGACCGUCGUCGAGUGCCCACGCCUCCUCCGAGGAUUGGGUCAUACGUGCCUCGGCGGCAGGAUGACAGGUGCCCCCACAGCGGAGAGCGAAGAGUACCAGUCGACCCAAGGGAGCCAGGCUGUGAUGCAAGAUCUAUUCUUGUUCAAGGUAUGGUUGACAGGAACAGAGCGCAUAGAGAAGGUCAUGACAGAGAUUAUCCGACUCGCGGCAGAGUGCACAUUUCCGGUCCCGAGUGUUUCAGCAGAGCCAUCAGGGUUGCAGUGAUUCCUCCCAACUUUAGGUUGGCAACUGGAGUCAGCAAGUUCACCAGUGAGUCUAAGCCUGACAGUUGGCUUGAAGAUUACCGAGUGGCUAUGCAAAUUGGUGGUGGCAAUGAUGAAGUGGCAAUGAAACACCUCCCUCUCAUGUUGGAAGGCUCGGCCAGGGCGUGGCCGAACCAAUUAGCACCUGGUAGCGUAUACAGUUGGGAAGAACUCGCCAGAGUGUUUGUUAGAACUUUUGAGGGUACUUGCAAGCGACCGGCAGGGUUGACAGAAUUGCAGUGUUGUGUACAGAAACCGAAUCAAACCUUGAGAGACUAUAUCCAGAGAUGGAUUACGUUACACCAUACAGUGAAGAAUGUGUCAGAUCACCAAGAAAUCUGUGCCUUCAAGGAAGGCGUUAAGUAUCAGGAGUUGAAUCUAAAAUUCGGUCGGACAGGAGAUAUGACUCUGACUCAGAUGAUGGAGAUUGCCACCAAAUACGCUAACGGCGAAGAGGAAGACCUACUCCAGAGUGGCAAGCACAAAACAGUCGCCCAGGACAUCGGUGGAGGUACUUCCAAUCGAAACAGAAGCGUAAGGCCAGCCAGUUGCUCCUGGUGAGGCCUUAGUUGUGGCUCAAGGAAAGUUUAAGGGGAAGCCCAAAGGGCCCUGGAAUCCCAAGAAAGUGAAAGAUCAAGAUAGAAAUGAUGUGUUGGAUUUGCCAUGUCACAUUCACAACAAGAAAGAUGAAGAGGGUAAUUUGAUUUAUCCCAAGCACACCACUCGACAGUGUUGACUCCUGAUCCAGCAAUUUCGAGAGAAGCAACCCAAGGAGAAGGAAAAGGAGCCGUACAAGGAUGAGGACAAGGAAGAGGAUGAUGACGGUUUUCCCAAUGUCAACUCCACUCUGAUGAUUUUUGCUGAUGUUGAGAGCAAAAGUCGAUUGAAAGUUAUCAACAGAGAAGUGAACAUGGUUGCUCCGGCAACACCAAGUUAUUUGAAGUGGUCCCAGACUGCCAUCACAUUCGACCAGUCUGACCAUCCAACACGUAUAUCCACCCCUGGGAGGCAAGCAUUGGUGGUCAACCCAGUUGUUGCAGGUACUCGACUGACUAAAGUGCUGAUGGAUGGUCGUAGCGGCCUAAAUAUCCUUUAUGCUGAAACCUUGAAGGGAAUGGGGAUUCCGAUGUCCAAGCUCAGCGAAAGUAAUAUGAGUUUCCAUGGCGUUAUACCCGGCAAGAAGGCUGAAUCACUCGGCCAGAUCGCCCUUGAUGUGGUUUUCGGUGAUUCCAAGAAUUACUGCAAAGAAAAGUUGACAUUUGAAGUAGUGGAUUUCAAGAGUGCUUAUCAUGCCAUUCUGGGUAGGCCUGCCUAUGCACGUUUCAUGGCUCGACUGUGUUACGUAUACCUCAAAUUGAAAAUGCCUGGUCCCAGAGGAGUGAUCACUAUCACUGGCAAUCGGCAGAAAGCAAAAGAAUGCUUCCAAAAGGGCUCAAAAAUUGCCGAUGCACAAAUGGCGGCAGUCAAAAUGCAAGAAUGCCAGAAAAAUGCAGAUCCGAGUGAUUUGUUGCGCUCCAAGAAGCCUGCCACUAAUUCUGCAUUUCAGUCAUCUGAUGAAACCAAGCUGAUUCAUAUUCACCCGACCGAUCCUAAUGCUGCUCCUACUCAUAUUUCAACUUCACUCGAUGGCAAAUAGGAAGAAGCGCUCAUCCAGUUCCUCUGUGAGAACUGGGACAUCUUUGCAUGGAAACCUUCUGACAUGCCGGGUGUACCCAGGGGACUGGCUGAGCAUCAUUUGCGAGUCGACCCGAAAGUAAAACCAGUCAAAGAACAUCUUCGACGGUCCGCCAUACAGAAGAGAAAAGCAAUUGGUGAGGAAGUGGCUCGGCUCCUGGCAGCUGAGUUCAUCCGUGAGAUUUACCACUCUGAGUGGCUCGCCAAUGUUGUUAUGGUCCCCAAGAAGGACGACUCACCUCGCAUGUGCAUUGACUUCAAGCAUAUCAAUUGGGCCUGCACGAAAGAUCAUUUUUCUCUCCCUCGCAUCGACCAAAUUGUCGAUUCGACUGCGGGGUGUGAGUGUUUGUCUUUCCUAGACACCUAUUUCGGGUACCAUCAGAUCUGACUGUAUGCACCCGAUGAGAUAAAAACAGCUUUCAUCACUCCAUUCGGGUGCUUUUGUUAUGUCACCAUGCCAUUCGGUCUCAAGAAUGCUGGGGCCACAUUCAUGAGGAUGAUUCUGAAGUGUCUGCUCACUCAAAUCAGUCGGAAUGUGGAAGCAUACAUGGAUGACAUUGUGGUCAAGUCGCGCAAAGGUUCCAACCUGCUGACUGACCUUGCUGAAACUUUUGCCAACCUGAGAAGAUAUGAUAUCAAGCUUAACCCAUCAAAGUGUACUUUUGGAGUUCCUGGCGGAAAGUUACUCGGCUUCCUCGUUUUCGAACAAGGGAUCGACGUGAACCCAGAGAAAGUUGGUGCCAUACUCCGAAUGAAGCGCCUUGUGCGCGUGCAUGAUGUCCAGAAGCUUACUGGUUGUUUGGCCGCCUUGAGUCGGUUCAUUUCUUGCCUCGGUGAAAAGGCAUUGCCUCUUUACUAACUGAUGAAGAAAUCUGACAAGUUCGAGUGGACUCCUGAAGCUGAUGCAGCGUUUGUAGAUCUCAAAGCCCUGCUUUCCACCCAGCCGGUGCUCACUGCCCCAAUCAGCAAAGAGCCUUUACUGCUUUACAUUGCAGCCACUGGACAAGUUGUUAGUACAGUACUCACGGUCGAGCGGGAAGAAGAAGGAAAAGCCUAUAAAGUUCAGCGCCCAGUAUACUAUGUUUCUGAAGUUUUAACUCCAUCCAAUCAAAGAUAUCCACAUUAUCAGAAGCUUGUUUAUGGGAUUUACAUGACCACGAAGAAGGUUGCACAUUAUUUCUCUGAUCACUCCAUUACAGUCAUCAGCGACGCACCAUUGUCAGAAAUUCUGAACAACAGAGAUGCAACUGGUCGACUAGCAAAAUGGGUGAUUGAACUCCUUCCCUUGGAUAUCAAGUUUGAGGCAAAGAAAGCUAUCAAGUCCCAGGCAAUAGCGGAUUUCCUCGCCGAGUGGAUCGAACAGCAACUGCUGACUCAGAUUCACUCGGACCACUGGACCAUGUUCUUCGAUGGAUCCAAGAUGCUGAAUGGUUCUGGUGCUGGGGUGGUAUUGGUAUCCCCCUGAGGUGACAAGCUCCGCUAUGUUCUCCAAAUCCAUUUUGAUUCCUCCAAUAACGAAGCUGAAUAUGAGGCGCUUUUGUACGGGUUGCGUAUGACCAUUUCACUCGGUGUCCGUUGCCUCAUGGUCUAUGGCGACUCAGAUUUGGUGGUGAAUCAAGCAAUGAAGGAGUGGGACGUCAGAAGCCCAGCUAUGACUAGCUACUGCAAUGUGGUGAGAAAGUUAGAAAAAAAGUUUGAGGGUUUAGAACUCCACCAUAUACCCCGACUGAAAAAUCAAGCAGCGGAUGAUUUGGCGAAGAUAGGCUCCAAGAGAGAAGCCAUUCCCAGUAAUGUGUUUUGGAGCAUAUUCAUACACCUUCAGUCCAGGAAGAUCCUUUCACUGAAGAGCCCCCGCAGCCAAAGAGCACCACUGAUCCGACUAAAGUCGAAGUCCCGGCCAUGGUCGACUUGAUCAUGGAGGUUUUGGUCAUCACUCCCGAUUGGACAGUGUCAUACAUUGCGUACAUCCUCAGGAAGGAACUCCUAGAGGACGAAGAAGAGGCCCGACAGAUCGUCCACCGAUCCAAAGCUUUUACUGUGAUAAGAGGGCAGCUGUUCAGAGAAAGUGUAACUGGAGUCAGCCAGAAAUGCAUAACACCAGAGGAAGGUCGAGUGAUCCUCAACAACAUCCACUCGGGGACCUGUGGUCACCAUGCGUCCUCUCAGACCAUUGUGGCCAAAGCAUACCAAGCAGGAUUUUAUUGGCCACGGGCAAAUGAGAUGGCACAAGAAAUAGUCGACAAAUGUGAAGGUUGCCGGUUUUACUCCAACAUGUCUCACAAGCCUGUGUCAGCCCUGAAGACCAUUCCACUCGUAUGGCCCUUCGCUGUUUGGGGUUUGGAGAUGGUUAGACCUCUGAGAACGGGUAGGAGUGGCUUCACUCAUGUACUCGUGGCAGUCGACAAAUUCACCAAAUGGAUUGAAGCCAAACCUAUCGAAAGUCUUGAAGCCAGUACUGUGGUCAGUUUCAUCAGAGAGUUAACAUUUAGAUAUGGUGUCCGCAUAGCAUCAUCACUGACAACAGCUCGAACUUCGAUUCGGAUGAGUUCAGAGCCUUCUAUGCUUCCCAAGGCACUCGAGUCCUUCAGUCGCCCAUCCCUAGUCGAAUGGACAAGCUGAAAGAGCAAACGGGUUGAUCCUCAAAGGACUAAAACCCCGACUGAUGCGUGAUCUCAAGCAUGCGGCAGGCGCCUGGGUCAAUGAACUUCCGUCAGUACUUUGGGGUUUGAGGAUGACUCCGAAUUGGUCGACUGGUCGAACUCCAUUCUUCUUGGUCUAUGGAUCUGAAGUUGUGCUUCCGAGUGACUUGCUUCACAAUGCACCCAGAGUCGAGCUUCUCUCAUAAGAUGUAGCAGAACAGGCUCGGCAAGACGUUGUUGAUCUCCUGGAAGAGGAAAGAGAGAUGGCUCUGAUCCGAUCGACCAUUUAUCAGCAAGACCUGCAUCGAUUCCACGCCAGAAAUGUGAGGGGUCGAACAUUUCAGGAAGGAGACUUGGUUCUUCGAGUGGAUCAGCAGAAACCACACAAGCUCGCCCCUACUUGGGAAGGUCCUUUCAUCAUCACCAGAGUGCUCCACAAUGGAGCGUACCACCUCUACAGUGUCGAGCAUAAGAAAGAUGAGCCACAUGCUUGGAAUGCGGAGUUGCUCCGCCCCUUUUACACUUAAGCAUUCAGACGGUUGAGAUGUAAUAAGAAAUCACUUAGUUUGAUUAUCAAAGACACGGUUUUACAGUCUCAUAAAUGACCGUUGUUCUUUUUUUUAUGUUCUAAAUCCCCCAGUGGGUGCCUUAGAUGCGAGUCCGUUUCGCCUAAGUUUUACAAAUCCUGCUGAGUGAUGAGCAAGCCUCUCAUUCGGGGGCUUAGCUGCGAAUCCGUUUCGCCUAAGUUUGAAAAAUCCUACCAAGUGGUGAGCAAGCCUCUCACUCGGAGGGUUAGCUGCAGUCCAGUACUCGGCUAAGUUUAAAAAAUCCUACGGAGUGAUGAGCAAAGCUCACACUCAGGGGCUUAGCUCCAGUCCAGUACUCGCCUAAGUUUAAAAAAUCCUACCGAGUGAUGAGCAAACCUCACACUCGGGGGCUUAGCGGCAGUCCAGUACUCGCCUAAGUUUAAAAAAUCCUAUCGAGUGAUGAGCAAACCUCACACUCGGGGGCUUAGCGGCAGUCCAGUACUCGCCUAAGUUUAAAAAAUCCUACCAAGUGAUGAGUAAACCUCACACUCGUGGGCUUAGCUACAGUCCAGUACUCGCCUAAGUUUUAAAAACACCCCUAUCUGCAAGGACGACGAGGUGCAGGUUGACUACAAUCCUCUCCUCGGAGCUGUGCCACAAGUACAACAUGCGCUCCACCCCUAUCCACAAAGACGACAAGGUGCAGGUCGACUGCAAUCCUCUCCUCGAAGCUGCGCCACAAGUACAACAUGCACUCCAUCCCUAUCCGCAAGGACAACGAUGUGCAGGUCGACUGCAAUCCUCUCCUCGGAGCUGCGCCACAAGUACAACGUGCGCUCCAUCCCUAUCCGCAAGGACGAUGAGGUGCAGGUCGACUGCAACCUUUUCUUCGGAACUGCGUCACAGAUACAAAGAUUAUUCCGAGUGAAGAACAAGUUCCACUCGAAGGCAAACGCAAGCAUAUUCGGAGAUAAACCAAGUUCAGAUAAAUCCCAAAGUUCCGAACCAUGGAUCCAAAGUACUCGAGCAUCAAGCCCGAAGAAGUUUAACGAUUACACAAUCACUCGGCAUUCUCAGGCAAAUAAAGGUGAAGCAUAAUGUUUUUGGUCAAUCGUCAGGAGGAGGGCUGGCUGGAUCGCAGAAACUGUCAGGGUCUAUGUUGUCUCCGAUGCGAGUGGCGGUGAGGGAGUCCUGGAUUAGGGGGUCUCCGGACAGCCGGACUAUGUCCUUUGGCCGGACUAUUGGACUAUGAAGAUACAAGAUUGAAGACGUCGUCCCGUGUCCGGAUGGGACUCUACUUGGCGUGGAAGGCAAGCUAGGCAAUACAGAUAUGUAUAUCUCCUCCUUUGUAACCGGCCUUGUGUAACCCUCGCCUCCUCCGGUGUCUAUAUAAACCGGAGGGUUUUAGUCCGUAGGACAACAUACAAUCAUACCAUAGGCUAGCUUCUAGGGUUUAGCCUCUCCGAUCUCGUGGUAGAUCAACUCUUGUAAUACUCAUAUCAUCAAGAAUAAAUCAAGCAGGACGUAGGGUUUUACCUCCAUCAAGAGGGCCCGAACCUGGGUAAAACAUCGUGUCCCCUGCCUCCUGUUACCAUCCGCCUUAGACGCACAGUUCGGGACCCCCUACCCGAGAUCCGCCAGUUUUGACACCGAUAUUGGUGCUUUCAUUGAGAGUUCCUCUGUGUCGUCAUCGUUAGGCUUGAUGGCUCUUACUAUCAUCGAUAGCAAUGCAGUCCAGGGUGAGACUUUUCUCCCCGGACAGAUCUUUGUGUUCGGCGGCUUCGCACUGCGGGCCAACUCGCUUGGCCAUCUGGAGUAGAUUGAAAGUUACGCCCCUGGCCACCAGGUUAGAUUUGGAAGCUUAAACUACACGGCCGAUAUCCGCGGGGACUUGAUCUUCAACGGAUUCGAGCCCCUGCCUUGUGCGCCACGCGGUCAUGAUGAGUACGAUUUAGCUCUAUCAUCGGACAGUGUUCAAGAAAUCGCACCGGCAACCGCUCCGACCCUUAAUUCGGAGCCAGCUGUGCCAUCCAUGGACGGAUGGAUAGACCUCGCCACGGAGGUCGUACCCUCAGCGGCGAUCGAGCCGAAUAUCGACCUUACCCUUUAUGAGAGCCGUGUUCCCAAACGGCCGGAUCCUUCUCCGGCCACGGACUCCGAACCGCCUGCGCCCGUUCCUGUCGAAUCCAAUUGGGCGCCGAUCAUGGAGUUUACCUCCGCGGAUAUUUUUCAGUGCUCGCCCUUUGGUGACAUACUGAACUCAUUAAGGUAUCUCUCCUUGUCAGGAGAGCCCUGGCCGAACUAUAUCCGGCAAGAUUGGGAUGCGGAUGACGAAGAAAUUCGCCGCCCACCCACCACCCACUUAGUAGCCACUGUCGAUGACUUAACCGACAUGCUCGACUUCGACUCCGAAAACAUCGACGGGAUGGACAACGAUGCAGGAGACGAACAGGAACCACUGCCCACAGGGCACUGGAUGCCCACUUCACCACAUGACGUAUACAUGGUGGACACACCCAAAGAAACAACGACGAGGAAUGGAAGGACACAACGAAGGGUUGUUCCCUCGAGAAGCAGUCAAAGCGGCGGCGUAAACGCCGCUCCAAAUCCUGCCUCGGCAGAAAUAACGAUCAUAUAGACCCAGCGAUAGAGCAGGGUGAACCAUCGCCCGACCAGGGCAACACAGGGAAUCAAACCAAACAACCCGACUCCGUUGAAGAUAACAGUCCGGACGACACCACACCGGACAGGCGCCAGGAGCAACAUAACGCCCACCAAAGGCUUGUUGCCACGGCGAGGAGCCUGAAAAAACAGAAGCAAAGGCUCAAGGUUGUACAAGACACACUCAAAAUCAAAUGGAGUGAAGUACUCAACACUGGAGCGAAGUACGGCAGUAACCGCCACACCAAGAGCUAUCCGAAGCGAAAGUUGCUACCUAAAUUUGAUGAGGAGGCCUUAGAUCCUCCACAAUUAAAAAAUAAAACGGCCAUCCGGUCGGAUAGACGACCUCAUAGCCAACAUAAAGCGGCGAACGACGCCGCACACAAACCAGUACGCGAUCCGCGUAAGGGCUCGCAUCAAAAGGACGGCGCAACCAGAUCCAUCUAUGGACCACGCAAGUGCGCUCCAACAUACAAUGCAACACAACAAACAUCCGAACACCACGGUACACCCAAAUACAGGGGUGCCGCACACCCUCUAUGUUUCACCGACGAGGUGCUGGAUCAUGAAUUUCCAGAGGGAUUCAAACCCGUAAACAUAGAGGCGUACGACGGAACAACAGACCCUGGGGUCUGGAUUGAGGACUACAUCCUCCAUAUCCAUAUGGCUCGAGGAGAUGAUCUCCACGCCAUCAAGUACCUACCCCUCAAACUCAAAGGGCCAGCUCGGCACUGGCUUAAAAGCCUCCCCGAAAACUCCAUCGGAAGCUGGGAAGAGCUCGAAGACGCCUUUUGGGCAAAUUUUCCAGGGACAUAUGUCCGACCAUCGGAUGCAGACGAUUUAAGUCAUAUAGCUCAACAGCCCGGUGAGUCAGCCCGAAAACUUUGGAAUAGGUUCCUCACUAAAAAGAACCAAAUAGUCGACUGUCCGGACACCGAAGCCUUAGCAGCUUUCAAGCAUAGCGUUCGAGACGAAUGGCUUGCCAGACACCUCGGUCAAGAAAAGCUGAGAACAAUGGCAGCAUUAACAAGCCUCAUGACCCGUUUUUGCGCGGGCGAGGACAGCUGGUUAGCCAGAUGCAGCACCAGCGACCCAAGUACAUCCGAAGUUAGGGAUGGAAACGGGAAAUCACGACGCAUCAAGAAUAAGCGCUGAAAUAAAGAAGAUAGCCCGAAGAGCACGGCGGUAAACACCGGAUUUAGAAGCUCUCGACCAGGCCAGCAGAAGCCGCCCUCCAAAGGCAACAGAGGCGAACUGUCCAGCCUAAACAAAAUUCUGGACCAAAUAUGUCAGAUCCAUAGCACCCCUGAUAAACCUGCAAAUCAUACCCAUAGAGAUGUUGGGUCUUCAAACAGUCCGGCAAGCUCAACGCCGAACACAAGGGGCAGGAUACACCAAGUGAAGACGAGGACGAGCCUCGCAAGCAAAGCACAGGGGAACAGAAGAAAUUCCCACCAGAAGUCAAAACAGUCAACGUGUUACACAUGAUAAAAGGGAGAAACAAAGCGGCACCUUUAGAGAAACAUGUCUCAGGGCCUAUCACCAUGGAGCUCCGCCACUGGUCGUCCCAACCGAUCACCUUCGACCAUCGGGAUUACUCGGCAAGUAUCCGGCGUGCAGGAUGGGUUGCCUUGGUAUUAGAUCCAAUAAUUGACGGAUACCACUUCACACGAGUCCUGAUGGACGGCGACAACAGUUUAAAUCUGAUAUAUCAGGACACAGUCCGCAAAAUGGGGAUAGACCCAACAAAAAUUUACCGCAGCAAUGCUACCUUUAAAGGAGUAACGCCAGGCUCGGAGGCUCAUUGCAGGGGCUCCCUGCUACUAGAGGUUAUAUUCGGCUUCCCUGAUAACUUCCGCAGCGAAAAUUUAACUUUCCAUGUCGCUCCGUUCCAAAGUGGCUGUCAAGCACUACUCGGACGCGAAGCUUUUGCUCGCUUUAAUGCAAUACCGCAUUACGCUUCCCUCACACUUAAGAUGCCCGGUCCACAUGGCAUCAUUACAGUAAAUGGAAAUAUUGAGCGAUCCUUGCGCGCCAAAGAGAGUGCGGCUGCCUUGGCAGCCGCACAUUAAAACGGCGUCACCAACUAAAGCAUUUGAUAGGUCAUUAAGACCACAGACGCAGUUAGACGAGUCUGGCGCAGCUAUAUGUAAUUAAUACAGGUUUGAUGGCUAUACCCCUAUUACAAUACAAGGGGCUCAACGCGCGCGCAAAAGUGGCAAUAAGGCUCACCUUUACUCAAUUUCAAUUAUAUAUUGUUUAUUUAGUAUAACUUAACUUUUGCACAGAAAUUAAGUUCCUCUCUUUUUCAGAUGACCAUUGUGCUACACCCAUCUAGGAUACGGCACAAUGGGGACACAGGCGCAGACAUGCAGCAGGGACCCGUUCCAAGGAUUCUUUGUAGAUUAAGACCCUGCGUAAACCUUUUUUACUGUCUCUUGUUGAUUUACAUCCCUCGGUUUCUCAUUACAAUCGAGAAGGAUGAUGGCGUCUUGGCAUGUGGCCACGCCAGAAUAAUGCACGUACGUGGACAACAGGGGCUUAUUACAAAGGGUACUGUUUAGACCCGGUUUACACCAUAAAGACCAAAUACUUUAGGGAGUGUUCGGCGUCGCGAGUUUGGCCUUAUAUGCAUCAGCUCCGAAUCAUGUCUUUGGUCAAAUGUUGGGUUUGCCCAGCUCCUGUGUUUUGCUGCCUUACGUUCCGCUCUAUCGGCUAGCGCGGCACCAGGAGAACUACUGCGAUUGUGCCCUGGUUCAUCCGGACUAGCACCUUAGUAGAGAAAGCCGAAAACUGACUAUCAUAAUAUAGCGUGAGACUGGUCAACCACUCGAUGACCUAUUGGAAUCUUCGGGAUUCCUCCGCAUUAACGAAGGGCCGUUUCCCGGCCAGGCAUGUACGCACCCCGAAUCUGGAUGAGUGCGGAGCCACCAGGGGCUAUAUAGUAGCCCCACUGUCAAACUCCUAUGGCUAAGUUAAAGUGUUAAAGCAUUAUAGUCCGAUUGCCUAGUUCGCUACGCUAUCACCUUCUUAAUAGGACCAAGAGGUUGGAUUAAGUGUGAAUACGCGUCUUCUGCGAACACCCCCGCAUUAUAUGCGUGGGGGCUGAAGCCGACGACUGCAAUCUUUCACGUUAUAUACAUAUAUACAUAAACGCCGCAUAGGAGGCAUCACAAUACUUUUGGGCAAAAGUAUAAAUACAGCCUUGAUAUAUUCAAUAAAACGUUGUUCUUACAAUAGGAAUACAUAUCACUCAAACAUAACAUUCUUCGAGCACUGGGCCUCUAUCGAACGAGCGCCCUCAAGAACUUCUUCAAAAUAGUGCUCGGCGGCCACUCGGCCUAUGGCCGAACCCUGCGCCGCGACAAUGGUGGCAUCCAUCUCCGCCCAAUAUGUUUUGACGCGGGCAAGGGCCAUCCGCGAGCCUUCUAUGCAUGUCGACCUCUUCAUCGCAUUAAUGCGUGGCACCACACCAAGGAACUGCUGCACCAAGCUAAAAUAGUUGUUUGGCUUUGGCCUUUCCGGCCAUAGAUGAUCCACGACAGACCUCAUGGCGAGUCCGAACAAUCUAUUGAGUUCGGCCCAUUCGGCAAGCUGAUCAGUCAAUUGAAGCGGACGCUCUGGAACGUUAAAUUGCGACCAGAACAGCUUGUCCACUUCAUGUUUGAUCUCGGAAGUAUUCGGCCGCAUCGACAGCGCUCACCGCUAAGUCCAGAUAUGCGUCGGCCGAACUCCACAGCUGAUCCAGAGGGGCAUACCGCGGAUCGCCGAACUUCCUCCGCAGCAUAAAGGGCUUCCCAGCCACAAUGUCCCCGGCUUCGCGUAGUUCCUCCUUCUUCGCUCUCACUGCAGAGUGUCUUUGGUCGCCAUUGUGGCCUUUUCAAGGUCCGUAGCCUUCGCCCGGUUUUCUUCUUCAAGAAACUGGCAGCGGUCGGCAGUGUCUUUUAACUUCAAAGCCAUUUUGGCCAUUUUCUCUUUGCUCUCUCUAUGAGCGUCCUUCUCGGCUCUCAACUCUUCAGCUGCCUUCAAAGCGCCCGCAUUACUACUCCUUGCUUGCUCCUUGGCUCGGGCAAGCUCCGCCCGCAGGACCUCCACGGUGGCAGCUCCAUCUGCAGUCACAACAUAUUAAAGAUACUGGCAUCACACUGCUCUUACUAUGUGACAUCCACUAUAAAUAUCACCUACCCUGUGCCUCGUCAAGCCGCUUGUUAACAAGCUCGAUGUCAGCAUCCGCCGCAUCCAGUCGCCGCCUUAGUUCGGCAACCCCAUCAGUCCAGCUAGCCACCGGAGCUUCAGACACCUGCACAUAAAGGCGGUCUGGUUAUUACAUGGGACUAUGAUCCUCUGUUCGUCGCCGUUCUCGAUGACAACCAGAGUCUCAGGGGCUACUAUCUACAUAGGGCACACCUAAAAUGUGUGGUACCAUCACAAAUGUAUAUCAUUUCAUGUACCUCAAAGCCCGUCAGUAGACUCAUAAAGGCUUCAUGCAACCCGUUUUCCGCGGACAAAAUCCUUUCAAUCACCGUACACAUUAAUGUACGGUGCUCUUCUGAGAUAGUCGCUCACUCUAGCAGACCCUUCAGUACGUCCGACCGCAUACCAGAUGGUGCCGGACUCUUUUGAUUACUCUCUUCAAGAGCUGCAUACUGAUGGCUUCGGGUGACCAUGGGAUUACCUUCUGGCCUUGCCGGAUCUGGAGAAACUCUCCGUGACGACACUUCAAGGUCGCCCGCUUCUUGAGCCAGGGAGUCCGGGGGAGGCAUUUCACUCUCCAUCAUCUCCGGAAGAAGAUCCCUCGAAGACGAGUGAGGGAGUCCUGGAUUAGGGGGUGUUCGGGUAGCCGGACUAUACCUUCGGCCGGACUCCAGGACUAUGAAGAUACAAGAUUGAAGACUUCGUCCCGUGUCCGGGUGGGACUUUCCUUGGCGUGGAAGGCAAGCUUGGCGAUGCGGAUAUUCAAGAUCUCCUACCAUUGUAACUGACUUUGUGUAACCCUAACCCUCUCUGGUGUCUAUAUAAACCAGAGGGUUUUAGUCCGUAGGACAACUUCAUCAUACAACAAUCAUACCAUAGGCUAGCUUCUAGGGUUUAGCCUCCUUGAUCUCGUGGUAGAUCUACUCUUGUACUACCCAUAUCAUCAAUAUUAAUCAAGCAGGACGUAGGGUUUUACCUCCAUCAAGAGGGCCCGAACCUGGGUAAAACAUCAUGUUCCUUGCCUCAUGUUACCAUCCGGCCUAGACGCACAGUUCGGGACCCCCUACCCGAGAUCCGCCGGUUUUGACACCGACAUUGGUGCUUUCAUUGAGAGUUCCUCUGUGUCGUCGCUUUUAGGCCUGAUGGCUCCUUCGAUCAUCAACAACGAUGCAGUCCAGGGUGAGACUUUUCUCCCCGGACAGAUCUUCGUCUUCGGCGGCUUCGCACUGCGGGCCAAUUCGCUUGGCCACCUUGAGCAGAUCGAAAGUUACGCCCCUGGCCAUCAGGUCAGGUUUGGAAGCCUAGACUACAUGGCUGACAUCCGCUGGGACUUGAUCUUCGACGGAUUCGAGCCACAGCCAAGCGCGCCGCAUUGUCUCGAUGGGCAUGAUAUAGCUCUGCCGCCGAACAGCACCUUGGAGGCCGCACACGCGUCGGUUCUGACCAUUGAUUCGGAGCCUACUGCGCCGAUCGAGGAUCAGCGGUUGGAUGCUGCCUCAGGGGCUGCGACCUCAGAGGCGAUCGAGCCGAACUCCAGCCCCGCACUCCGCAUGGCCCGUGACUCCGAGGAGCCGGAUUCCUCUCCGAACUCCGAGCCACCCGCUCCCCUGCCGAUCGAAUCUGAUUGGGCGCCGAUAAUGGAGUUCACCGCCGCGAACAUCUUUCAGCACUCGCCCUUCGGUGACAUCCUGAAUUCGCUAAAGUCUCUCUCUUUAUCAGGAGAGCCCUGGCCGGACUAUGGUCAGCAAGGAUGGGAUUCGGAUGAUGAAGAAAUUCAAAACCCACCCACCACCCACUUCAUAGCCACUGUCGAUGACUUAACCGACAUGCUCGACUUCGACUCCGAAGACAUCGACCGUAUGGACGACGAUGCAGGAGACAACCAAGAACCAACGCCUAUAGGGCAUUGGACAGCCACCUCAUCUCACGAUGUGUACAUGGUGGAUACCCCUAAAGGAAGCAACAACGAGGAAAACGGGGAUGGAAAGAGGGAUCGAUCUCUCGAAAAACAAUCAAAGCGUCGGCAUAAACGCCUACCCAAGCCCCGCCUCGAUAAAGACCCAGCCAUAGAGCAGGAUGAGCCGGUAGACGACGAGCAUGCCUUAGAGCAACCGUCCCAAUAGGACAACCCGGAUAGAGAAACCGAACAUCCCUCCCCGGCGAAAAUGGCAUUCCGGACGACCCUACGCCGGACAAGCCCACGAAGCAGAAGAACCUCCACAAACGGCUCGUUGCAACCGCAUGCAGCCUGAAAAAGCAGAAGCGGAAGCUAAAAACUGCGGAAGAUGCACUCAGGAUUAGAUGGAGUAAAGUAAUCAAUACCGCAGACAAAUACGGUGAUAGUCGCUGCACUAAAAGCUAUCCGAAGAGAAAGCUACUGCCUGAAUUCGACGAGGAGGUCUUAGAGCCCUCGCAUUCCAAACGUGAGAAAGCCACACGGUCGGAUAGACGACCCCAUGGCUAGCAUAAAGCGGCAAGCAGCGCCGCACUUAAGCCGGCAUGCGACCCACUUAAGGAUUCGCAUCAUGGCCCAGCCAGGUCCAUUUACGGGCCAAGAAAGCAAGCUCUCGUAAGCAAUGCAGUAAAGCCAUUAUCAGAAUCCGGCACACCCAAAUACAGGGGUGCCGCACACCCCCUAUGUUUCACCGAUGAGGUCCUGGAUUAUGAAUUUCCAGCGGGGUUCAAACCCGUAAACAUAGAGGCAUAUGAUGGAACAACAGACCAUGGAGUCUGGAUCGAGGAUUAUAUCCUCCACAUACAUAUGGCUAGAGGAGAUGACCUCCAUGCCAUAAAAUACUUACCCCUCAAGCUUAAAGGGCCAGCCCGGCAUUGGCUCAAAGGCCUUCCUGAAAACACAAUUGGAAGUUGGGAAGAGCUCGAGGAUGCUUUCCGAGCAAAUUUUCAAGGGGCCUAUGUCCGCCCUCCGGAUGCAGACGAUCUUAGUCACAUAACUCAACAGCCCGGAGAGUCAGCUCGGCAAUUCUGGAAUAGAUUUCUUACUAAAAAGAAUCAGAUAGUCGACUGUCCAGACGCUGAAGCCUUAGCGGCUUUCAAGCAUAAUGUCCGAGACAAAUGGCUCGCCAGACACCUCGGCCAAGAAAAGCCAAGAACAAUGGCCGCACUAACAAGCCUCAUGACCCGCUUUUGCGCAGGAGAGGACAGCUGGUUGGCAAGAUGCAGCACCAGUGACCCAAGUACAUCCGAAACUAGGGAUGGAAACGGAAAACCGCGACGCAAUAAGGACCGUCGCCGGACUAAGGAAAAAAGUCUGAAGAGCACGGCAGUCAACGCCGGAUUCAAAAGCUCACGACAGAAUCAGAAAAAGCCGCCCCUCCAAGAUAACAGGGACGAACUAUCCAACCUAAACAAAAUCUUGGAUAGGAUAUGUCAAAUACACAGCACUCCCGGAAAGCCUGCUAACCAUACCCACAGAGAUUGUUGGGUUUUCAAACAAUCCGGCAGACUCAACGCCGAACACAAGGGGCUCGACACACCAAGAGAAGACGAGGACGAACCCCAAAAGCAGAGUACCAGGAAGCAAAAGAAUUUCCCACAAGAAGUAAAAACAGUAAACUUACUCCACAUAACAAAACAUGCGGCGCCCAUAAAGGUACGCGCCCCAUGGCCUAUCCCAAAGGAAUCCCGCCACUAGUUGUCAAAACCAAUCAUCUUCGAUCAUUUGGAUUAUUCUAGAAGUGUCAGGAACCCAGGCUGGACUGCCCUGGUACUCAAUCCAAUAAUUGGCGGACUCCAGUUUUCAAAUGUCCUUAUGGACGGUGGCAGCGGACUCAACCUGAUAUAUCAGGACUCAAUCCGCCACAUGGCGAUCGACCCAAAAAGAAUUCGCCACAGCAAAACCUCCUUUCAAGGAGUAACGCCAGGUCCGGACACCCAUUGCAUGGGUUUUCUCCGGCUCGAGGUUAUUUUCGGCUCUGCCGAUAACUUCCGUCGCGAAAAGCUAACUUUCCACAUCGUCCCAUUCUCAAGUCGCUAUCAAGCACUACUGGGACGCGAAGCUUUCGCCCGCUUUAACGCAAUACCGCAUUAUGCAUCUCUUACGCUUAAGAUGCCCGGUCCACGCGGCAUCAUCUCCUUCAAGGGGAAGCAGUGAGAACACCUCCCCCAAGCGGAGGAUUGUGCGGCCGCUUUAACAGCCCCACAAUACAAUGGCUUCACCAGCUAGAACAUCAGAACAGGUCAUUAAGACCACGGACACGGAUAGACGAGUCCGACACAAAAGUAUCAUUGAUAAAGGCUUAGUGGCCAUGUACCCCUGUACUAGGGGCUUCACACGUAUAAAAUAAGAGACAAUAAAGCUCAAUUUUUCAUAUUUUACUUUACACUUUGUUUAUUUCAUAUAACUUUUCUUCGGCACGCCCCUUUUUCAACUUAGUUGCUCUCUUUUUAUAGAUGAACGUCGUGCUGCGCCCGUCCAGGAUACGGCACAACGGAGACACAGGCGCAGACGUGCAGUAGGGACCCGUUCCAAGGAUUCUUUUCAGAUUAAGACCCUGCGUAAACCUUUUUUACUGUCUCUUGUUGAUACACAUCCCCUGGUUCUAUGACCAAGGAGGAGGUUGGCGUCUUGGCAUGUGGCCACGUCAGAAUUCUUGCACGUACCUGGACACUAGGGGCUUAUACCUCAGAGCGUUACCUCGCCCGCUCUCAUAAAGACCGAAUACCUUAGGGAGUGUUCGGCGUCGCGAGUUUGGCCUUAUAUGCAUCAGCUCCGAGUCAUGAUUUUGGUUAAAUGUUGGGUUGCUCGGCUCCUGUGUUCGGCCGCCUUACGUUUCUCUCUAUCGGCUAAGGCGGCACCAGGAGAACUACUGCGAUUGUGCCCUGGUUCGGCUAGGCGAGCACCUCAGUAGAGAAAGUCGAAAACCGACUGUGAUGAUAUGGCGUGAGACUGGUCAACCACUCGAUGACCCUCCGGAAUCUGUAGGAUUCCUCCGCAUUAACGAAGGGCCGUUUCCCGGCCAGGCACAUACGCGCCCCGAAUUCGGGCGAGCGCACUCGCCACCAGGGGCUACCUAAAUAGUCCCAUUGUCAAGCUCCUAUGGCUAAGUGAAAGUGUUAAAGCAUUAUAGUCCGGUUGCCUAGCUUGCUGCGCUAUCACCUCCUUUGUAGGACCAAGACAUUGGAUUAAGUGUGAAAAUGCGCCUUCUGCAAGCACCCCCACACUAUGUGUGUGGGGGCUGAAGCCAACGACUGUAAUCUUUUAGAUUUUGUAUAUAUAUCUUAAAACGGCCGCACAGGAGGUGUUCCAAAUACUUGAAGGCACAAGUAUAAAAGGCUACUACAAUUCAUCAAAGUAUUGCUUUAUAAUUACAUAUGCUAUCAGAACAUAGCAUCCUUCGAGCACUGCGUCUCUAUUACACGAGCGCCGUCAAGGACUUCCUGAAAAUAGUGCUCGAAGGGUACUCGGCUUUUGUCCGAAUCGCGGGAUGCAACAACGGUGGUCUCCAUCUCUGCCCAGUAUGUCUUGACACGGGCAAGAGCCAUCCGUGCACCCCCUAUGCAUGCUGACCUCUUCAUCGCAUUGAUACGUGGCACCGCGUCAAGGAAUUGCUGCACCAAGCUGAAAUAACUCUUCGGCUCCGAUCUCCCCGGCCACAGAUGACCCAUGACGUACUUCAUGGCGAGUUCGGACAAUCUAUUCAGUUCGGCCCAUUGAGCCAGACGAUCGUCCACUGCCAGUGGACGCUCUGGAUUCUGGAACUGCGACGAGAAAAGCCUUUCCACUUCGCGAUCUUCUUGAUCUCGAAAGUAUUCGGUCGCAUUAGCAGCACUCGCUGCCAAAUCCAGAUAGGUGUCCUCCGCACUCCACAUCCGGUCCAACAGAGCAAACUUCGGAUCGCAAAACUUCCUCUGCAGCAUAAAGGGCUUUCCAGCCGCAAUCUGUCCAGCCUGACGUAGCUCCUCCUUCGCAGCUCUCAUCGCAGAGAGAGCAUCCUUGGCAUCAGCAACGGCCUUCUCUAAGUCCGUCUGUCUUGCCCGGUCUCCUUUCUCAAGAAACUUGCAAUGGUCAGCAGCACCUUUUAACUUCACGGCCAUCACGGCCAUCUCCUUCUUGCUUCGGCAGUGAGCAGCCUGUUCGGCUCUCAGCUCUUCAAGGGCCUUCUCGACAGCCGCAUCACUUUUCCUGGCUUGUUCCUUAGCUCGGGCAAGUUCCGCCCGAAGACUCUCCACGGCGGCCGCACCAUCUGCAUCAAGCACACACAUUGUAAGAUACUGGCAUAAAGCUCCUCUUACCAGAUGCCGCCCGAGGAAUUGCAUACCUUGAGCCUCAUCAAGCCGCUCAUUGACGAGCGCGAUGUCGGCAUCUGCCACGUCAAGUUGCCGCUUUAGUUCAGCAAAAUCAUCAGUUCGGCUCGAUUCCGGACACUUCUCCACCUGUAUACAAAGGUGACAUUUUAGACCUGGGAUUAUGAUCCUCUGCGCGCCGUCAAUUUUGACAACGCACAGAGUCUCAGGGGCUACUAUCUACACAGGGCGCAUCUUGUUUAUGCGCAACUGACAAAGAAGUACAUUAUCAAACGUACCUCAAAACCCGUCAGCAAACUUCUGACAGCCUCAUGCAAUCUGCUUUCCGCGGACGAAAUCCUUCCAAUCACCGUACCCAUUAAUGCACGGUGCUCCUCUGAGAUAGAAGCUCGCCCCAGCAGAAUCAUCAGCUCCAAAGACCGCGCAUCGGACGGUGCCGGACUCGUCCUAUGACCUCCAUCGGAGGCCGGACGCGGAGAACCUUGGGGGACAUAUGGAUACCUUCCACCCCUGCCGGAUUCGGAGAAACCCUCUGCGACGACACCUCAGGGUCGCCCGCCUCGCCAGGCGGUACGGCAGGGGGAGGCGUUCCACUCUCCAUCAUCUCCGGAAGAAGAUCCCCCGAAGACGAGCUCUGCUGAGAAGGGCUGAGAUCCGAGCUACAAAGUAAAAUUUCGGUUAAUCUUCUCAGAUAAAAAGCAAGGAUUUCUCUCAUCCCUCUAAAGGAAAAUCUUUCUCUACUUACGGCUCGCUGGAGGGCUGAUCCCUUUGAGGGCGUAGUUCGGCCGAGGAUCCCCCCGGCGUAAGACCCUCUGACGAGGACUUUUCCCCCCGCUUUGAGGCCAUGGUCUCUGGGUCGUCAGAGGCGGCCCUCUUAUUCCCCUUAGGAGAGGAAUUGUCGGUUCUUCCCUGUGGAGCAGCCUCCUUCGAGGAGGCCAUAGUUUCCUUGUCCUCCCCCUCACUUCCCUCCAAAGGCACGAUCUUCAACAUCCUGACUAGCACGGGAUCCGGCCUGGUCUCAGGAAGGGGAGCCGGGCACCUGAUCAGCUUUGCCUUCGCUAUCCACUCCUGUUUAAAAGGACAACUCUUUUAGGGGCGAAUUUAUGACAAUUUUAUGGAUAGCGAGUCCGGGCACAAGGUUACUUACUUGAGUAUCCAGGCGAUUGCAGCUUAAACCUGCAUCCUCGGUCAAAUCCGGACACAUUGCUUGUGAUCCGAAGAACAUUUUAUACAUCUCCACGGGCGUUGCACCCAUAAAAUGCUGGAGAGCUCGUGGUCCCUCCGGAUUAAACUCCCACGGACGAAGGGAGCGACGUUUUCCGGGCAGUGUUCGGCGAAUCAGCAUGACCAGCAUCACCUUGACCAGGUUGAGGUCUCUUUAUAAGAGAUCCCUAAUGCGGCCCUGCAACAAGGCACGUCUUUGGAUAACCCCCAAUCUAAUCCUUUGUUGACCCAUGACGCUAGCCGUGGUGGGGGACCCGAGCGAAAGGCAGGAGGCGCCACCCACUUGGCGCUCCUGGGAGCGGUGAUAUAGAACCACUCUCGUUGCCACAAGCCGAGCUCCUCUUGAAAGGAGCCCUCGGGCCAUGGAGCAUCAGCAUUCUUACUUAUGACAGCGCCUCCGCACUCUGCGUGCCGUCCCUAGAUCAUCUUCGGCUCCACUCCAAAAGUCUUGAGCCAUAAUCCGAAGUGAGGAGUAACACAGAGGAACGCUUUGCACACAACGAUGAACGAGGAAAUGUGGAGGAUGGACUCCGGAGCUAAGUCAUGAAAUUCCAGCCCAUAAUAGAACAUCAGCCCCCUCACGAAGGGAUCCAUCGGGAAGCCUAACCCCCGAAGGAAGUGAGACAUGAACACUAUGCUCUCACCGGGCUGGGGACUGGGAAUAGCCUGCCUUUGAGCAGGAAACCUAUGCAAAAUUUCGGCGGUCAAGAACUUAGCCUCUCUCAACUUUAGCACGUCCUCCUCCGUGACGGAGGAGGGCAUCCAUCGGCCUUGAAGGUCGGAACCGAACAUUGUCAAAGGUCCGAAGCGCCUGGAAUCUGGAGCCUAGGGUGUUGGAACUCGAGGUGACGGGCGAACUUGUUUUGAGAUUAGAGAAAAGGAGUAAGGCCUUGGUCUCUUUAUAAGAGGUUGAAUACCAGGAGCCCUCCCCGUAACCGUUUGGGACUCGCCUUUAAUCGAGAAGACAUGCUAACGGGCAUGAUUGGGUUACCCACGUUCGUAUUGAUGAGAAUCCCGUAAAUAAAGGGGACACGAUCUCUGCUUUGACAAGACAUGCCAAGGAAACCGCCUCGCAAAACACGCUGAGGUGGAAAAGUGAAAACGAUUCAAAUAAAAGCUUGGCCAUAGUGUGAUGUCACGCUACAGAAUACGUCAGCGGAUUAGAUUUGUGUUAAUAUUAUUCUCUGUGUGGCAAUACGUGGAAACUUAUUUUGCAGAGCCGGACACUACUCUUGGUGUUUACAAACUUUUAUGAAGAAUUUGGAGGAGGAACCCGCCUUGCAAUGCCGAAGACAAUCUACGCGCCAGACUCGUCGUCAUUGAAGCCUGGUUCAAGGGCUACUAAGGGAGUCCUGGAUUAGGGGGUGUUCGGGUAGCCGGACUAUACCUUCGGCCGGACUCCAGGACUAUGAAGAUACAAGAUUGAAGACUUCGUCCCGUGUCCGGAUGGGACUUUCCUUGCGUGGAAGGCAAGCUUGGCGAUGCGGAUAUUCAAGAUCUCCUACCAUUGUAACCGACUUUGUGUAACCCUAACCCUCUCCGGUGUCUAUAUAAACCGGAGGGUUUUAGUCCGUAGGACAACUUCAUCAUACAACAAUCAUACCAUAGGCUAGCUUCUAGGGUUUAGCCUCCUUGAUCUCGUGGUAGAUCUACUCUUGUACUACCCAUAUCAUCAAUAUUAAUCAAGCAGGAUGUAGGGUUUUACCUCCAUCAAGAGGGCCCGAACCUGGGUAAAACAUUGUGUUCCUUGCCUCCUGUUACCAUCCGGCCUAGACGCAUAGUUCGGGACCCCCUACCCGAGAUCCGCCGGUUUUGACACCGACAACGAGCUCUGCUGAGAAGGGCUCAGAUCCGAACUGCAAGAUAAAUGCUUCGGUUAUCCUCCUCAGAAGUAAGGUAGUAUAUCUUCACUAUUAAGUACUUUUUGAUUACUUACAGCUCGUUAGAGGGCUUAUCCCCGCACGGGCUUUGUGUGGCAAGAGCACCCUCCGAGGCGGGACCCUCUGGUGGAGUUUUCUUCUCCCGUUUGGAAACCUCAGUUUCUGGAUCAUCAGAGGUAGUCUUCUUCCUCCCCCGGGGCGAGGGAAUGUCAGAUUCCUUCCCUUGGUUAUCCUCCCUCACGGAGGCGCUCAUUCCCUCAGUUGGAAUAGGUAGCAGUGGAGGCCCGCUUUCGCCCUCUUUAUCCCCCCCUUCAUCUUCCUUUGAGGGCACCGUACAAGGUGCUGGCUCGAGCAUCUUUUCCAGCACCGGAUUGUCCAAGCCUUUGGGAAGGGGGGCCGAACACCGGAUCAUCUUCGCCUUUGUUAUCCAAUCCUGGUUAAAGAACGAUUCUUCAGAAUGAUGUCACGAUAAAUGAAAGACAGUAAGUUCGACUAAAGGAUCACUUACUUGGGCCGCGGUGUGGUUGCUGCUCAGGCCCACGUCCUUAGAGGUGUCCGAACACUCUAUUUGGGGUCUGAAGAACGACUUGUACAUCUCCUCGUGCGUCAGGCCGAGGAAAUUUUGAAUAGUGCGCGGUCCUUCUGGGUUGAAUUCCCAUAAGCGGAGGGGCCGGCGUUUGCAAGGCUGGACUUGACGAACCAGCAUGACUUGCACUACCAUAACCAAACUAAAAUCUCCCUCGAAGAGAUCUCGGAUGCGACUCUGCAGUAUGGGCACAUCCUUGGCUGGACCCCAGCUCAGCCCCCUGCUGAUCCAUGACAUCAGUUGUGGUGGAGGGCCCGAGCGAAAGGCGGGGGAGGCUACCCACUUGGCACUUCUGGGAGCGGUGAUGUAGAACCACUCCCAUUGCCAUAAUCUGGACACCUCCGGAAAGGAACCCUUUGGCCACGGAGCUCUAGCAAUCUUGCUUAUUAAUGCACCUCCGCAAGCUGCAUACUGCCCCUCGACCGUCUUCGGCUUCACAUCAAAGGUCUUGAGCGACAGGCCGAAGUGAGGGGUAAUGCGGAGGAAGGCCUCACAUACGACAAUAAAUGCCGAGAUGUGGAGAAAGGAAUCCGGGGCUAGAUCAUGGAAAUCAAGCCUGUAAUAGAACAUCAAACCCCUAACAAAGGGAUCCAGAGUGAGGCCUGGUCCUCGGAGGAAGUGGGAGAUGAACACGACGUCUUCAUUGGGUUCAGGAGUAGGGAUGACCUGCCCUCGGGCAGGCAGCCGAUGCGAAACUUCGGCGGUCAGGUAUCUUACCUCUCUCAACUUCUUGAUAUCCUCUUCCGUGAUGGAGGAGGGCAUCCACCGGCCCUGGAGGCUAGAUCCGGACAUGAUUGGAUAUCUGAAGCACCUGACCUGGGCUUUGGGUGUUAGAACUCGAGGCGGGGUAAGGAUUCGAUUGAGCACGGGAGGGAAAAAGUAAAAGCCUUGUCCCCUUAUAAAGAGGGUGAAUAUCAAGCGUCCUCCUCGUAGCUAUUUGGGACUUGCCUAAAAUCUAGGAGUCCUAGGCGCGGUUGGGUUACCCACGACCGUAUUGAUGAGAAUCCCGUAAUAAGGGGGACACGAUCUCUGCUUUGACAAGACGUGUCAAGAAACUGCCUCGCGUUAUGUGCGGGGCUAGUUAAAGAAAAACGGUUCGAAUAAUCGCCGAGCCAUGGCAUGAUGUCCUGUUGCCAAAACGUGUCAACAGAUUAGAUUUGUGGAAAUAUUAUUCUCUCUACAGUGGUAUGUGGAACUUAUUUUGCAGGGUCAGACACUAUCCUUUUAUUCGAACACUUCUGUGGUGUAUCCGGAGGAGGAACCCGCCUUGCAAUGCCGAAGACAACACUGCGCGCCAGACUCAUCGUCGUUGAAGCCUGGUUCAGGGGCUACUGAGGGAGUCCUGGAUUAGGGGGUCUCCGGACAGCCGGACUAUGUCCUUUGGCCGGACUGUUGGACUAUGAAGAUACAAGAUUGAAGACUUUGUCCCAUGCCUGGAUGGGACUCUACUUGGCAUGGAAGGCAAGCUAGGCAAUACGGAUAUGUAUAUCUCCUCCUUUGUAACUGGCCUUGUGUAACCCUAGCCCCUCCGGUGUCUAUAUAAACCGGAGGGUUUUAGUCCGUAGGACAACAUACAAUCAUACCAUAGGAUAGCUUCUAGGGUUUAGCCUCUCCGAUCUCGUGGUAGAUCAACUCUUGUAAUACUCAUAUCAUCAAGAAUAAAUCAAGCAGGACGUAGGGUUUUACCUCCAUCAAGAGGGCCCGAACCUGGGUAAAACAUCGUGUCCCCUACCUCCUGUUACCAUCCGCCUUAGACGCACAGUUUGGGACCCCCUACCCGAGAUCCGCCGGUUUUGACACUGACAGGCGGCAUCAAGGAAAGUGUCCAUGAAGGACUAGAAAGUGUGCCUUUUGUGUUAGCAACCUUGAGCUCCGCCAGCUUGUCCUCUUUGACAUCCUUGCAGUGCACUCGGGCCAGGGACAGGGCGACAUCAGCGCCGCAGCGAGCAGAUGACUUCUUCCAUUCUUGCACUCGCUUAGGUAUUUGAUUCGGUCGGGCCAUCAGAGACUAGAGGUCUUGAGACAGUUCUGCUUGAGGCCAGAGUUCAGCAUCAACCCGAGUCAUCGCCACCUUCAGGCGGGCAAGAUAACCAACUGCGCUGUCCAUGCGAGAUUCCAACCACAACACAUUCAUUGCGAAGUCAUCUUUGACUGGGCAAUUUAUGGGGUCGAGACUUGUCUCGAUCCGCCCAGUUUCUGCUUCAAAGUCCUGGCAAAGCUCUGCAUAGUCGGAUGAAUGGUGAGUCGACAAUAUAAUAAGACCAGUCAAUCGACCAUAACAAGUCAGUCGAACAUCAGUACCUUCAAGUUUUAAGACCAGUUGAGCAGCAAUCUGGCCCAAAUAAGACUCCAACUCGCCCUUCUUGGCUUUGAGGCUCCCAAUCUCGUCAGACAGCUUGUCCUUGUCCUUCUUUAGUCACUCGACCUCUCGAUUGGCGUCAGAGACAGCAGUCUUUAGUUUGGAGUUCUCUUCUUCUAACUUGCCGACUGAAGCAAGCUUCUUGUCAGCAAGUGUUUUUUUCUCUCGCGCCUCCUUCUGCGCGGCAGCAAGAUCCAGAUCCUUCUUCUCCAGAGCCUGCUUCAUUUUCUCUAAAGAAAUAACAUUCUUCAGAUGAGCUUGGAGUUGACGGUUUUCACUACGUACAUCUGCUCCAGUGAAAUCACUCGGUUCAAAAAACUGGAAAGGAAAAGUGCCAGACAUAAGAUGGACAGUUGUCGAUUGGUUACCUCCCAUGGCAGCUACUUCAUCACAAGCAGUCUUGAGAUUCUUAUUGGCCAAUUCCAGAUCAAGGUUGAGCCUGAUUUGCUGCUUGUUCAGUGUAGAAAGUUGAGCCCCAAGAUUACAAGAUUUCUACAGUCAAUAUAUAAGACAUAUCAGUCAACAGAAACAAAAAAGCAUCACAGUGAAAGUUACUCUAAGACUACCGCUGAAGCAAACAUUCAACGAUAGUCUCGGGGACUACACCCAGUGGGUGCACUUAGCGUGCCCCCACUGGUUGGAUUCAACACUCAGCAUGGUCUGCCCAGCUCGAGUAAAAAAAGCGAAGACAGUUGUUCUUAGACCAUAGUCGACUACCCGCAGUCCACCACGGUCUCGGGGACUACACCCAGUGGGUGCACUUAGCAUGCCCCCACUGGUUCAGAUUGUCACUCGACAUGACCCGCCCAGACCGAGUGAGAAAAUUACCACAGUCGACUGCCCGCACUCAACUAUGGUCUCGAGGACUACACCCAGUGGGUGCACUCAGCGUGCCCCCAAUAGUUCAAAAAUCCAAGUCGACUGAAGUGGAAGACCUAUACGACUUUAGGGCAGACAAACCCCAGUGGGUGGAUGAGAAGUAAGAUCAGUCAGAAAACCAACUAACCUGGACAUUGGUCUGCAGAGCAGCGCCGGCAUUGAAGGCCACCUGACUGGCCUCGUGCACCACUUUCAUUUGUCCCAUCACAAGAUUCAACUGAAGAAGAGCUUCCUUGGCGGCACUCAGUGGGUCGUCUGGAGUUUGGUACGUAGUGAAAAGAGAUGAUGGUAGAACAGUCAAAGCACUCGCUGGGUCUAAUGCGUGGAGUUGUACUAGAGCAGCAGGAGUCUGAGCAGGCGACCCUGAUGGACAGUCAGUCGACAGUGGGAUAGCGAAACUGACGUUGGUGCGAGCCGGAUCUACGGAUUGCUCCACCGCCAUCCCAGGCAUCAGUGUCGACUGAGGAACCUGAACCUCAGGUGCUUUCCUGCUCGGUGCGUGGUCCCUCCUCCUCCUUUCCCUCAGAGGCACUUAUUCUUCAUCAUCGUUCGGAAGCACAACAACAGCUCAUGGAGUUGCAGCAAACAAGAAAAAUCAGAGAGACGACUGACGAACAGUCCAGUCGACCGACUAAAUUUGAGUCGGGCAGACUUACAGGCUUUGGAGGUAGCUGCGUCGUCGGUUUCCUUGUCAUCUGGGACCUUGUCAAUAUCCAUAUCAGUCGCGGCGGAGGCCGGGCUGGAAAAGUUCAUCAUCCACUCGGUCAGGAUAGGAGAAUCAGUCGAAGCAAAGAAACACGGGAAGAACGUUUACCCAGAAACAACAGGAACAUCCAUCUUGAUCUUAGGCAAGGUCUUCCGAGCCUUCGAGGUAUUGAUCUUGGGCUACUUGAUGACUUUCUCAGCCAGCUCUGGAGUCGGAGACCGAGCGUGCUUUUGAGAUGGAACGCUCGAGGCCAUAGUCUUACCGCGCCUGCCCAUGGGAUCAUGGCAUUGCUUGGAUCGAUGUUCCGAACGAGGUGAUGAGUCGACUACUUCCUCGUUGUCUGACUCGUCGCUCUCAUCUUCAUCAUCGUUGUCUGGUGACUCCCAUUCACUGCUCUCCUCCGCGCUGUCCUCGCCCUCAUGGUCCUGCUCCAGAGCUUGUUCACAAUUGGGCAUUGAGUACAUCUCUGUGUAAAUCUACAAGACAAUAAGUCGAGUGGGAAUCAGUCAGAUUAACAAAUAGUCGGAAAACGCAUUCAAAUGCAAUCGGUCAUAUCGGCCAAACCUUGUCUGGCUGGUUGCUGUUGCUGAAAGGGUCGACUCUCCUGGCGCCCCUGGGGUUGUCCUUGUUCCCGGUGAUGCUCGUCAGCCAUUGAGUCACUGUUUCAGCCGGCACCUCCUCUGGAUGAACCCGAGCGGUGUCCCCAGCGCCGGAGUACAUCCACAUGGAAAGGUCACGGGCCUGGAGCAGUUGGAUGCGCCGACUGAGGAACACCUCCAACAAAUCCAUGCCGGUGACGCCUUGGUUGAUCAGCUGGACCUCCCUCUCGACCAGCAUGCAUGUCUCCGCCUUCUCCGCGGCGGUCACUUUCAAUGAGGAAGGAGUCUGAACACGGUCAAAAGAAAAAGGAGGAAGUCCAGUCGACUGGCCUGGAGUCACGAUAUCCUUGCAGUAGAACCAGGUCGACUGCCAGCCUCUGACCGACUCAGGAAGGGUCAUCGGAGGAAUGGAACUCCUUUUCCUCUUCUGGAUACCCAAACCCCCACACAUCUGGAUAACAUGGAUUUUCUCGUCCUUCGAGUUUGCUUUCUUUGUUGUCUGGGAUCAGAUGGUGAAAAUGUGCUUCAAAAGACCCCAGUGCGGUCGACACCCCAAGAAAUUCUUGCACAUGGACACGAACGCAGCAAGAUACAUGAUGGUGUUGGGAGUGAAAUGAUGGAGUUGUGUCACACCCUCGAUGCGACUAUAGCUCCCACGAGUCGAGGCACGACUUAGAGACAUAAUCACAUUGAAGGCAUAUGUCGCAAGUUAGGCAAUCUUCACAACAUCCCAUGUAAUAUGAAUAAUAAAGGGGAGAUAACAUAGUUGGCUUACACUCGCCACGUCAAUCAAGUACAUAAAUAACAUUACAUCAAGCAAACACUCAUGGCCCGACUACGGCGCCAAAAUAAAAGAUAACCCAACAAGCGACACGGUCCCGAUCACCCCCAACUGGGCACCACUACCGAUCAUCAGGAAAGGAAACAUAGUAACAUUGAGAGUCUUCGUCAAACUCCCACUUGAGCUCAAGAGCGUCUCCUGGAGCGGAAUCAUCAGGCCCUGCAUCUGGUGUAAUAGUAAUCUGUGAGCCACAGGGACUCAGCAAUCUCGCACCCUCGCGAUCAAGACUAUUUAAGCUUAAUAGGUAAGGGAAAGUAAAAUAUGUGGAGCUGCAGCAAGUGGCUAGCAAAUAUGGUGGCUAACUUAUUCGCAAAAGAGAGCGAGAAGAGGAGGCAAAGCGCGAGCGAGAAACUAGAGAACAACUUGUGCAAACAUUACUCCAACACCGUGUCCACUUCCCGGACUCCGCCGAGAAGAGGCCAUCACGGUAACACACUCAGUUGAUUCAUUUUAAUUAAAUUAAGGUUCAAGUUAUCUACAGCCGGACAUUAAUAAAUUCCCAUCUGCCCAUAACCGCGGGCACGGCUUUCGAAAGUUCAAAUCCCUGCAGGGGAGUUCCAACUUAGCCCUUCACAAGCUCUCACGGUCAACGAAGGAAUAGACCUCCUCCCGAGACGUUCCUAUCAGACUCGGUAUCCCGAUACAACAAGACAUUUCGACAGGGUAAAACUAAACCAGCAACACCGCCCGAAUGUGCUGACAAAUCCCGAUAGGAGCUGCACAUAUCUCUUUCACAGGGCACACUCAGAUGAGACUAGCUACGAGUAAAACCAAACCUCAAGUUUCCGCGAGGUGGUCCCGCAGGCAGCUCAGUCGGACCAACACUCAGAGGAGCACUGGCCCGGGGGGGUUAAAAUAAAGAUGACCCUUGAGUCCGCGAAACCCAAGAGAAAAAGAGGCUAGGUGGCGAAUGGUAAAACCAAUGUUGGGCAUUGCUGGAAGAGCUUUACUUAAGACGAACUGUCAGGGGGUUCCCAUAAUAGCCCAACCGCGUAAGGAACGCAAAAUCCGGGAACAUAACACCGAUAUGACGGAAACUAGGGUGGCAAGAGUGGAACAAAACACCAGGCAUAAGGCCGAGCCUUCCACCCUUUACCAAGUAUAUAGAUGCAUUAAUUAAAUAAGGUAUAUUGUGAUAUCCCAACAAGUAACAUGUUCCAACAAGGAACAACAUCUCCAUGUUCCAACAAGGAACAAACUUCAAUCUUCACCUGCAACUAACAACGCUAUAAGAGGGGCUGAGCAAAGCGGUAACAUAGCCAAUCAACGUUUUGCUAGGACAAGGUGGGUUAGAAGCUUGGUUCAACAAUAUAGGAGACAUGAUAAGCAAGUGGUAGGUAUCGCAGCAUAGGCAUAGCAAAAGAGCGAGCAACUAGCAAGCAAAGAUAGAAGUGAUUUCGAGGGUAUGGUCAUCUUGCCUGAAAUCUCGCAAGGAAGAAGAACGAGUCCAUGAAGAAGAUAAACGGACGUAGUCAAAUGGAUCCUCACAAACGCAAUGUUAACGGAACCAACCCGGAGAAGCAACACCGGAAAAGAAGCACACAGCAUAGUAAACAACCAACACAUGAACAUGGUAUGAUAUGCGAGAUGCGGUAUGCGAUGCAUAUGCAUGAUUGGACAAGGAAUGCAUGAACCUGGCCUCAACUUGGAAAACCAAGAGUUCCACUAGAAAGAUGAGAUGAAAUCUCUUGAAAACGAUAUAAAGAACGCCGGAAUCGGAGUUACGGUUUGGAAAUGGCAAGCGAUUCAAAUAUGGCACCGGUCUGCGAUUUACAGCAAGUAGCCAUCUAAAUGCAACGAAAUGAACAUGCUACAGCACCCAAACAUGACAACAAAAUACAUGGCAGGGAUGCAUUCAAGAAGAUUAACAAAAGUCUAGCACUGAGCUACGGCCAAUUCAUCCAUUAACAGGUUCAAACAAGCAUGGCAAAAAUGCAUAUGGCAAACAGAUCUCAGACUUAGUGAGAUUAACACUUGUCUGGAAUUUCAGAUCAGGUAGCACUCUUCGGAGCAACAAAACUACAUGCUACAGGACCUUAACAUGGCAAAGUAAAGCAUGGCAUGGAGCUACUCAAAGAGCUUAACAAAAGUCCCUUAGUGACCUUGAGCCAAAAGGGAUCAGAAAAUACAAUUACAAGCAUGUGAACAUGGCAAAAACAUAAUCAGUUUUCAGGGAGCAUGCUGAAAACAGAUAUCAAGUAGGCAUGUUUACGAGCUCGAUGCACUCAAUACGGAGCAAUACAUGAUAAGCUAAGCAUACAUCUAUCAAAAACACACAAAAUGCAAGCUGGAAAUGGCAAGAACAAUAGCAUAGCAUGCACGGAUCAACUACAAUAUCAUCGGCAAAAUUGCAAACAAGUUGACAAUCUGCCCAGAUUCACAAAGUAGCAAAAGCAGAGCUCGAUUGACUCAAGCUAGGGUGCUCCAUAAUUGCAAACAAGACAUGGAUGGAUAAAGCACUACAAUAUUAACAAAACAUCCUUACUGAUCACCCUCAAAAGAGGCACGUAUCACUAGGAAACAACAUGAACAUAUGGCAAUAUGAGAUAAACAGAUCAAGGACUUAGUGGAAAUGCUAAGUCCCUGAAAUCAGCAUUACCAAGUGCCUCACUUUGCAAGCUUGUGCUAGUCACCACACACAUCAAAAAAAUACAUGGGUUGCACCUCUGAAAGAUGACAAAACCCUUAACAAAACAUAUGUAGAGCAUCAGGGCAUAUCGUGCACACAAUAAUCAUGGCAAAAAUGACAAAAAGCUAAAUGGAGCAGCAGAUCUGACAAUUAUCUCAAGUAGCCCUCUUCUAACAGCAUUUCGGGCAUCAAGAUGAACUCAGAUGAAAAUGAUGCAGUGAGAUGAAAUUAUGUACUCUCUGAGACGAACAUUUUGAUAUGCUAUAUGCAUGAAUCGGAGCUACAGAUGCAAAGUUACGAGCCGAUGAACAUGGGCAUAUGAAUCUGGCAAUUUCGGGGACUUAGAGGAAUUUACCCCGCGGAAAAAGUCAAUGGAGGACGGGGAUAUCCAGGACGGAGCGGAUCGGGACGAGGGGAGGCGUUUGGUUCACUGGACCGGUGGAUCUCAUCCAACUUGAUCCAGAUCCGAAGCGGGUCGGGUCCGGCGACGACGAAGACGGCCGGAGGCGGGGAAGGUGGCGGCGGAGGUCAACUCCGGCGCGGCCGCGGGCUGCGGGCGGCGCGGGGCGCCACACCGGCGACGAGGAGCCUUGGCGGCGGGGCGGAGAUCCAUGGCGAGGCGCGGUGGCGCGCGGGCAUGGCGGCNNNNNNNNNNNNNNNNNNNNNNNNNNNNNNNNNNNNNNNNNNNNNNNNNNNNNNNNNNNNNNNNNNNNNNNNNNNNNNNNNNNNNNNNNNNNNNNNNNNNNNNNNNNNNNNNNNNNNNNNNNNNNNNNNNNNNNNNNNNNNNNNNNNNNNNNNNNNNNNNNNNNNNNNNNNNNNNNNNNNNNNNNNNNNNNNNNNNNNNNNNNNNNNNNNNNNNNNNNNNNNNNNNNNNNNNNNNNNNNNNNNNNNNNNNNNNNNNNNNNNNNNNNNNNNNNNNNNNNNNNNNNNNNNNNNNNNNNNNNNNNNNNNNNNNNNNNNNNNNNNNNNNNNNNNNNNNNNNNNNNNNNNNNNNNNNNNNNNNNNNNNNNNNNNNNNNNNNGACGGCGGCGGCUGAGGAGCGCAGGGGCGAGCGGACAAAGGGCGGCGGCAGCACGCGAGCGGCGUCGGGCGGCCCGCUCGGGCGAGCGGGCCGGGAGGGCCCGACCCGGGCCACGGUGGGCCUUGCGGCGCGGGAGGAGAGAGAGGAAGCUGGCGCGCUGAGGUGGCGGCGCCUGGUUGGUUCGGGCGGCGGAGAGGGCGACGUGGCGGCGGCGCGGCGGACAUGUCCGGCACGGUGAGGACGCGUCCGGCGACGCGAGGGGAGGAAUUUUAGGGUUUGGACUGCGGGAUUUUUCGGAGGGAGACACAUAUUUAUAGGUGGAGGGAGUUAGGAGAGUCCAAAUGAGGUGCGGUUUUCGGCCACGCGAUCGUGAUCGAACGACCGAGAGGAUGGAAGGGGUUUAGGAGGGUUUUGGGCCACUUUGGAGGGGUGUUGGGCCGCAACACACACGAGGCCUUUUCGGUCCCUCGGUUGACCGUUGGAGUAUCAAGCGAAGUCCAAAUGGUACGAAACUUGACAGGCGGUCUACCGGUAGUAAACCAAGGCCGCUUGGCAAGUCUCGGUCCAAUCCGGAAAUGUUUAAUCCCCACACAUGAGAAGAAGGUAGAAAUGACCACCGGAGGAGAACGGAGCGCCGGAAUGCAAAACGGACAACGGGGAAAAUGCUCGGAUGCAUGAGACGAACAUGUAUGCAAAUGAAAUGCACAUGAUGACAUGAUAUGCAAUGCAAGACACGCAAGCAAUGACAACGCAACAACAGCGAAUAACUGCACGACACCUGGCACAACGGUCUCGGGGCGUUACAAGUUGGGCCCCGAAGAAAUUCAAAUAACCCCGGAAAAAAGGAUGCGGAGGAAGCGAGAAACCACGGCCAACAUGAGUAGCAAGCAAAACGCACACACCCGGCCGCGGCUGCAGCUCCGUCUCCCCCUCCGGCAACCGGGAAGCCUUGUGGACGAUCAGCCCUGACUUGGCCAGCUCAUCCAAAUCCUCUUGCCGAAUCAAAGAUCGGAUCCAAUCACCCUGGAUCCAACCUGGUGGCAGCCCCGAGCGCGAUGAAGAUCCUUGAUUCGUCUUCUUGCACUUCGCCGCCCCCGUCACCUUCUUCGCGUGUUCUAGCGCCGCCGUAUUUUCCUUUCCCAUGGCGGUGGAGCGGCGGCGUCAGGAGUGGAGAAGCCGGAUGCGGUGGUGGAGCAAGAGGAAGAAGAAGGAGAAUGGACGCACACAGUGCAGGCGCCUUGGCCUCGCCGCUUUUAAAGGCCCACUUCCGAGUGGCUGAUGCGCGGGCCUAGGUGAUCCUGUCAAAUCCCUCAAUAGUCGCACGCGAGAUACCUGGCGAAAAAGGUGGCACAGAAAUCAAAACAUUCCUGUUUAUCCACUCCGCUUACCACGGCGUGCUCUGUCCGGCGCGCUUCCCCUGAAAUUUCAAAUCCCUCAAAAUCCGGGAUCCGCUGCAACCAGUCACGCCAAAGAUUUCCCGUCAAAGACAACACUCGACAGGUGACGUUAUAAAACCAAUCGGCAAUUUCUGAAUCGAUCAACGCGACUGAAACGAAGCCAAAAUUCCAACACUGACCUCUGUUCAGAAAUAAAUAGUUGGGAAACACAAGAGUCAAGACAAGAUCAACUUCAACCUUCUUUUCACUCGGACCUCAAUCCAUUCGGGGGCUAAUGAUGAGGACAUAGACCUGGGAUAGGGUAAUAGGCCUGACCUAUAUGUCCUAUCCAAGGUCACUGACUUAGAAGCAAAUAAGCUCAAGAGACGAUAGGGAGGGCCCAACAAAGGUGUCGUGUGCAAUCCACUCGAUCUACCGGUCACUCAGAGACUCCUCCUUCUUUGGGUCACUCAACCACACGAUCAUUCGACCAUACAAGAAUCCAUUUGACCUAUUUGAAGACCAAGAGUCGUCGAGAACAGCAACGGGCAAGCGUCCACUCUAUAACCUUUAAGGCCAUUAAGGUAUUUAAGGCUACCAUUACCAGUAAUGCCAUCUCUUUAUGUACCUUAAACUCCUUGUAACGUGGGCUGGCUGGGGUCCUGGCGCACUCUAUAUAAGCCACCCCCCUCCACUGAGACAAGGGUAUGCACCCCCUGUAAACACACAAAUACAUAAUCCAGUCGACCGCCUCCGGGCACCGAGACGUAGGGCUGUUACUUCCUCCGCAAAGGGCCUAAACUCGUAAAACUCGUGUGUACAACUUCACCAUAGCUAGGAUCUUGCCUCCUCAUACCUACCGCCCAUUCCACUAUCAGUCUUAGAUCCACGACAGUGAUGUCCCACGUACUCUUGAUCCAGCUGAGGCCAAGGGAGAGUUUCGUCAGCACGACGGCGUGAUGAUGGUGAUGAUGAAGUUAGCGACGCAGGGCUUCGCCUAAACACUACAACAAUAUGACCGAGGUGGAAUUCUGUGGAGGGGGGCACCGGACAUGGCUAAACAAUCAACUUGUGUGUCUAUGGGGUGCCUCCCUCCCAUGUAUAUAAAGGAGUGGAGGAGGGAAGGGCCGGCCCUCAUAGGGCGCUCCCAAGGGGGGGAGUCCUAGGUUUCCCCCCUUCCUAGUAGGAGUAGGAGAAGAAGGAAGAGGGAGAGAGAGGGAAGGAAAGGGGGGCCGGGCCCCCACCCAAUUCGGAUUGGGUUUGGUGGGGGGCGCCCUCCACCUGGCCGCCUCCUCCUCUCUCCCACUAAGGCCCAAUAAGGCCCAUUGACUCCCCGGGGGGUUCCGGUAACCCCCUGGUACUCCAGUAAAUGCUCGAACUCAUUCGGAAUCAUUCUGAUGUCCAAACAUAGCCUUCCAAUAUAUCGAUCUUUAUGUCUCGACCAUUUCAAGACUCCUCGUCUUGUCCAUGAUCACAUCCGGGACUCUGAACUACCAUCGGUACAUCAAAACACAUAAACUCAUAAUACCGAUCGUCAUCGAACGUUAAGCGUGCUGACCCUACGGGUUCGAGAACUAUGUAGACAUGACCGAGACUCACUUCUGGUCAAUAACUAAUAGCGGAAUCUGGAUUCUCAUAUUGGUUCCUACAUAGUCUACGAAGAUCUUUAUCGGUCAAACCGCAUAACAACAUAUGUUGUUCCCUUUGUCAUCGGUAUGUUACUUGCCCAAGAUUCGAUUGUCGGUAUCAUCAUACCUAGUUCAAUCUCAUAACCAGCAAGUCUCUUUACUCGUCCGUAAUGCAUCACCCCGCAACUAACUCAUUAGUCACAUUGCUUGCAAGGCUUAUAGUGAUGUGCAAUACCGAGAGGGCCCAAAGAUACCUCUCCGACAAUCGGAGUGACAAAUCCUAAUCUCGAUCUAUGCCAACUCAACAAACACCAUCAGAGACACCUGUAGAGCAUCUUUAUAAUGACCCAGUUACAUUGUGACGUUUGACAUCACACUAAGUGUUCCUCUGGUAUUCAGGAAUUGCAUAAUCUCAUAGUCAUAGGAACAUGUAUAAGUUAUGAAGAAAGUUAUAGCAAUAAACUAAACGAUCAUAGUGCUAAGCUAACGGAUGGGUCAAGUCAAUCACAUCAUUCUCUAAUGAUGUGAUCCCGUUCAUCAAAUGACAACUCAUGUAUAUGGCUAGGAAACUUAACCAUCCUUGAUUAACGAGAUAGUCAAGUAGAGGCAUACUAGUGACAGUCUGAUUGUCUAUGUAUUCACACAUGUACUAAGUUUCCGGUUAAUACAACUCUAGCAUGAAUAAUAAACAUUUAUCAUGAUAUAAGGAAAUAUAAAUAACAACUUUAUUAUUGCCUCUAGGGCAUAUUUCCUUCAUAUUAUGUGUGUGCAAAACUGGCUUGCACCCGUUGUAUGUGAACGUAGAGCUUAUCACACCCGAUCAUCACGUGGUGUCUCGGCACGAUGAACUAUAGCAACGGUGCAUACUCAGGGAGAACACUUAUACCUUGAAAUUUAGUGAGAGGUCAUCUUAUGAUGCUACCACCGAACUAAGGAAAAUAAGAUGCAUAAAGGAUAAACAUCACGUGCAAUCAAAUAAGUGACAUGAUAUGGCCAUCAUCAUCUUGUGCCUUUGAUCUCCAUCUCCGAAGCACCGUCAUGGUCACCAUCGUCACGGGCUUGACACCUUGAUCUCCAUCAAAGCAUCGUUGUCGUCUCGCCAACUAUUGCUUCUGCGACAACCAUAUGGCUCCUGCGAGUUGCCGAUAAUUGUUACAAAACAUGAUCAUCUCAUACAACGAUUUAUAUAUCAUCACGUCUUGACCAUAUCACAUCACAGCAAGCCAUGCAAAAACAAGUUAGACGUCCUCUACUUUGUUGUUGCAAGUUUUACGUGGCUACUAUGGGCUUCUAGCAAGAACCGUUCUUACCUAUGCAUCAAAACCACAACGAUUUUUCGUCAAGUGGGCUGUUUUCACCUUCAACAAGGACCGGGCGUAGUCAAACUCGAUUCAACUAAAGCUGGAGAAACAGACACCCACUAGCCACAUGUGUGUGAAGCACUGCGGUAGAACCAGUCUCAUGAACGCGGUCAUGUAAUGUCGCUCUGGGCCGCUUCAACCAAUAAUACUGCCAAAUCAAAGUAUGACAUGCUGAUAAGAGGUAUGACUAUUAUCGCCCACAACUCUUUGUGUUCUACUCGUGCAUAUAACAUCUACGCAUAGACCUGGAUUGGAUGCCACUGUUGGGGAACGCAGUAUUUCAAAAAAAUUCCUACGAUCACGCAAGAUCUAUCUAGGAGAUGCAUAGCAAUGAGGGGGGAGAGUGUGUCUACGUACCAUCAUAGACCGAAAGCGAAAGUGUUAAGUAACGCGGUUGAUGUAGUCGAACGUCUUCGCGAUCCAACCGAUCAAGUACCGAACGCACAACACGUCCGUGAUCUGCACACUUCAGCUCGGUGACGUCUCUCGUACUCUUGAUCCAGCUGAGGCCGAGCGUGAGUUGCGUCAGCACGACGGUGUUUUGACGGUGAUGAUGAAGUUACCGACGCAGGGCUUCGCCUAAGCACUACGACAAUAUGACCGAGGUGGAAAACUGUAGAGGGGGGCAGCGCACACGGCUAAAGAUCAACUUGUGUGUCUAUGGGGUGCCCCCUCCCCCGUAUAUAAAGGAGGGGGGAGGAGGAGGGCCGACCUCAAGGGGCGCGCCCAAGGGGGGUUCCUACUCCUAGUAGGAGUAGGUUUCCCCCUUUCCUAGUCCAAGUAGGAGAAGGAAGGAGAGGAAGAAGAGAAGGAAAGGGAGGCCGGCCCCCUUAGCCCUAGUCCAAUUCGGUUUGGGCUAGGGGCGCCAAAUCUUGGCCUGCCUCCUCUCUUCCACCACUAGGCCCAUAAGGCCCAAUAACUUCCCCGAGGGGGUUCUGGUAACCCCCGGUACUCUGAAACUUAUCUGAAAUGACCUGAACCAUUCUGUUGUCCGGAUGUAACCUUCCAAUAUAUGAAUCUUUAUGUCUUGACCAUUUCAAGACUCCUCGUCAUGUCUGUGAUCUCAUCCGGGACUCCGAACAACCUUCGGUACAUCAAAUCACAUAACUCAUAAUACAUAUCGUCAUCGAACAUUAAGCGUGCGGACCCUACGGGUUCGAAAACUAUGUAGACAUGACCGAGACACAUCUCCGGUCAAUAACCAAUAGCAGAACCUGGAUACUCAUAUUGGUUCCUACAUAUUCUACGAAGAUCUUUAUCGAUCAAAUUGCAUAACAACAUACAUUGUUCCCUUUGUCAUCGGUAUGUUACUUGCCCGAGAUUCGAUCGUUGGUAUCAUCAUACCUAGUUCAAUCUCAUCGCCGGCAAGUCUCUUUACUCGUUCUGUAAUGCAUCAUCCCAUGAAUAACUCAUUAGUCACAUUGCUUGCAAGGCUCAUAGUGAUGUGCAUUGCCGAGAGGGCCCAAAGAUACCUCUCCGAUACACGGAGUGACAAAUCCUAAUCUCGAUCUAUGCCAACUCAACAAACACCAUCGGAGACACCUGUAGAGCAUCUUUAUAAUUACCCAGUUAUGUUGUGACGUUUGAUAGCACACAAGGUGUUCCUCCGGUAUUCCGGAGUUGCAUAAUCUCAUAGUCUGAGGAACAUGUAUAAGUCAUGAAGAAAGCAAUAGUAAUAAACUAAACGAUCAUAGUGCUAAGCUAACGGAUGGGUCUUGUCCAUCACAUCAUUCUCUAAUGAUGUGAUCCCGUUCAUCAAAUGACAACACAUGUCUAUGGCUAGGAAACUUAACCAUCUUUGAUUAACGAGCUAGUCAAGUAGAGGCAUACUAGGGACACUUUGUUUGUCUAUGUAUUCACACAUGUACUAAGUUUCCGAUUAAUACAAUUCUAGCAUGAAUAAUAAACAUUUAUCAUGAUAUAACAAAAUAUAAAUAAGAAAUUUAUUAUUGCCUCUAGGGCAUAUUUCCUUCACAACUCCACAUCUUGACGGAGGCUCCCAGGAGACACCUAACCAAUCUAGGAGACACCACUCUCCAAAAGCUAAUAGACAGUGUGUUGAGGAUGAACUCCUUGCUCGUGUGCUUCAAAUGAUAGUCUCCCCGACACUCAACUCUCUCUCUCUCUCUCUUAGAUUUGGCUAUGGUGGAAAGGUGAUUUGAGUGGAAAGCAACUUGGGGAAGGCUAGAAAUCAAGAUUCUUGUGGUAGGAUUGUAAUGUCUUAAUCUCAAAACAUGAGUAGGUGGUUCUCUCUCAGAAAAUGUAUGGUGGAAGUGUAGGCACGUUCUUAUGGCUCUCUCACAAAUGGAGAAGGGGCUGGAGGGGUAUAUAUAGCAUCCACACAAAAUCCAACCGUUACACACAUUUGACUCAUCUCGGUGGGACCGAAUAGCUAAACUCGGUGGCACCGACUUGUUCAAAAUCUGAAUUUUAGGAAUCUCGGUGGGACUGACUGGAACAACUCGGUGGGACCUAUGUGCUAGGGCUUAGGGAAAACAUCAUCUCGAUGGCACCGAUUGCAUCAACUUGGUGAGACCGAAGUGAAGCAAUAAGACAACAGAGAAUCUGUCAAGCCAACUCGGUGAGACCGAAAUAAAUGCAACAAUACACAAAGUGUUGGCAAGGCCAUCUCGGUGAGAUCGAGAUCCGUAUCGGUGAGACCGAACUGUUAGGGUUUCUGGUUGUGGCUAUGUCAUAUGAACUCGGUGGCACCGGAUAGAAAGAAUCGGUGGGGCCGAGUUGGAGUUUAGGAUUUUGACAUAUUUGGAUGGAGAAAGUGGCUGAGAGUUUUGGAGAAAUAUCACUAAGCAUUUGAGCAAGCAAGCCAUUAAACAACACCUCACCCCCUUUUAAUAGUAUUUGCUUUCCUAUUGACUCAACGUGAUCUUGGAUCACUAAAAUAAAGAUGAAGAGUCUUGAGCUUUUGCCAAUAUUUGUCCUUAGGGUUCCACAUCCUCUUGUCCAUGCCAAGCCAUUGUUGAACUUGUCUAAAAUACACUAGAUAGAGCAAUUAUUCCAACAAGAAAUAUGUUGACAUUAAUUACCAAAAUCACCCAGGGAGCAUGUAAUGCCCCGGUAGUUAAGCUACAGUAAUCUUCCACUAAUGAUGCCAUGUCACCACUUUUACUGUUGUUACUCUCGUUGAUUCGAAAACAGUUCAAAUUUAAAAUAAAGUCAAAAAUAAAAGUUUUCAAAUGUCAAACUAAAAUGUGCGAACUGUGGCAAAUAAAUCAUAAGUUUUGUUGGUGAAGAAACCAAGUUUUUAUAAAAGGUUUAAGUGUUCCAAAAUGAUUAAAACAGUAGUUAAAGCAAUUAAAUAAAUGUCUAUUAAACUUUGAAAAAUACUAAACCAUUUUUAUUUCGGGGGAAAACUUUUAUGGCAGUGGGUUAUUUUGAAACAUUGUUUUAGGAGCUAAUGUCAUAUUUUAAUAAACUAAAAAUAAUGUGUAAACUAAAAUAAAACAGAAAAGAAUAAGUAAAAGAAGAGAGAAAAUAGACAAAAAAAGAGACGAAGACCCCAUCCCCCUGGGCCGUUCGGCCCACCUGGCCAAGUGACCGGCCAGCCCAGUCGGCCCAUCCCGCAUGCCCCCUGGCCUACUAGGCCAACCCAUCCCACCGCUAACCCUAACUCCCCCCUGUCCCGAUCCCCAUCUCUCUCGUAUCCCUCCCAGCGCCGCACACACCCGACACCCCCCAGCGCCCGGGCGUAGACAGGCCCUACACCCCAACCCCAUCUCCUGCCGUACCGGAGCCCCACCACCGCCGCCGUGUCUGCGCCCAGGGAUCCCCCACCUCCCGCCGUCCUCUCGCCAUCGCCUCGCAGGAGCUCCUCCCAUGGCCAUUGCCUAGUUGUGUCGCGCCAAGUCGCCCCCUCGCCGGAGAUGGACGGAUCCCGGAGGCCCCGCCGGGGGUCCGGCCUCCCUCGCCGGAGCCCCCCUCGUCACCCGCCGCCGUCGUCGGAACCUCCCCGACCUCCUCCUCACGGGUCGCCGCCACGCCUCGCCGCCCCCGCUCCCCGCCAACGGCUGUGAGCGCCUCCCUCGUCUCCUUUUCUCCUUGCCGAUCCGUGCACCCUCUCGCCCACGCAUGGCCUCGCCUCCCUCAGUGAUUGCUCACUCGUCGUUGCUCGCGGCUGGCCUCACCCAGUUCUGCAUCUGCCGUGCCCCAGCCCGCUCAAACGUGCCUGCGCCUCGUCGGCGUUGCUCUUGUCCAGGGCCAUGCCCUGCUCCCCCCCUGUCGCGCUCUGCCCUUGUUGUCGGCGCUCCUCUAUGAGCGGUCGCGCGUUGCCAAGCCAUGGGUGUGUGUGCCACUGCCACUGGGACCAACCCCCCCUUAAAAAAGAACGAAAUGAAUAACCAAAAGAAAUACAUAAAAUAGGAUAAAUAGUUAAUUAAUUAUUUGGUUAAUUAACCUAAUUAAUUGGUUUAGCUAGCCUAACAGUAUAUGACAGUGGAACCCCCUAGUUAAAGUAAACUCUUGAACUAACCCUAGAUUAUGAUAUGUGGCCCCACCUUGGCCAGUUUGACCAGUCAAAGUGUUGACUGUGUAUCACCUAGCCAAUGACAGAUGGUCCCCACCACACUGUUCACGUUUGACCAGUCAAAUGUUGACUGUUGAGUCAACUGUUGACUUGGGCACACUGUUAGCCUCUAGCACAUACUGAUGGGUACACUUUCGGGUGCACUUAGCAUUUAGUCAUUAUAAUAUUUUGAAUUAGUAUAAAUCCAGAAAUUCAGAAAAUAAACUAAAACUUUGAAAAUUAAUAUAAAAUAAUCUGUAACUCGGAUGAAAAAACUUUGUACAUGAAAGUUGCUCAGAACGACGAGAUGAAUCCGAAUACGCAGCCUGUUCAUCCGCCACGCAUCCCUAGCAUAGCGAACACGCAACUUUCCCCCUUCGGUUCAUCUGUCCAAAAACGUGAAACACCGAGGAUAUUUUCCCGGAUGUUCCCCCCUUCACCGGUACCACCUCAUACCGCGUUAGGGCACCCCUAGCACCGCUACUUGUCAUGUCAUGCAUCGCUAUGCAUCUGUUUGCUUAAUAUUUAUUAUUUCUUCCCCCUCUUCUCUCGCUACACACCGAGACCGACGUCGCUGCUACCCAGUACGACUACGGUGUUGACGACUCCUCCUUCUUGUCAGAGCAACCAAGCAAGCCCCCCCCCCUGAUCACCAGAUAUCACCUAUUCUCCUCUCUACUACUUGCAUUAGAGUAGUGUAGCAUGUUACUGCUUCCUGUUAAUCCUAAUCUGUUGCAUAGCUUGUCAUUGUUGCUACAGUUAUUGAUACCUUACCUGCAAUCCUAAAUGCUUAGUAUAGGAUGCUAGUUUACCAUCAGUGGACCUACAUUCUUGUUUGUCUGCCAUGCUAUACUAUCGGGCUGUGAUCACUUGGGAGGUGAUCACGGGUAUAUACUUAUAUACAUAAUAUGUGAUACAUGUGGUGACUAAAGUCGGGUCGGCUCGUCAAGUACCCGCAAGUGAUUCAGAUGUGGGGGCUGAAGGGGCAGGUGGUUCCAUCCAGGUAGUGGUGGGCCUGGGUUCCCGACGGCCCCCGACAGUUACUUGUGACGGAGCGACAGGGCAGGUUGAGACCACCUAGGGAGAGGUGGGCCUGGCCCUGGUCGGCGUUCGUGGUUACUUCAAAAUAACAUGCUUAAUGAGAUCUUGGUAUUUGAUCUGAGUCUGGCCACGGGCCUAUACGCACUAACCAACUACGCGGGAACAGUUAUGGGCACUCGACGUCGUGGUAUCAGCCGAAGCCUUCGUGACGUCAGCGACUGAGCGGGGCACGCCGGAUUGGACUGGAACGCCUGCUCUUGUAUUAGGGAGGCUAGGUCUGCUUACCAGCCGCGUUCGCAACGUGCAGGUGUGCAAUGGGCGAUGGGCCCAGACCCCCGCGCCAUAGGAUUUAGACCGACGUGUUGACCUCUCUAUUGUGCCUAGGUAGGGCUGCGACGUGUUGAUCUUCCGAGGCCGGACAUGACCCAGAAAAGUGUCCGGCCAAAGGGGAUCGAGCGUGUUGGGAAAUGUGGUACACCCCUGCAGGGAAGUUAAUCUAUUCGAAUAGCCGUGAUCUUCGGUAACAGGACGACUUGGAGUUGUACCUUGACAUUAUGACAACUAGAACUGGAUACUUAAUAAAACACACCCUUCCAAGUGCCAGAUACAACCGGUGAUCGCUCUCUCACAGGGCGACGAGGGGAGGAUCAUCGGUUAGGAUUAUGCUAUGCGAUGUUACUCAGUGAACUUACCAUCUACCCUCUUCUUUUGCUGCAAGAUGGAGGUUACCAGAAGCAUAGUCUUCGAUAGGACUAGCUAUCCCCCUCUUAUUCCGGCAUUCUGCAGUUCAGUCCACAUACGAUACCCCUUUUCCCUUUGAUACCAAUGCAUAGAUAUGUAGUGUAGCUCCUUGCUUCCGAGUACUUUGGAUGAGUACUCAUGGUUGCUUUGCUCCCCUUUUUUCCCCUUUCUAUACUCGAUUGCUGCGACUAGACGAUGGAGCCCAGGAGCCAGACGCCACCGUCGACGACGACUCCUACUACACUGGAGGUGCCUACUACUACGUGCAGCCCGCUGACGAUGACCAGGAGUAGUUUAGGAGGAUCCUAGGCAGGAGGCAUGCGCCUCUUUCGAUCUGUAUCCCAGUUUGUGCUAGCCUUCUUAAGGCAAACUUGUUUACUUAUGUCUGUACUCAGAUAUUGUUGCUUCCGCUGACUCGUCUAUGAUCGAGCUCUUGUAUUCGAGCCCUCGAGGCCCCUGGCUUGUAAUAUGAUGCUUGUAUGACUUAUUUUAUUUGUAGAGUUGCGUUGUGAUAUCUUCCCGUGAGUCCCUGAUCUUGAUUGUACACGUUUGCAUGUAUGAUUAGUGUAUGAUUGAAUCGGGGGCAUCACAAGUUGGUAUUAGAGCCGACUGCCUGUAGGAAUCCCCCUUCCAAACUCCUUGGCCGGAGUCGUGUCUAGUCACUACAAAACUUUUACUAACAUGGCUGUGAGUCUUACGGGCCCACGUCGCCAUUGGGUGGUACUAGGAUCUUUUACUCCUCGAUCUAUACUCUGGGACUCUGAACUCUCUUCUAUUCGGGUUUAAAUGGUUUUACUAACUCUAACAUUAGGAUCUCGUGAUCACUUCCUCCCAGAGAGCCCCUUAUAACAGAUGAUCGCCUGCUGCACCAGAAGAUUCUGAAGAUACUCUCUAGUGUUCUCUCAAGACUUUGUGUCAUCGCUUUUGCAUUCCCUACCACUGUUAUAUCCUUAGGGAUAACUGCAUACACUUGCCAGUCUUACGUUCAACCCCAUUGAUCUUGUUAAUACAAGAUGCCUCGAACUGCUCUCUGUUAUUCCGAGAAUCCUUUGAGCUACUGCCUUGCAGAUCUUUGCUGCAUGAAUACCCCUACGAAUAAUUCCUCACAUUUACCGAGAAUUUGUUCAUUUCUAGUUGUUCGUGUGUUUCACAAAGUUCUUUGAAAAACUAUUUCAUCUUCUAAAAAUCCUCAACAACCUAUUGUACCCGAAUUUCUUGCCUUCCAGCCUUAUGGUUAAUUCCGUAUUUCUGGUAAUCUCUGUUAACAUUAUUUGUCACUAUCAUUCUAAGUUCCUUGAUUCAAUAUAUUGCGAAUGCUCGCAAUCCUCAAUCAGAUCCUAGAAUUCAUCCUUUCAGCUCAGACGUCAUUUUAAACAUGAGCUGGAUCUUGACCAAUCAAAUCCAUUGAUUAUACCCCUAAGGCUAUUCAACUUAUCCAUCCCUAAUCAGAGCAUUGCUUCUGAUCCCUUGUCUUGGAAUUCAUAAUUCCUUUGCAUUUGAGCUUUGAAUUAGUCAGUUGUUUCUAUAAUCGUAUCUCCUUGCAUUCUUUCUUCUUCUGGUUGAGUACUGAUGCUCACAUCAGAUCCCUUAUGGACCACCAGAUCCUUUGUUGGAUUUUAUCUGACAACGUCCUUCAUAUUCAAUAACCUUGUGAGCCUUCCCUCGGAUACAUAAUGCCUUUGGUAAAUUGUAUCCUCUGCUUUCUCAACUUUGCUUUGCUCUCGAGCUAGUGAUAUUUACUCUUGAAGCUUGUGGUAUAUGUUUCUAAGAUUCCCCGAUGGGUUGAACCUAUACCUUCUCUAAAAUCGUGUGAACCCAAAAGUUUUCACGAGUCAUACUCUACUGUUGUUAUGUCAGAUAAAAUUUCAACACAACUUCGUUGAAGGCGAGAAGUGAAUGAAAGGUUAUGCAUUAGAGAAGUGGGAGUCGGCCUUGAACUUUGUGUUCAUGCCCAUUGACACGAUGUAGAUCCUAUCAUGGAAGCUUCUUGUAAUAAUAACUAUUUCCUUGGUAAGUAUCAUCGGGUAUCUGUGAAUUGACCCUUUGGAACCGUGGAUCUGACCAUGAUUGUUCUCCUUUGAUUCUAUUUCUCGGACAAGUUAAAGUACUUGUCUCCUACAGAUUAGUACGCCUGCCCAACCUCUAUUUUGUUCUACCUUCGAGUAUUACCCCCUGGUAUCUCGAGGAUAUCAACCCAUUGCACUUCAUCUUAUGAAUUUUUGAUGAAGUAGUACCUUUCCCCGUCAUAAUUACUCCACGGGUUCUGGGUUGUCGUCAAUCGAGAAUGCCGAUUAGUGAAUCGAAUCUGCACUACAAUUCAGUACCUUCUAGUACUUUGUUGUUGAGGAGUUUAAUACUCCAUCACGUCAUUCCUAGCCUGGUCGGCUAUAUUCAUUAUUGUGCUAAAUGUUAACUGUGCUACCUGGUCCUUAUUCCCGAAGCACAACUUUCGAUGAGGAGCUAAACUUACGUUGAUCUUCCUCGUCAUACCAUUUCGCCUUGAACAGCAAGCUUGAUUUCGAGUUUGUGUCGUACCCUUGAUUCCAAUAACUUUUCGCUUCACCAUUCCUUUGACUUGAUGUCAUUGCCGAUCGAUUACAUCUUCAAGAAACCUCUCGACAAGUGUGUCGUGAUCAUCGUCAACAUUUUAACUUCUUCUGAGAUAUCAAUUGAAUUCAUGAUGAGAAAUUCCAUGCUUGCCCUCGAUGAUUUGUGUUCUCAUCGACCACUUUAUUGCCUUCCCUCGAACACAAACUUGUUCGUGUUAUGGGUUAUACCUUGAGUUCCUUGCUAUCCAACAUUUGUUCUUAUUUAGCUUGGAGUAUUACCAUCUUUUAUGACAAGAAUGUUGUGAGGAUUACUCCACCUCAUAAGAAUUCUUGUUAUAGUGAUACUUCUCACCAUCAUCAUUCUUUCUUGGUCCUCGUGUUGUUUCUAACUGGAAAAUCGACAAUUGAACUAUGACGUGGGAAUUCAAAACUUCUAGCAACCCUAUUGCUUUGAAGUUAAUGGUCGAUAGUUCAUUCUUAGACUAUUGGUUAUUGAAUCACCAUUCUGACAUUGAUCAUGCUACCUAACCCCAUAUUUCGGGUGCUCCUCUCAAUCAAUGUUUAAUUGUGUAUGCUUUCCUCGAGCAUACACCAUUAUAUCAUUUGAUCUGACAAAUUUCAUCUCCUUGUUCACAUGAUUGUGGAAACCCACCUUUUUGCAAAUCUGGAGGAAUGGUCGUUGAGCCAUCAGCCACCUCCUCAUCCUCUCCUUGGUUUAAUGAUGAACUCUUGUUUCGAAACUCGCUUCCAUAGUUCAUUUCCAAGAAUCUUACAAUGUCAUCUCGUCAAUGUGUGUUACACCUAUUCUUCUCAGGCACCCUGAGUCUGAGGUAUCCUAACACCGACCAGAUUUGAAUCUUGGUCAGAUAUGAUGGUUGGAAUAUAUUUCCAAGGGUAAUAACAAUGUUCUUUCAUGACCCGGUAAGGUGAUGUCAUGCCCAGCACACCUGGCCGGAGGACCUACUGUUAUAGCUUCGUUUUUAGCAAGGUUAUCCAUUCUUCCAUGAGGAAAUUGUAAGACUUAUUCUAUGAGUUGUUCCUGAUGGAUCCUUUGUGUAUCCAAAGUCUGACAUUGCUUGAAGACCAUGCCAAUGCUAUCUCGAAGCAUGUCUGUGGUACUCCGACUUUCAAUAAGAACAUCUGAAGCACAAUGCUAAAUUUACAUUAUCAAUUAUUCAAACACCGUUGUAUGGGUAAUGUCAUGAAAUUUCUCUCCCCUUACCUAAAGGGUUUUCUACAUUAUAUCUUGUCACGUAUAUCAUGCUCUGCUUGUCCUUGGGAAGGAUAUACCCCUGAAAUAUGUGUUUAAACACAUUUUUCCUUUCCAUUGUUCUGUUUAAUCUGAUAAUCACAUCUUCCUUUCCAUUCUUUGGUUUAACCUUUCUUGUGAUCUAUAUGAUCCACGCAGAAAUAUUCUCCUGCUUAUGUAAACACCUCGGUGUACAAUUCUGUCAACAAGACCCUGUUACUAUUGUUGAUGACAUUUCGGUAACCACCGAUGGACGAGAACUUUGCCUAUUUGCCCGCCUUGUUCAACGAGCAGUAAAUGGUUCUCUUUGUCCCUCGCCCUUGGUACCGACGUUGUCGCCGACAUAACUGAUAGGCUAUCCCCUGACCUGCCUUGCUUACAUGAUUGUGCAAGGUGCCAGCGCCCUUUCUACAUUUAACCCACAUGGUGGGCCCAUAACCCACAGUUCCACAUGAUCGAAACCUGACUCUUCUGUACCCCCAUGUUGCCAAAGUUAUUCCUCGCGCUUGAUUUCGUAUGUAAUUCAUGGGUCAUCUCCCUAGUAAUCUACUUUGGUAUCAAACGCAAAACUUAUUCUCGUUGCUCUGGACCCCUUUCACACCUUGUUCAGGCAUCGAACGAUUGCCUACCCGCUUAAGCUUCUCAUGGUACCUCCUUACUUUGAUCUCGAUUUUUUUCUUAAGUUUCAGUUCGAGAGAUACUUUCCGUCACCUUCCCCCGAUGUUAGCUACGAGGUAGUCAACCUUGCAGAGGUCCGUUCUUCCGGAAUAACCACCCUUUAUCCUUUCGUAAGUACGGAGAAGAUCCUGAAGCAAGGACGACAGCUUCAUCACGAUGCAUUCAGGCAUAGGAAUGAAGACAUCAAUGCUAUGGAUCGACCUCUUCGAGAAGAGCAACCAAGACCGAGAAGAUCCGUUAGAAUUUCGUAACCAAAACUUUCCUCCUUACUCCACCUCUUAAAUCUCGGGACGAGAUUUCUUGUAGUGGAGGAGAUUUGUAAAGCCCCGGUAGUUAAGCUACAGUAAUCUCCCACUAAUGAUGCCACGUCACCUCGUUUACUGUUGUUAGACUCUUGUUGAUUCGAAAACAAUUCAAAUUUAAAAUAAAGUCAAAAAUAAAAUGUUUUCAAAUGUCAAACUGAAAUGUGCGAACUAUGGCAAAUAAAUCGUAAGUUUUGUUGGUAAAGAAACCAAGUUUUUAUAAAAGGUUUAAGUGUUCCAAAAUGAUUAAAAUAGUAGUUAAAGUAAUUAAAUAAAUGUCUAUUAAACUUUGAAAAAUACUAAACCAUUUUUAUUUCGAGGUAAAACUUUUAUGGUAGUGGGUUAUUUUGAAACAAUGUUUUAGGAGCUAAAGUCAUAUUUUAAUAAACUAAAAAUAAUGUGCAAACUAAAAUAAAACAGAAAAGAAUAAGUAAAAGAAGAGAAAAAAUAAACAAAAAAAGACGAAGACCCCAUCCUCCGGCGCGUCAGGAGAUGGCCAAGCGACCGGCCAGCCCAGUCGGCCCACCCCGCAUGCCCCCUGGCCUACUAGGCCAACCCAUCCCACCGCUAACCCUAACUCCCCCCUGUCCCGAUCCCCAUUUCUCUCUCGUCUCCCUCCCAGCGCUGCACAUACCCGACACCCCCAGCGCCAGGGCGCAGACAGGCCCUGCGCCCCAACCCCAUCUCCUGACGCGCCGGAGCCCCACCACCACCGCCGCGCCCGCGCUCGGGGAUCCGCCACCUCCCGCCGUCCUCGCGCCAUCGCCUCGCAGGAGCUCCUCCCAUGGCCACCGCCUAGUUGUGACACGCCAAGUCGCCCCCUCGCCGGAGAUCGACGGAUCCUGGAGACCUCGUCGUGGGUCCGGCCUCCCUCGCCUUCUUCCUCCUCGCCGGAGCCCCCCUCGUCACCCACCGCCGUCGCCGGAACCUCCCCGACCUCCUCCUCACGGGUCGCCGCCAUGCCUCGCCGCCCCCGCUCCCCGGCAACGGCUGUGAGCGCCUCCCUCGUCUCCUUUUCUCCUAGCCGCAGUCACCGACGCCCCGCGCCGAUCCGUGCACCCUCUCGCCCAUGCAUGGCCUCGCCUCCCUCUGCUACUGCUUACCCGUCGUUGCUCGUGGUCGGCCUCGCCCAGUUCUGCAUCUGCCGUGCCCCAGCCCGCUCCGGCGUGCCUGCGCCUCAUCGGCGCUGCUCCUGUCCGGGGCCAUGCCCUGCUCCCCCCGUCGCGCUCUGCGCUCGUCGUCGGCGCUCCUCUAUGAGCGGCCGCGCGUUUCCAAGCCAUGGCUGCUUGUGCCACUGCCACUGGGACCAACCCCCCCUUAAAAAAAAGAACGAAAUGAAUAACCAAAAGAAAUACAUAAAAUAGGAUAAAUAGUUAAUUAAUUAUUUGGUUAAUUAACCUAAUUAAUUGGUUUAGCUAGCCUAACAGUAUAUGAUAGUGGAACCCCCUAGUUAAAGUAAACUCUUGAACUAACCCUAGACUAUGACAUGUGGCCCCACCUUGGCCAGUUUGACCAGUCAAAGUGCUGAUUGUGUAUCACCUAGCUAAUGACAGAUGGCCCCCACCGCACUGUUCACGUUUGACCAGUCAAAUGUUGACUGCUGAGUCAACUGUUGACUUGGGCCCACUGUUAGCCUCUAGCACAUAUUGCUGGGUACACUUUCGGGUGCACUUAGCAUUUAGUCAUUAUAAUAUUUUGAAUUAGUAUUAAAUCCAGAAAUUCAGAAAAUAAAUUAAAACUUUGAAAAUUAAUAUAAAAUAAUCCGUAACUUGGAUGAAAAAACUUUGUACAUGAAAGUUGCUCAGAACGAUGAGAUGAAUCCAAAUACGCAGCCCGUUCGUCCGCCACGCAUCCCUAGCAUAGCGAACACACAAAUUUCCUCCUCCGGUUCAUCUGUUCGAAAACGCGAAACACCGGGGAUAUUUUCCCGAAUGUUUCCCCCCUUCACCGGUACCACCUCAUACCGCGUUAGGGCACCCCUAGCACCGCUACUUGUCAUGUCAUGCAUCACUAUGCAUCUGUUUGCUUAAUAUUUAUUGUUUCUUCCCCCUCUUCUCUCGCUAGACACCGAGACCGACGCCGCUGCUAUCCAGUACGACUACGGUGUUGACGACCCCUCCUUGCCAGAGCAACNNNNNNNNNNNNNNNNNNNNNNNNNNNNNNNNNNNNNNNNNNNNNNNNNNNNNNNNNNNNNNNNNNNNNNNNNNNNNNNNNNNNNNNNNNNNNNNNNNNNNNNNNNNNNNNNNNNNNNNNNNNNNNNNNNNNNNNNNNNNNNNNNNNNNNNNNNNNNNNNNNNNNNNNNNNNNNNNNNNNNNNNNNNNNNNNNNNNNNNNNNNNNNNNNNNNNNNNNNNNNNNNNNNNNNNCAGAUAUCGCCUAUUCUCCUCUCUACUACUUGCAUUAGAGUAGUGUAGCAUGUUACUGCUUCCUGUUAAUCUUAAUCUAUUACAUAGCCUGUCAUUGUUGCUACAGUUAUUGAUACCUUACCUGCAAUCAUAAAUGCUUAGUAUAGGAUGCUAGUUUACCAUCAGUGGACCUACAUUCUUGUCUGUCUGCCAUGCUAUACUAUCGAGCUGUGAUCACUUGGGAGGUGAUCACGGGUAUAUACUUAUAUAUAUAAUAUGUGAUACGUGUGGUGACUAAAGUCGGGUCGGCUCGUAGAGUACCCGCAAGUGAUUCCGAUGUGGGGGCUGAAGGGGCAGGUGGUUCCAUCCAAGUAGUGGUGGGCAUGGGUUCCCGACGGCCCCCGACUGUUACUUGUGAUGGAGCGACAGGGCAGGUUGAGACCACCUAGCAAGAGGUGGGCCUGGCCCUGGUCGGCGUUCGCGGUUACUUCAAAAUAACACGCUUAAAGAGAUCUUGGUAUUUGAUCUGAGUCUGGCCACUGGCCUAUACGCACUAACCAACUACGCGGGAACAGUUAUGGGCACUCGACGUCGUGGUAUCAGCCGAAGCCUUCGUGACGUCAGCGACUGAGCGGCGCGCGCCGGAUUGGACUGGAACGCCUGCUCUUGUAUUAGGGAGGCUAGGUCUGCUUACCGGUCGCUGAGGGAGUCCUGGAUUUGGCGGUCUCCGGAUAGCCGGACUAUAUCCUUUGGCCGGACUGUUGGACUAUGAAGACAUAAGAUUGAAGACUUCGUCCCGUGUCCGGAUGGGACUCUACUUGGCGUGAAAGGCAAGCUAGUCAAUACGGAUAUGUAUAUCUCCUCCUUUGUAACCGACCUUGUAUAACCCUAGCCCCCUCCGGUGUUUAUAUAAAUCGAAGGGUUUUAGUCCGUAGGACAACAUACAAUCAUACCAUAGGCUAGCUUCUAGGGUUUAGCCUCUCCGAUCUCAUGGUAGAUCAACUCUUAUACUACUCAUAUUAUCAAGAAUAAUCAAGCAGGACGUAGGGUUUUACCUUCAUCAAGAGGGCCCGAACCUGGGUGAAACAUCGUGUCCCCUGCCUCCUGUUACAAUCCGCCUUAGACGCACAGUUCGGGACCCCCUACCCGAGAUCCGCCGGUUUUGACACCGACAUUGGUGCUUUCAUUGAGAGUUCCUCUGUGUUGUCGCCGUUAGGCUUCAUGGCUCCUUCGAUCAUCGAUAGCGAUGCAGUCCAGGGUGAGACUUUUCUCCCCGGACAGAUCUUUGUGUUCGGCGGCUUCGCACUACGGGCCAACUCGCUUGGCCAUCGGGAGCAGAUCGAGAGUUACGCCCCUGGCCACCAGGUCAGGUUUGGAAGCUUAAACUACACGGCCGAUAUCCGCGGAGACUUGAUCUUCGACGGAUUCGAGCCCCUACCUUGUGCGCCACACGGUCACGAUGAGUAUGAUUUAGAUCUACCAUCAGACAGUGUUCAGGAGAUCGCACCGGCAACCGCUCUGACCCUCAAUUCGGAACCAGCUGCGCCAUCCAUGGACGGGUGGAUAGACCCCGCCACGGAGGCCGCACUCUCAUCGGCGAUCAAGCCGAGUAUCGACCUUACCCUUCACGAGAGCCAUGACGCCGAACUACCGGAUUCCUCCCUGGCCACGGACUCCCAACCGCCUGCGCCCAUGCCUAUCGAAUCCGAUUGGGCGCCGAUCAUGGAGUUUACCUCCGCGGAUAUCUUUCAGCACUCGCCCUUCGGCGACAUACUUAACUCAUUAAGGUCUCUCUCCUUGUCAGGAGAGUCCUGGCCGAACCAUGUUUGGCAGGAUUGGGAUGCGGAUGACGAAGAAAUUCGCCGCCCACCACCACCCACUUAGUAGCCACUGUCGACGACUUAACCGACACGACUUCGACUCCGAAGACAUCGACGGUAUGGACGACGAUGCGGGAGGCAAAGAGGAACCACUGCCCACCGGGCACUGGACAGCCACCUCAUCAUAUGAUAUAUACAUGGUGGACACACCCAAAGAAGGCAAUGGCGACGAGACAGUGGAGGAUGACCCCUCCAAGAAGCAACCCAAGCGUCGGCCUCAACGGCGCCGCUCUAAGUCUCGCCAAAGCAAAAUCGGUGACCCCGGCACAGGAGAUAAUGGCACUCCGGACAGUGCCAAAGACAACAACAAUCCCCUCCAGCAAGAUUUAGGGCAGGAGGAUGGAGAAGCCAGCCCUCCAGAGAGAGCGGCAUAUGGAGAGGCGGAGGAUGAUAAUUACAUGCCUCCCUCCAAAGACGAGGCAAGCCUCGACGAUGACGAAUUCGUCAUGCCUGAGGAUCCCGUCGAACAAGAGCGCUUCAAGCGCCGGCUUAUAGCCACGGCAAAUAGCCUUAAGAAAAAGCAACAGCAGCUUCAAGCUGAUCAAGAUUUGCUAGCUGACAGAUGGACUGAAGUCCUUGCGGCCGAGGAAUAUAAACUCGAACGCCCCUCCAAGAGUUACCCAAAGCGUAGGUUGCUACCCCGACUGGAGGAGGAAGCACUCAAACCUACAUCUCCAGCAUAUGAUGCGGCUGACCGGCCACCUCGUGGCUGCGACAGAGAGGCAUUUCAGCCAAAAACUCAGCCCGCACCCCGACGCCACUCAAAUAAAAUGACAAGGCACGGGGAAACAUGCUAGACCUGCGAUACGUAUUGGAGGACAAAGCAAAACAUGCAAGAUCGAUCUACGGAUCACGAGGGCGCGCCACUAUGCGAGACGAUAACCGUCACGCCGGAUACAGUAAAAGUAAAUCCGGUCGGGCCGAACACAACGGGCAAGACUCAUUUGAGCUGCGUCGUGAUAUAGCCUAGUACAGAGGCGCCGCACACCCCCUAUGCUUCACAGACGAAGUAAUGGAUCACCAAAUCCCUGAGGGUUUCAAACCUGUAAAUAUCGAAUCAUAUGACGGCACAACAGAUCCUGUGGUAUGGAUCGAGGAUUUCCUCCUGCACAUCCACAUGGCCCGCAGUGAUGAUCUACACGCCAUCAAAUACCUCCCACUCAAGCUCAAAGGACCAGCUCGGCAUUGGCUCAACAGCUUGCCAGUAGAGUCCAUUAGCUGUUGGGAAGAUCUGGAAGCCGCAUUCCUCGACAACUUCUAGGGCACUUAUGUGCGACCGCCAGAUGCCGAUGACUUGAGCCACAUAAUUCAGCAGUUAGAGGAAUCGGCCAGACAAUUCUGGACACGAUUCCUAACAAAGAAGAAUCAAAUCGUCGACUAUCCGAAUGCAGAAGCCCUAGCAGCUUUUAAGCAUAACAUCAGCGACGAGUGGCUCGCCCGGCACCUUGGCCAGGAAAAGCCGAAAUCUAUGGCAGCCCUCACGACACUCAUGACCCGCUUUUGUGCAGGAGAAGACAGCUGGCUGGCUCGCAGCAAUAACAUAUCAAAGAACCAUGGUACUUCGGUUACCAAGGAUGGCAAUGGCAGGUCACAUCGCAACAAACACAAGCGCCGCAUUAACAGGGACAAUACAGAGGAUACGGCAGUCAAUGUCGGAUACAAAGGCUCUAAACCCGGUCAGCGGAAAAAGCCAUUUAAAAGAAGCACUCCGAGCCCGUCCAGUUUGGACCGUAUACUCGAUCGCUCGUGUCAAAUACACGGCACCCCCGACAAGCCAACCAACCACACCAACAGGGAUUGUUGGGUGUUCAAGCAGGCCGGCAAGUUAAAUGCCGAAAACAAAUAUAAGGGGCCGCAUAGCGAUGACGAGGAGGAGCCCUGGCAGCCGAACACCGGAGGACAGAAGAGGUUUCCCCCACAAGUGCGGACGGUGAACAUGAUAUACGCAACCCACAUCCCCAAGAGGGAGCGGAAGCGUGCGCUAAGGGACGUAUAUGCGUUGGAGCCAGUCGCCCCAAAGUUCAACCCAUGGUCCUCUUGCCCGAUCACCUUCGAUCGCAGGGACCACCCCACUAGUAUCCGUGAUGGCGGAUUCGCCGCACUGGUCCUAGAACCAAUCAUUGACGGAUUUCACCUCACUCGAGUCCUUAUGGAUGGCGGCAGCAGCCUGAACCUACUUUAUCAGGACACAGUGCGGAAAAUGGGUAUAGACCCCUCAAGGAUCAAACCCACAAAACGACCUUCAAAGGCGUCAUACCAGCUGUAGAGGCCCAUUGCACAGGCUCGGUGACACUAGAAGUGGUCUUCGGAUCCCCGGAUAACUUCCGAAGCGAGGAGUUAAUCUUCGAUAUAGUCCCGUUCGCAGUGGCUAUCAUGCACUGCUCGGGCGAACCGCAUUUGCGAGAUUCAAUGCGGUACCGCAUUAUGCAUACCUCAAGCUCAAGAUGCCAGGACCUCGGGGGGUCAUCACAGUUAAUGGAAACACAGAGCGCUCUCUCCGCACGGAGGAGCACACUGCGGCCCUCGCAGCAGAAGCGCAAAGUAGCCUCUUAAGGUAAUCCACUAGUUCGGCGAUUAAGGAUCCGGACACCUCCAAGCGCGCCCAGAGUAAUCGGCAGCAAGACCGCCUGGCACGUUCCGAGCUCGCAUAGCAAUGCGGCCCCCACCCCAGUACUAGCCAAACGGCGAAAUCCGCGCCACGCGUACAUAAUUACACAUUGAAAAUACCAUGGGCACAGGUGGGGAGGGGGCAUGACUACGACACGCCCCAAGACGCGGCUCAACCGCACUAGGGGCUUCCCGCUUUGUUAUUUUUCUCUCUUUCAGGACCUUAAUCUCUAGAAACCCUAUCCGGCAGUAUGAUUGCCGAACACAUGAUGCAGCAACCAAGGAGGCAGAAAGCUACGUCGCACCACGGAACUCCCAGGUGGUCUCUGACAACGAGUGAAAUACUCGCUCUAAAUACCAUUCCCCAGCUUGCCCUUGGAGGGGACAUGUCAAAUAGUCCUACUUUUUGCUUACCACACCACUUGUAUCAUUCUGCUUUAACGCACCUUUUUGAAUAAACAAUGCAUAGCACUAGACUAUUAUCGCAUUCUUUAUUCUUCUUUUUUUAUAUAUACAUAUGUUCAUUCAUGACAUCCAGCACCCGUACACUCUGGUACGGCCAAUACGCUAGGGGCUUAAGCAUACCCCAUAAUACGGCGUGAGAAGUCCGAACACUUUAGACAGUGCGGCACCCCGAACUUAUAGCAUUAUAUGCAUCAGCUCCGAAUCAUGUCUUGGGUCAAUAGUUGGGUUUGCCCGACUCCCAUGUUUUGGUACCUUAUGUUCUGCUAUAUCGGCUAAGGUAGCACUAGGAGAACUACUACAAUUGUGCCCUGGUUCAGCUAGGCUAAGCACCUCAGUAGAGAAAGCUAAAACUGACUGUCAUGAUAUGGCGAGAGACUGGUCACUGUUCGAGAGGUUUCGAGUCCCUAAAGACUUAUGCCGCUUAGAGUGAGGAGUCGGUUUUGUUCGGCUUAAGGCGUGUAUAGCGCCCCAAAUUCGGCCUUCCGAAUACUAGGGGCUUCACCAAAAUUUAAAAUUAUAGAAUUCUAUGGCUAAGUGAGAGUGAUAAAGCAUUAUAGUCCGAUUGCCUUGUUCGUUGCGUUGAGCACCUCCCUCGAAGGACCCAAAAAUGGGAACAAGAGUGCUCAGGUUUAUCCCGAACACCCCAGCACUCGUGGCAUGGGGGCAGAAGCCGACGACUGGCCGUCUCUCAGAUUUGAUAAACAUCCGAACAGAAGGUAAUAUUUUAAAUUCAAACAAGCGUUUCAUAGCGCAUAUGAACAAGUUUUCAUACCACAGGAUCACACGAGCAAGUUCAUUCAAAUAUUACAUCUUUCGCACACUCGUCCGCUACAAGACGGGCACCCUUCAGAACACCCUCAUAAUACAUCUUGGGGUGGCGAUGCUCCUUGCCCUGCGGCGGCCCCUCCUUCACCAGCUUCUCGGCGUCCAUCUUGGCCCAGUGCACCUUCGCACAGGCAAAAGCCCGGCGUGCACCCUCGAUGCAAACGGACCGCUUGAUGACUUCCAGCCGUGGGCAGGCAUCCACAAGCCGCCUCACCAGGCCGAAGUAGCUGUUGGGAAGGGCGUCGCCAGGCCACAUCCGGACUAUAAAGCCCUUCAUUGCCUGUUCGGCCGCCUUGUGCAGCUCGACCAGUUGCUUCAGCUAGUCGCUCAUAGGCAUCGGGUGUUCGGUCCCAGUAUACUGAGACCAGAACAGCUUCUCCGGCGAGCUUCCCUCCUCGGCCUGGUAAAACUUUGCGGCAUCCAACACGCUGCGGGGCAAAUCUGCGAAUGCUCCUGGAGAGCUCCGGACUCGGGUAAGUAACAAGUAAUUUACUUUCACAUGCUUGCUUUGCAUAUUGAAUGCCUUACCCGUCACUAUCUUCCUCAUCGCCUCAAUCUCCUGGAGGGCCUUUUGGGCUUCAGCCUUGGAAUUCUUUGCGCUCUCAAGGGUCGCGGCAAUCUCAGACUCUCGCGUCUUCGAGUCAAGCUACAACGCCUCGUGCUUCACCACGAGAGCUUGGAGCUCUUGCUGCACCUCGCCCACCCGUGCCUCUUGCUUUUCCCGCUCGGUGCGCUCCUGGGCCGCUUUGUUUUCGGCCUCGGAUAGCGCUUGCUUCAGGGUCGCCACUUCGGUCGUGGCCCCUGGCAAAUUCAUGAUGAUCCUGUCAUUUUGCAAUCGCAUCUUUUUUGUAUAUAUAUAUAGACGAGGUAUUACUUACCUUUGUUCUCCUCGAGCAGCCUCUUGGCAAGGCCGAGCUCUUUCUCGGACCCCUCGAGGUCUUGCUUCAGUGCGGCGACCUCCGCAGUCAGUGCGGCAGAGGUCAGCAGCGAAGACAUAACCAAGAAACCAUCUACCUCAACCUUCGAAAAGCAUCCGUUAUACAAGUUAUGGCGAUACUCCCGAACUCCCGCCCCAGUAUUGGGUGGCGUCAAGGUUAUCUCACCAACGAAUUGCAUAAAAGAGAUUUUCGAUGUCGGCGUACUAGACUCAGGUGUUCCAGAACUGCAACGAUAAAAUUAUGAUGACAACACCUCAGAGCUCAACUCCCCGGGACACUUCCACAAAACCCCUAACAGGAGGCACCAAGACAAUGUUCUCGUCAUAAAACCACCGGCACGAUUCCAAGAUACCCGCAUGAUCCAAAAAAAAUUUAGUGAAAUUUGAGAAGAGAAGAGUCAAAACUCUACGUCAGGAUGCCUUACCAGAGCGAUGAGGAGACUGGGAAGUAAAAAGAAUUCCUAAACUCUCCGAUAUAUAAUUCCUAAAUGACUCAAAACAUUUUUCUAGACACAACUCGGCCGCUAAGAACGAUCAAGCAAUGGAGCUCCUAAGGUCGGGGAAGGCUCUGAUACCAACUUGUAACGCCCUCAAUGCGGCUAUAUCUCCCACGUGUCGAAGCACGACUUAGAGGCAUAACCGCAUUGAAAGCAAUGUCGCAAGUGAGGUAAUCUUCACACAACCCAUGUAAUACAUAAGGGAAAGAGGUACAUAGUUGGCUUACAAUCGCCACGUCAAUCAAGUACAUAAAUAACAUUACAUCAACCAAACACUCAUGGCCCGAUUACGGCGCCAAAAUAAAAGAGAACCCAACAUGCGACAACGAUCCCAAUCAAGAGGCUAGGUGGCGAAUGGUAGGUUGGGCAUUGCUGGAAAAGCUUUAAUCAAGGCGAACUAUCAAGGGGUUCCCAUUAUAACCCAACCGCGUAAGGAACGCAAAAUCCGGGAACAUAACACCGAUAUGACGGAAACUAGGGCGGCAAGAGUGGAACAAAACACAAGGCGAGAGGCCGAGCCUUCCACCCUUUACCAAGUAUAUAGAUGCAUUAAGAUAACAAGAUAAUAUAAUGAUAUCCCAACAAGUAAAUAAAUGUUCCAAUAAGGAACGGCCUCUAAUCUUCACCUGCAACUAGCAACGCUAUAAGAGGGGCUGAGCAAAGCGGUAACAUAGCCAAUCAAUGGUUUGCUAGGACAGGGUGGGUUAGAGGUUUUACAUGGCAAUUUGGGAGGCUUGAAAGCAAGUGGUAGGCAUCGUAGCAUUGGCAUAGCAAAAGAGCGAGCAAACUAGCAUAGCAAAGAUAGUAGUGAUUUCGAGGGUAUGAUCAUCUUGCCUGCACAGUUGUCAGAGUUGACUGGAUCCUCGAAAGCAAACUCAACGGGCUCCUCGUUAGUGAACUCGUCUCCCGGCUCUACCCAAACAAUACAAACAAGCAACAAGGAUACAAUCAACCACGUGCAAGACCAAGCAAUAUGAUGCAAUGAUGAUAUGCUAUACAGAAUGCGAUGCGGGAUGCAAAAUGCAAGAUAUGACAGGAAAUGCAUGAACCUGGACCCAACAUGGAAAUCCAAGUGUGCAACUGGAAAGAUGAGACGCAAUCGCUUGAAAACGAUAUAAAGAACGCCGGAAUCGGAGUUGCGGUUUGGAAAUGGCAAGCGAUUCAAAUAUGACACCGGUCUGCGAUUUACAGCAAGUAGCCAACUAAAUGCAAUGAGAUGAACAUGCUACAACAACCAAACAUGACAACAAAAUACAUGGCAGGGAUGCACACAAGAUGCUUAACAAAAGUCUAGCACUGAGCUACGGCCAAUUCAUCCAUUAACAGGUUCAAACCAGCAUGGCAAAAAUGCAUAUGGCAAACAGAUCUCAGACUUUAGUGAAAUUAUCACUUGUCUGGAAUUUCAAAUCAGAUUGCACUCUUCGGAGCAACAAAACUACAUGCUACACGAUCUGAACAUGGCAAAGUAAAGCAUGGCAUGGAGCUACUCAAAGAGCUUAACAAAAGUCCCUUAGUGACCUUGAGCCAAAAGGGAUCAGAAAAUACAAUUGCAAGCAUGUGAACAUAGCAAAAACAUAAUCAGUUUUCAGACUUAGUGAAAACUGGCACAUGCUAAAAUAUAACUCAAGUAGGCAUGUUUACGAGCUCGAUGCACUCACUACGGUGCAAGUCAUGGAAAGACAAGCAUACACCCAUCAAGAAGGCAUAGAAUUCAAGCUAGACAUGGCAAGAACAAUAACAUAGCAUGCACGGAUCAACUACAACACCACCGGCAAAAUUGCAAACAAGUUGACAAUCUGCCCAGAUUCACAAAGUAGCAAAAGUAGAGCUCGAUUUACUCAAGCUAGGGUGCUCCAUAAUUGCAAACAAAGACAUGGAUGGAUAUAUCACUACAAUAUUAACAAAACAUCCUUACUGAUUAUCCUCAAAAGAGGCACGGAUCACUAGGAAACAAUAAGAACAUAUGGCAUCAUGAGAUAAACAGCUCCAGGACUUUGUGAAAUUACUAAGUCCCUGAAAACAGAAUUACUAAGUGCACCACUUUGCAAGCUUGCACUAGUCACCACACACAUCACAAAAAUACAUGGGUUGCACCUAUGGAAAGAUGACAAAACCCUUAACAAAACACAUGUAGAGCAUCAGGGCAUGCACACAUUAAUGAUGGCAAAAAUGACAAAAAGCUAAACGGAGUGGCAGAUCUGACAAUAAUCUCAAGUAGCCCUCUUCUAACAGCAUUUCGGGCAUCAAGAUGAACUCAAAUGAAAAUGAUGCAAUGGAAUGGAAUGAUGUACUCUCUGAGAUGAACAUUUUGAUAUGCUAUAUGCAUGAAUCGGAGCUACGGAUGCAAAGUUACGGAGCCGUGAACAUGAGCACAUGGACUGAGAUUUUCGGGACUUGGACGAAAUUUACCACCGGAUCUAGGGUUUGACCCGGCACGGAAUCCGAGGACGGCAGCGCGCGCACUGUUCACGCCAGAGUUGACGGAGCUCGCCAGAGCGGGAAGACGGCGGUGAGGUGCUCCCGGGCCGGAUCUCGCCGGAUCCGGCCGGCGGGGAGCCGGAGAGGCGGCGGGGCGGCGGCCACGGCGCGGCGGUGGCGGUUGGUGGCGGCGGGUGCGGACGUGNNNNNNNNNNNNNNNNNNNNNNNNNNNNNNNNNNNNNNNNNNNNNNNNNNNNNNNNNNNNNNNNNNNNNNNNNNNNNNNNNNNNNNNNNNNNNNNNNNNNNNNNNNNNNNNNNNNNNNNNNNNNNNNNNNNNNNNNNNNNNNNNNNNNNNNNNNNNNNNNNNNNNNNNNNNNNNNNNNNNNNNNNNNNNNNNNNNNNNNNNNNNNNNNNNNNNNNNNNNNNNNNNNNNNNNNNNNNNNNNNNNNNNNNNNNNNNNNNNNNNNNNNNNNNNNNNNNNNNNNNNNNNNNNNNNNNNNNNNNNNNNNNNNNNNNNNNNNNNNNNNNNNNNNNNNNNNNNNNNNNNNNNNNNNNNNNNNNNNNNNNNNNNNNNNNNNNNNNNNNNNNNNNNNNNNNNNNNNNNNNNNNNNNNNNNNNNNNGGGGCCUCGCUUGGGCCGGGCGGGCCGGCGACGGUGGGAGGUGGCGGCUGCCACGUGGCGGCUUCGGAGUGGGGCGGCGGCUAUGUCCGGCCGGGUCGGACAAUGUCCGGCGCGGCGCGGGGGCGAUUUAGGGUUUCGGGGAGAGGGGAUCCGGGACAUUUCGAGGGGACCUAUUUAUAGGCAUAGGAGGAGCUAGGAGAGUCCAAAUGAGGUGCGGUUUUCGGCCACACGAUCAUGAUCGAACGCUCUAGAUAAUGGAGCCGAGUUAGGUGGGUUUUGGGCCAAAUUAGAGGGGUGUUGGGCUGCAACACACACGAGGCCUUUUCGGUCCCUCGGUUAACCGUCGAAGUAUCAAACGAAGUCCAAAUGAUACGAAACUUGACAGGCGGUCUACCGGUAGUAAACCAAGGCCGCUUGGCAAGUCUCGUUCCAAUCCGGAAAUGUUUAAUCCCCACACACGAAAGAAAGGUAGAAAUGACCACCGGAGGAGAACGAAGCGCCGGAAUGCAAAACGGACAACGGGGAAAAUGCUCGAAUGCAUGAGACGAACACAUAUGCAAAUGCGAUGCACAUGAUGACAUGAUAUGAGAUGCAUGACAACGAUAACAAUACACGGAGACAAAGACCCGAACCCGAGGAAAUAAAAUAUCUUAAUGCCAGAAACGGCAAGAGUUGGAGUACAAAUUGGGAAAGUUACAUCCGGGGUGUUACAACACUCCACCACUACGAAAGGAUCUCGUCCCGAGAUCUAGGACUGAAAGAACACCGAGUACUCAGAACGGAGGUGAUCCUCGUGUUCCCAGGUAGCUUCACGGUCGGAAUGGUGUGACCACUUGACUUUGAGAAAUUUGAUUGACUUGUUGCGAGUCUUGCGUUCAGUCUCUUCAAGAAUAGCAACUGGGUGCUCACGAUAGGAGAGAUCUUCUUGGAGCUCAAUGUCCUCGAAGUUGACGGUGCGGUCAGGAGUCUUGAAGCACCUUCGAAGCUGAGAGACAUGGAACACGUCAUGAACAUUUGCAAAGUUUGAAGGAAGCUCGAGUUGAUAGGCGAGGUUGCCUCUCUUGCUGACAAUCUUGAAAGGUCCCACGUAUCUGGGGGCAAGCUUCCCUACCGAAGCGACGAGUACCUUUCAUAGGAGAGACACGGAGGUAAACAUGAUUUCCGAUCUCGAAAGCCAAAUCACGGUGCUUACUAUCAUAGUAGCUCUUCUGACGGGAUUGGGCUGCUUUGAGGUUAUCUCGAAUGACUUUGCACAUUUGUUCUGCCUCUAUGAUUAAGUCAUUACCCAGAAGCUGACGUUCACCGGUUUCAGACCAGUUGAGAGGGGUACGGCACUUUCUGCCAUACAGAAUUUCAAAUGGGGCCUUGCCCGAACUUGCUUGAAAACUGUUGUUGUAGGAGAACUCAGCAUAAGGAAGACAAUCCUCCCACUUCAUGCCGAAGGAGAUCACACAAGCCCUGAGCAUAUCUUCAAGAAUCUGGUUGACACGCUCGACUUGACCGCUAGUUUGAGGAUGGAAAGCUGUGCUGAAGCGGAUGUUAGUGCCCAUGGCCUUCUGAAAAGAACCCCAAAACUUCGAGGUAAAGAUGUUGCCACGGUCUGAAGAGAUCACUUGUAGAAUACCGUGCACAGAGACAAUACGAGAGGUAUAGAGUUCCACCAAUUGAGCUGCAGUGAUCGACUCUUUGAUAGGCAGAAAGUGAGCCACUUUGGUGAGUUUGUCGAUGACAAGAAAUAUAGCAUCAUUGCCACGCUUGGACUUUGGAAACCCAGUCACGAAGUCCAUCUCAAUGUGGUCAAACUUCCAUUCUAGAAUGGCAAGAGGUUGGAGAAGACCAGCUGGCCUUUGGUGUUCUGCCUUCACUCUUCUGCAGACAUCACAUUCAUUCACGAAUUGAGCGAUCUCGCGCUUCAUUCGAGUCCACCAAUAAGCUUGCUUAAGGUCCUGAUACAUCUUCAUGCUCCCAGGGUGGAUGGAGAGGAGAGAAUUGUGGGCCUCGUUCAAGAUCACUUUAUGAAGGUCACCUUUGGGUACAACAAUACGAUCCUCGAAGAAGAGAGUGUCCUUGUCAUCAAGGCGGUAGCACUUGUACUUGGACUGACUCUUGGCAAUCCCAAUCUUCACCUUUUUCACCAUAGCAUCAAGAAGCUGGGCUUGGCGAAUCUGGUCUUCUAAGGUAGGAGAGACUAGAAGGUUGGCGAGGAAACCUUGAGGAACAACUUGCAGGUUAAGUUUGCGGAAAGCUUCACAAAGCUCGGGUUGAUAAGGCUUGAGAAUCAGACUGUUGCAGUAAGCUUUCCUGCUCAAUGCGUCAGCAAUCACAUUAGCCUUGCCUGGAGUGUACUCGAUACUCGGAUUAUACUCUUGAAUCAUUUCGACCCAUCGAGUUUGCCUGAGGUUGAGAUUAGGCUGAGUGAAGAUGUACUUGAGACUCUUGUGAUCAGUGAAAAUGUCCACUUUUCUUCCCAAUAGAAGAUGUCUCCAAGUCAAAAGAGCAUGCACAACUGCCGCCAACUCGAGAUCAUGAGUGGGGUAGUUCUUCUCAUUAGGCUUCAACUGGCGAGAUGUAUAAGCAACAACUUUCUUCUCUUGCAUCAAUACUGCGCCAAGACCUUGGAGAGAGGCAUCACAAAAGACCUCGUCCGGCUUGGAUUCAUCAGGCGGAGUCAGAACUGGAGCAGUGAUCAAUUUCUCUUUCAAAGUAUUGAAAGCAAUGUCACACUCCGGAGACCAAACACACUUGACGUGCUUCUGGAGAAGAUUUGAGAGAGGCUUCGCGAUCUUAGAAAAGUUUUCAACGAAUCUUCGACAAUAGCUUGCGAGACCGAGGAAGCUACGGAGUUGCUUCACAUUCUGAGGAGGUUCCCAAUUCACAAUUGCAGACACCUUCUCAGGAUUCACGACAAUGCCCUUGGCAGAGAUGAUAUGACCAAGAUAAAGCACUUCAUCGAGCCAAAAUUCACACUUGGAGAACUUGGCGUAGAACUGAUGUUCUCUGAGCUUAUCAAGAACCAAACGCAAGUGCUUGGCAUGAUCUUCCUUGUUCUUGGAGAAAACCAGAAUGUCGUCGAGAUAGACCAAAACAAAGUCAUUGGUGUAGGCGUUGAAGAUGAAGUUCCUCAUUCGAGAGAACGUCGGAGGAGCGUUGACGAGACCAAAAGACAUGACAGUGUAUUCAUAUGAACCAAAGCUUGUCCUGAAAGCCGUCUUGGGAAUAUCUUGCUCACGGAUUCGAAUCUGAUGAUAACCCAUACGGAGAUCAAGCUUGGAGAAUACUCGAGCACCUUUGAGUUGUUCGAACAGCUCAUUGAUGUUGGGAAGUGGGUAUUUGUUCUUGAUGGUCUUCUUGUUCACUGGACGGUAAUCAACACAAAGUCGGUCCGUUCCAUCCUUCUUCUUCACAAAAAGAACACCACAACCCCACGGAGAAGAACUAGGCCGGAUGAGACCCAUUUUCUCUUGAAUAUCGAGUUGCUUCUUCAGCUCCUUCAACUCUUCAGGUCCGAGCUUGUAAGGACGCUUGCACACAGGUUCCGUGCCAGGCUCAAGAUCAAUAACGAAUUCAACUGGCCGGUGCGGAGGCAUUCCUGGAAGCUCUUCUGGAAAGACGUCUUGAUAUUCGCAAACGACUGGAAUUUGCGAGAUGGCAUCCAAUUCACCCUUCUCAUUGAGAGAAAACAGACGGAUGGUAUUAUCCCAAGCGGCAAAGACAAUAACAUCCUCAGACGAAUGAGCCAAUUGAAUCUGCCUGGCAGCACAAUCAAGAUGUGCCUUGUGCUUAGAAAGCCAAUCCAUUCCGAGAAUAAGAUCAAUAUCCGAGUUACCAACAACCACCGGAGAAGAGAGAAACUUGUAGUCACCCAAUGUGAUAGAGAUACCGGGAGCAACCAAACUAGAAGUCAAAAGCUUGCCGGGAGAAACAACUUGCAUGACUUUGGGCAUAAUCUCUGUAUCAACAUUGUGCUUCGAUGCAAAAGGGCAUGACAAAAAGGAAUGCGAUGCACCAGUGUCAAAAAGAACUUUUGCAGGAACAUCAUUAAUAGGAAGGUUACCCAUGAUCACAUCUGACGAGUCCUCUACCUGAGCUGCAUUCAUCAAAUUGACCUUGGCGGACUUGGGGUUAUGCUUGACCACAGCUGUACUUGCCGAUCUGACAGGAGGAGGAGGAGGAAGACGCCUCUCGUUGAAACACUUGUUGGCAUAGUGACCCUUCUGUUGGCACUUGUUGCACGUGACCUCUGAAAGCGGACGGUGAUACGGAGCACUCGAUCUUGGAGCUUGAGACGAAGUCUUGUUCUGAAAUCAAGGGUUGGGUGGGUGGGAAGAACCACUGCCACCUUUGCUCUUCUGCUGAUACGGCUGACGGAACGGAGGAGGAGGAAGCCAAUACUUCUGCUGCUUGGCCACUUGAGUAGAGGAAGAAGGAGUAACAUCUCUGACUCGCUUCUUGGAAGCAUCACACUUCAACUGAGCAGCCUCUUGCUUCAGUGCCAUGUUGUAGAACUCAUCGUAUCUCAAGGGCUCGAAGAGAACAAGAGCUAGCUGAAUUUCUUCUCUGAGACCACCCCUGAACUGAUAUAUCAUGCUCUUCUCAUCAGGGACGUCCUGCUUGGCAAAGCGGGCGAGCUUCUGAAACAACUUGUUGUAGUCAUGGACAGACAAAGAGCCUUGCUUCAGAUUGUGGAAUUCCUCACGCUUGCUUUCAACCACGCUCUGAGGAAUAUGAUGAGCUCGGAAAUCUCGACGGAAAUCAUCCCAAUUGAUAACACGUCCACCUCUGGAAUCCUUGUACUGCUGGAACCAUUCUGCAGCUUGAUCUUUGAGUUGGAAGGAAGCGAACUUAACAAAGUCCUCAGGCCUGACGUUACUGCACUCGAAAUGCUUGCACAGAUCCACAAGCCAAUCGUCAGCAUCGGUUGCCUCAACACAAUUGCUGAAAGUCUUUGGCCCGUUAGCAAGGAACUGGUUGAGUGUAGCAAAGUGAUUCUGAUUGUUGCCUUGAUUCCCUUGGUUGCCUUGAUUGCGCUCUUGGAGAAUUUACAUGAUCAACUGUGUGUUUGCAUUGGUUGCGGCCAUCACAGCUUGCCAUGCCUCCGAAGGAGGUGGAGGUGGUGGCGGAUCAGGAUUCGGAGUCGUGCGCGUUGGAGGAGCCAUCCUGAAGAGGUUGACGUCCAUUAGCACAUUGACAGACAAAUAUUGAAGCUGAAUCCAACGGAAUGAAAAUUGCAACAUAUAGUCUUCACAUCCGAACAAAAUGAACGAAUGCAUUCCUCUUGAAAUGGUCACAUAUCCAUAAAUUGAGAAGCCACGUAGAAUUAAGGUAGAGAAAUAAUUCAACAAGGUUCGGAUCAAGAACGAAUAAUCGGUAAGAAAUCCCAAUCUCAAACCAAAUAUCCGUGGAAGAAGAACUAGAGCUACAAGAAUUCCCACCUAUGAAACUCCCGAACCUUUCCGGUUAUGCAAUCAGGUGUUGGGGAUACAGGGGAAGCAUAAUAUCUCACCCAAACUAGCAAAUCCUACAUCCAGCUGUAUCCACCCUUCAACACAUAACCAAGAAACCUUCGGAAACCAUCUACCUCAACCUUCGAAAAGCAUCCGUUAUACAAGUUAUGGCGAUACUCCCGAACUCCCGCCCCAGUACUGGGUGGCGUCGAGGUUAUCUCACCAACGAACUGCAUAAAAGAGAUUUUCGAUGUCGGCGUACUAGACUCAGGUGUUCCAGAACUGCAACGAUAAAAUUAUGAUGACAACACCUCAGAGCUCAACUCCCCGGGACACUUCCACAAAACCCCUGACAGGAGGCACCAAGACAAUGUUCUCGUCAUAAAACCACCGGAACGAUUCCAAGAUACCCGCGUGAUCCAAAAAAAAUUUUAGUGAAAUUUGAGAAGAGAAGAGUCAAAACUCUACGUCAGGAUGCCUUACCAGAGCGAUGAGGAGACUGGGAAGUAAAAAGAAUUCCUAAACUCUCUGAUAUAUAAUUCCUAAAUGACUCAAAACAUUUUUCUAGACACAACUCGGCCGCUAAAAACGAUCAAGCAAUGGAGCUCCUAAGGUCGGGGAAGGCUCUGAUACCAACUUGUAACGCCCUCGAUGCGGCUAUAUCUCCCACGUGUCGAAGCACGACUUAGAGGCAUAACCGCAUUGAAAGCAAUGUCGCAAGUGAGGUAAUCUUCACACAACCCAUGUAAUACAUAAGGGAAAGAGGUACAUAGUUGGCUUACAAUCGCCACGUCAAUCAAGUACAUAAAUAACAUUACAUCAACCAAACACUCAUGGCCCGACUACGGCGCCAAAAUAAAAGAGAACCCAACAUGCGACAACGGUCCCAAUCACCCCCAACUGGGCACCACUACUGAUCAUCGGGAAAGGAAACAUAGUAACGUUGAGAGUCUUCGUCGAACUCCCACUUGAGCUCAUACGCGUCUGCUGGAGCGGAAUCAUCAGGCCCUGAAUCUGGUGUAAUAGUAAUCUGUGAGCCAUAGGGACUCAGCAAUCUCGCACCCUCGCGAUCAAGACUAUUUAAGCUUAUAGGUAAGGCAAGGUAAAAUAUGAGUGGAGCUGCAGCAAGCGACUAGCAAGUAUGGUGGCUAACUUAUUCGCAAAAGAGAGCGAGAAGAGGAGGCAAAGCGCGAGCGAGAAACUAGAGAGCAACCUGCGCAAACAUUACUCCAACACCGUGUCCACUUCCCAUACUCCGCCGAGAAGAGGCCAUCACGGUAACACACUCAGUUGAUUCAUUUUAAUUAAUUAAGGUUCAAGUUAUCUACAACCGGACAUUAACAAAUUCCCAUCUGCCCAUAACCGCGGGCACGACUUUCGAAAGUUCAAAUCCCUGUAGGGGAGUCCCAACUUAGCCCAUGACAAGCUCUCACGGUCAACGAAGGAAUAGACCUCCUCCCAAGACGUUCCGAUCAGACUCGGUAUCUUGGUUCUUCAAGACACUUCGACAGGUUAAAACAAGACCAGCAACACCGCCCGAAUGUGCCGACAAAUUCCGAUAGGAGCUGCACAUAUCUCGUUCUUAGGGCACACUCAGAUGAGACAUCCUACGAGUAAAACCAACCCUCAAGUUGCCCCGAGGUGGCCCCACAGUCUACUCGGUCGGACCAACACUCAGAGGAGCACUGGCCCGGGGGAGUUAAAAUAAGAUGACCCUUGGGCUCCGGUAACCCAAGGGAAAAAGAGGCUAGGUGGCGAAUGGUAGGUUGGGCAUUGCUGGAAAAGCUUUAAUCAAGGCGAACUAUCAAGGGGUUCCCAUUAUAACCCAACCGCGUAAGGAACGCAAAAUCCGGGAACAUAACACCGAUAUGACGGAAACUAGGGCGGCAAGAGUGGAACAAAACACUAGGCGAGAGGCCGAGCCUUCCAGCCUUUACCAAGUAUAUAGAUGCAUUAAGAUAACAAGAUAAUAUAAUGCUAUCCCAACAAGUAAAUAAAUGUUCCAACAAGGAACGGCCUCCAAUCUUCACCUGCAACUAGCAACGCUAUAAGAGGGGCUGAGCAAAGCGGUAACAUAGCCAAUCAACGGUUUGCUAGGACAGGGUGGGUUAGAGGUUUGACAUGGCAAUUUGGGAGGCUUGAAAGCAAGUGGUAGGCAUCGUAGCAUUGGCAUAGCAAAAGAGCGAGCAAAGUAGCAUAGCAAAGAUAGUAGUGAUUUCGAGGGUAUGAUCAUCUUGCCUGCACAGUUGUCAGAGUUGACUGGAUCCUCGAAAGCAAACUCAACGGGCUCCUCGUUAGUGAACUCGUCUCCCGGCUCUACCCAAACAAGACAAACAAGCAACAAGUAUACAAUCAACCACGUGCAAGACCAAGCAAUAUGAUGCAAUGAUGAUAUGCUAUGCGGAAUGCGAUGCGGGAUGCAAAAUGCAAGAUAUGACAGGAAAUGCAUGAACCUUGACUCAACAUGGAAAUCCAAGUGUGCCACUAGAAAGAUAAGACGAAAUCGCUUGAAAACGAUAUAAAGAACGCCGGAAUCGGAGUUGCGGUUUGGAAAUGGCAAGCGAUUCAAAUAUGACACUGGUCUGCGAUUUACAGCAAGUAGCCAACUAAAUGCAAUGAGAUGAACAUGCUACAGCAACCAAACAUGACAACAAAAUACAUGGCAGGGAUGCACACAAGAUGCUUAACAAAAGUCUAGCACUGAGCUACGGCCAAUUCAUCCAUUAACAGGUUCAAACCAGCAUGGCAAAAAUGCAUAUGGCAAACAGAUCUCAGACUUUGUGAAAUUAUCACUUGUCUGGAAUUUCAAAUCAGAUUGCACUCUUCGGAGCAACAAAACUACAUGCUACAGGAUCUAAACAUGGCAAAGUAAAGCAUGGCAUGGAGCUACUCAAAGAGCUUAACAAAAGUCCCUUAGUGACCUUGAGCCAAAAGGGAUCAGAAAAUACAAUUGCAAGCAUGUGAACAUAGCAAAAACAUAAUCAGUUUUCAGACUUAGUGAAAACUGGCACAUGCUGAAAUAUAACUCAAGUAGGCAUGUUUACGAGCUCGAUGCACUCACUACGGUGCAAGUCAUGGCAAGACAAGCAUACACUCAUCAAGAAGGCACAAAAUGCAAGCUAGACAUGGCAAGAACAAUAACAUAGCAUGCACGUCAACUACAACACCACCGGCAAAAUUGCAAACAAGUUGACAAUCUGCCCAGAUUCACAAAGUAGCAAAAGUAGAGCUCGAUUGACUCAAGCUAGGGUGCUCCAUAAUUGCAAACAAAGACAUGGAUGGAUAGAUCACUACAAUAUUAACAAAACAUCCUUACUGAUCAUCCUCAAAAGAGGCACGGAUCACUAGGAAACAACAAGAACAUAUGGCAGCAUGAGAUAAACAGCUCCAGGACUUGGUGAAAUUACUAAGUCCCUGAAAACAGAAUUACUAAAUGCACCACUUUGCAAGCUUGCACUAGUCACCACACACAUCACAAAAAUACAUGGGUUGCACCUCUGGAAAGAUGACAAAACCCUUAAUAAAACACAUGCAGAGCAUCAGGGCAUAUUAUGCACACAUUAAUGAUGGCAAAAAUGACAAAAAGCUAAACGGAGUGACAGAUCUGACAAUAAUCUCAAGUAGCCCUCUUCUAACAGCAUCUCGGGCAUCAAGAUGAACUCAAAUGAAAAUGAUGCAGUGGAAUGAAAUGAUGUACUCUCUGAGGUGAACAUUUUGAUAUGCUAUAUGCAUGAAUCGGAGCUACGGAUGCAAAGUUACGGAGCCGUGAACAUGAGCACAUGGAGUGAGAUUUUCGGGACUUGGACGACAUUUACCACCGGAUCUAGGGUUUGACCCGGCACGGAAUCCGAGGACGGCAGCGCGCACACUGUUCACGCCGGAGUUGACGGAGCUCGCUAGAGCGGGAAGACGGCGGCGAGGUGCUCCCGGGCCGGAUCUCGCCGGAUCCGGCCGGCAGGGAGCCGGAGAGGCGGCGGGGCGGCGGCCACGNNNNNNNNNNNNNNNNNNNNNNNNNNNNNNNNNNNNNNNNNNNNNNNNNNNNNNNNNNNNNNNNNNNNNNNNNNNNNNNNNNNNNNNNNNNNNNNNNNNNNNNNNNNNNNNNNNNNNNNNNNNNNNNNNNNNNNNNNNNNNNNNNNNNNNNNNNNNNNNNNNNNNNNNNNNNNNNNNNNNNNNNNNNNNNNNNNNNNNNNNNNNNNNNNNNNNNNNNNNNNNNNNNNNNNNNNNNNNNNNNNNNNNNNNNNNNNNNNNNNNNNNNNNNNNNNNNNNNNNNNNNNNNNNNNNNNNNNNNNNNNNNNNNNNNNNNNNNNNNNNNNNNNNNNNNNNNNNNNNNNNNNNNNNNNNNNNNNNNNNNNNNNNNNNNNNNNNNNNNNNNNNNNNNNNNNNNNNNNGGCCUCGCCUGGGCCGGGCGGGCCGGCGGCGGUGGGAGGUGGCGGCUGCCACGUGGCGGCUUCGGAGUGGGGCGGCGGCUAUGUCCGGUCGGGUCGGACAAUGUCCGGCGCGGCGCGGGGGCGAUUUAGGGUUUCGGGAAGAGGGGAUCCGGGACAUUUCGAGGGGGACCUAUUUAUAGGCAUAGGAGGAGCUAGGAAAGUCCAAAUGAGGUGCGGUUUUCGGCCACGCGAUCGUGAUCGAACGCUCUAGAUGAUGGAGCAGAGUUAGGUGGGUUUUGGGCCAAAUUGGAGGGGUGUUGGGCUGCAACACACACGAGGCCUUUUCGGUCCCUCGGUUAACCGUUGGAGUAUCAAACGAAGUCCAAAUGAUAUGAAACUUGACAGGCGGUCUACCGGUAGUAAACCAAGGCCGCUUGGCAAGUCUCGUUCCAAUCCGGAAAUGUUUAAUCCCCACACACGAAAGAAAGGUAGAAAUGACCACCGGAGGAGAACGAAGCGCCGGAAUACAAAACGGACAACGGGGAAAAUGCUUGAAUGCAUGAGACGAACACAUAUGCAAAUGCAAUGCACAUGAUGACAUGAUAUGAGAUGCAUGACAACGAUAACAACACACGGAGACAAAGACCCGAACCCGAGGAAAUAAAAUAUCUUAACGCCAGAAACGGCAAGAGUUGGAGUACAAAUUGGGAAAGUUACAUCCGGGGUGUUACACUCCCCCCGGCUCGGUACCCCUUGAGACAAUACCUCUGCAUUGUCCAUAGGGCAAAGGGAGGAGGCGGUCGGAAGUGGAUCGCUAUCCAUAUCCGACGAAUCCAAGGAGCCGUCUGACGAGGAUACGUCGAUACGGGCUUGGGGCGGUCUGCAUAAUCAUAUUCGGCAUUAGGAGAAGCAAUGCGACAAAGGUAUGCUAUGAGUUACUUUGGUAUCCGAAUACUUACGACUUCGCCAGGGGCUUGGCCCUGAGCAGCCACUCGUCUUCGCCUUCGGCGGCGGUGGUGGAGCAGUCCGGAAGAAGAGUCCUUCCCUUCUUGGACCCUUCGGCCUCCCCGGUCGGGGCGGCCUUCCUUUCCUUGUCUUCCCCAGCUGGAGGGGGAGCAUCUUCAUCUUCCUCCUCGUCUUCAUGGGAGGAGUGCGUCGCGGAGUUAUCAAACGAUGAGUCUGAUACCACCUGGCGUCGGGAACUCUUUCGGGUUCCCUUGGCCUUCUUCUUGGUCUUCUCCGGCACCUUAUAAGGAGCCGGAGUCAGCAUCUCCGUCAAGAGAGCGUCCGCGGUGUCUUCGGGCAGGGGGGCGGACAGUCAAUCUGCUCUGAUGCCUCCACCCAGUCCUGUUAAAGGCAUGGGAGCUUAGACCCCGCACAUGGUUAAGCUAUGGGAAAUAAAUAUCCUACCAGAUGUACAGAACUUAUCGGAUUCGCAGGGCGCUUCGCGCUUAGCCCGCGAUCCUCGGUGAGAGAGGGAGGGACCUCGGCACCCUUGAACAGCACCCUCCAGACGUCUUUGUGCAUCGUGUCGAAGAGCUCGCUUAGAGUCUGGUGCCGGACCGGGUCGAACUCCCAUAAGUUGAAAUCCCGUUGUUGACACGGGAGGAUCCGGCGGAAGAGCAUGACCUGGACUAUGUUGACAAGCUUAAGUUUCUUGCUUGUCAUGUUCCGGAUACACUUCUGGAGUCCGUCCAGCUCCACCGAUGAACCCCAGGACAGGCCCUUCUCCUUCCAGGAAGUGAGUCGCGUGGGGAUUCCAGAUCGAAACUUGGGGGCCGCCGCCCAGUUGGUGUCGCACGGCUCGGUGAUGUAGAACCACCCCGAUUGCCACCCCUUUACGAUCUCCACGAAGGAGCCCUCGAGCCAUGCAACGUUGGGCAUUUUGCCCACCAUGGCUCCGCCGCAUUCCGCUUGUUGACCACCUACAACCUUCGGCUUGAUAUUGAAGGUCUUCAGCCAUAGGCCGAAGUGGGGCCGGAUGCAGAGGAAAGCCUCGCACACGACGAUGAACGCCGAGAUGUUGAGGAUGAAAUUCGGGGCUAGAUCAUGAAAGUCCAGCCCGUAGUAGAACAUGAGGCCGGGGACGAAUAGAUGGAGAGGAAACCCCAAUCCGCGGAUGAAGUGGGGGAGGAAAACCACCCUUUCGUGAGGUUCCGGGGUAGGGACGACCUGCCCCGCGGCUGGCAGCCGGUGCGCGAUGUCCGCGGCUAAGUAUCCGGCUCCACGCAACUUUUUGAUGUGCCCCUCCGUGACGGAGGUGGCCAUCCACUUGCCUCCCGCUCUGGACAUGUUUGGAGAGAGUUGAGGAGGAGGAUGCGGACUUGGGCGUUGGAGCUUGAGUGCGCGAGAAUGGAUGAGCAAGGAGGAAGAAGGUGUGGGUAGAAAAAGGUGAGAUCUUAUCCCUUUAUAAGGGCGGACUAAACUAUGCGCCCCCACUAGCCUGGUAACACUCGCUUAUCCCCCAAGCACCGUAAUUGAUGGCGCGGUUGGGUUACCCACGUCCGUAUUGAUGAGAAUCCCGUAAUAAGGGGAACACGAUCUCUGCCUUGACAAGACGUGUCAAGAAACCGUCUCGAGUUAUGUGCGGGGCUGGUUAAAGAAAAACGGUUCGAAUAAUUACCGGACCAUGGCAUGAUGUCAUGCUACCAAAACGUGUCAGCAAAUUGGAUUUGUGGAAAUAUUAUUCUCUCUACGGUGGUAUGUGGAAUUUAUUUUGCAGGGUCGGACACUAUCCUUGUAUUCAAACUCUUCUGUGGUGUAUUCGGAGGAGGAACCCACCUUGCAAUGCCGAAGAUAACAUUGCGCGCCGGACUCAUCAUCAUUGAAGCCUGGUUCAGGGGCUACUGAGGGAGUCCUGGAUUAGGGGGUCUCCGGACAGCCGGACUAUAUCCUCUGGUCGGACUGUUGGACUAUGAAGACAUAAGAUUGAAGACUUCGUCCCGUGUCCGGAUGGGACUCUACUUGGCAUGGAAGGCAAGCUAGGCAAUACGGAUAUGUAUAUCUCCUCCUUUGUAACCGACCUUGUGUAACCCUAGCCCCCUCCGGUGUCUAUAUAAACCAAAGGGUUUUAGUCCGUAGGACAACAUACAAUCAUACCAUAGGCUAGCUUCUAGGGUUUAGCAUCUCCGAUCUUGUGGUAGAUCAACUCUUGUACUACUCAUAUUAUCAAGAAUAAUCAAGCAGGACGUAGGGUUUUACCUCCAUCAAGAGGGCCCGAACCUGGGUAAAACAUCGUGUCCCCUGCCUCCUGUUACCAUCCGCCUUAGAUGCAUAGUUCGGGACCCCCUACCCGAGAUCCGCCGGUUUUGACACCGACAGUCGCGUUCGCAACGUGCAGGUGUGCAAUGGGCGAUGGGCCCAGACCCCUACGCCAUAGGAUUUAGACCGACGUGCUGACCUCUCUGUUGUGCCUAGGUAGGGUUGCGACGUGUUGAUCUUUUGAGGCCGAACAUGACCCAGAAAAGUGUGUCCGGCCAAAAGGGAUCGAGCGUGUUGGGAAAUGUGGUGCACCCCUGCAGGGAAGUUAAUCUAUUCGAAUAGCUGUGAUCUUCGGUAACAGGACGACUUGGAGUUGUACCUUGACCUUAUGACAACUAGAACUGGAUACUUAAUAAAACACACCCUUCCAAGUGCUAGAUACAAUCGGUGAUCGCUCUCUCAUAGGGCGACGAGGGGAGGAUCAUCGGUUAGGAUUAUGCUAUGUGAUGUUACUUGGUGAACUUACCAUCUACCCUCUUCUUCUGCUGCAAGAUGGAGGUUACCAGAAGUGUAGUCUUCGAUAGGACUAGCUAUCCCCCUCUUAUUCCGGCAUUCUGCAGUUCAGUCCACAUAUGAUACCCCUUUUCCCUUUGAUACCAAUGAAUAAAUAUGUAGUGUAGCUCCUUGCUUGUGAGUACUUUGGAUGAGUACUCACGGUUGCUUUGCUCCCUCUUUUUCCCCUUUCUAUACUCGAUUGCUGCGACUAGACGAUGGAGCCCAGGAGCCAGACACCACCGUCGAUGAUGACUCCUACUACACUUGAGGUGCCUACUACUACGUGCAGCCCGCUGACGACCAGGAGUAGUUUAGGAGGAUCCCAGGCAGGAGGCAUGCGCCUCUUUUGAUCUGUAUCCCAGUUUGUGCUAGCCUUCUUAAGGCAAACUUGUUUACUUAUGUCUGUACUUAGAUAUUGUUGCUUCCGCUGACUCGUCUAUGAUCGAGCUCUUGUAUUCGAGCCCUCAAGGCCCCUGGCUUGUAAUAUGAUGCUUGUAUGACUUAUUUUAUUUGUAGAGUAGUGUUGUGAUAUCUUCCCGUGAGUCCCUGAUCUUGAUCGUACACGUUUGCGUGUAUGAUUAGUGCACGAUUGAAUCGGGGGCGUCACAGAGCACUUGUGCUUUCAGGUUUCCAGGUAACCACGAGAUGAAAGAUAUAGAGUUAGUUAGAAAGAAAUUGAAACAAAACCGGGAAGAAAUUGCGAAAACAGACUAAAGGAUGACCUUCCAUACGAGCAGAAGCACUCGUAUGGCUGGUCGUUUGGCCUGUCGCCGAGACCUUUUUGUCUUUUUUAUUACCUGUUACGGGGACGAUCAUGCGACUGCUCAAACAGGCGCGUACGGUCGUUUGAAUGGUCAUCUUUUGUUUUGUUGGCAAACGCUUCAUGGGGAGAACUUAAACGACCGCUCGAAUGGGCAUGGGCACCCGUGUGAAACCUCGUCCUUCCCCUGUACCCUGUGUCAUUUUUGUCAUAAGCAGGGAAGUAGUUUCAUCAUAAGCAUCAUGCAUAGCAGAAGUGGCAUCAUCAAUAACAUGCGACAUAUCGAAAUCAAUAGCAGGUGUAGGUGUUGCAAGUUUACUCAAAACAGAAGGAGAAUCAAGUGCAGAGAUGGAUGGCAGUUCCUUACCUUCCCUCGUAGUUGAGGGAAAAAUCUUAGUUCUUUAAUCUUUCAAAUUCCUCAUAGUGAUCAACAGAUAUAAAUCCCAAGUGACUCAGAGAAUAGCGCUAUGCUCCCCGGCAACUGCGCCAGAAAAAGGUCUUGAUAACCCACAAAUAUAGGGGAUCGCAACAGUAUUUGAGGGUAGAGUAUUCAACCCAAAUUUAUUGAUUCGACACAAGGGGAGCCAAAGAAUAUUCUCAAGUAUUAGUAGCUGAGUUGUCAAUUCAACCACACCUGAAAGACUUAAUAUCUGCAGCAAAGUAUUUAGUAGCAAAGUAGUAUCGAAGUAGCGGUAACGGUGGCAAAAGUAACAGUAGCGGUUUUGUAGCAAUCGUAACAGUGGCAAUAGAAAAGUAACGAAGCAAAGAUCAAUAUGAAACGAGCUCGUAGGAAAUGGAUCAAUGAUAGAUAAUUAUAUCGGAUGGCAUUCAUCAUGCAACAGUUAUAACAUAGGGUGACACAGAACUAGCUCCAAUUCAUCAAUAUAAUGUAGGCAUGUAUUCCGAAUAUAGUCAUACAUGCUUAUGGAAAAGAACUUGCAUGACAUCUUUUGUCCUACCCUCCCGUGGCAUCAGGGUCCUAUUGGAAACUAAGGGAUAUUAAGGCCUCCUUUUAAUAGAGUACCAGACCAAAGCAUUAGCACUUAGUGAAUACAUGAACUCCUCAAACUACGGUCAUCACCGAGAAGUGUCCCGACUAUUGUCACUCCGGGGUUGCCGGAUCAUAACAUGUAGUAGGUGACUAUAACUUGCAAGAUAGGAUCAAGAACACAAAUAUAUUCAUGAAAACAUAAUAGGUUCAGAUCUGAAAUCAUGGCGCUCGGGCCCUAGUGACAAGCAUUAGGCAUAGCAAAGUCAUAGCAACAUCAAUCUUAGAACAUAGUGGAUAUUAGGCAUCAAACCCUACCAAAACUAACUCGAUUACAUGGUAGAUCUCAUCCAACCCAUCACCGUCCAGCAAGCCUACAAUGGGAUUACUCACGCACGGCAGUUAGCAUCAUGAAAUUGGUGAUGGAGGAUGGUUGACGAUGACGAUGGCGACGAUUUCCCCUCUUUGGAGCCCAAAACGAACUCCAGAUCUGCCCUCCCAAGGAAGAAUAGGAGGUGGCAGCAGCUCCGUCUCGUAAAACGCAAUGAAUCCUUCUCUUUGAUUUUUUUCUCCCCAAACGUGAAUAUAUGGAGUUGGAGUUGAGGUCGGUGGAGAUAUGUGGGGCCCAUAAUGACAGAGGGCACGCCCUCCACCCUUGUGGACAGGGUGUGGGCCCCAUUCAGUCGAUUAUUUCGCCAAUAUUUUUUAUUUAUUCCAAAAAUGGUCUCUGUAAAGUUUCACGUCAUUCCGAGAACUUUUUUCUGCACAAAAAUAACACCAUGGUAAUUCUGCUGAAAACAGCGCCAGUGCGGUUAGUUCCAUUAAAAUAAUGCAAGUUAGAGUCCAAAACAAGGGCAAAAGAGUUUGGAAAAGUAAAUAUGAUGGAAACGUAUCACACGGCCGCACCGCUACGCCUUAGCUCACAUCGGCCACUGCUUCAUCUUCUCAUGCUCGUCGCGGGCUGGCAAACGCGUAGGCUGCGCUGCUCAUGGCGCGCGAGCUGUUGCAAUACCGUCCCGCCAAUGAAGGCUAUGACGCCUGGCUGGGCCGCAUCGCUGAGCUCGUCAACCCCGCGAGCGAGGUCCUAGCCCCCUCCCACUCGCUCCGUCCCCCGACGUCUUGCGUGGGCGACGUGGCACACGGCGCGCCUCCGCCUCCCCCGCUACGCGAAGACAAUGCUGAGCUCCGGCACGAUGCGCGGUUGCGCGGGCCGCCACAUGGAGCGCCUGUGCCAGCUCGUGACGAGGCUAACAAUAUUCUUUGGCUCCCUUUGUGUCGAAUUAAUAAAUUUGGGUGAAAUACUACCCUCAAAGACUAUCAUGUUCCCCUAUACUUGUGGAACACAAAAGAAACAAGAUCUCAAUUGAGAUACUCUCAAUUUGUCGGUUCACUCAUGUACUUAGCUAGCACAACAAGGCUAGAUAUCUCUUUUGGUGUGAGCAAACUGAGAAGGUUCAUGCGAAACCUGGGUGAUGAUCACUGGCAUGCACUUGAUAAGGUCUUGUGUUAUCUAAGAGUAGUGAUGAGUUAUGUAAUUCACUAUUCAAGGUACAAUGUUGUGCUUGAAGGAUAUAGUGAUUCUAACUGGAUUUCUGAUGUUGAUGUAUUUACUCAUGGAGGUGGCAUAGUAUCAUGGAGGUCAUGUAAGCAGACAAUUUUGAUGAGGACAACCAUGGAAGCAAAACUCACUUCUUUACACACAAACACUAUUGAAGCAGAGUGGCUGGAUGAGCUCUUGAUGGACUUGCAUGUGGUCGAAAAACCAGUGUCGCGUAUUCUUAUGAAUUGUGACAAUCAAACGGUUGUUGUUAAAGUGAAGAAUUCUAAGGAUACUGCAAAGUCAUCCAGGCACGUGAACAAACAUUUGAAGUAUGUCUAGAAAUUGAGAAACUUCGGAGUAAUAACUGUUACGUAUAUUCAAACAAACAAACAAAAUCACAGAUCCCUUUACAAAGGGACUACCAUGAAAUGUGAUACACAAUGCAUCGAGGGAGAUGGGUAUGAGACCCAUAUAAGUUACUCCAUAGUAGUAAACAACCAUUGUGAUCGAAGAUCCCGUGAUUUAGAUACUGGGAAGAAAAAGCUAUUGGUUAACGGAGGAGAGUAACCGAUAACCCUCUCUAUGUGAAGGUGCAAAACUCUAAGAACUAUAAGGCAUGUUGACAACAUGAUAUAAUGUGUUUUUGUUGGAUAUAUGUAGCAAGAUGCUGCCCUACAGAGCAUUCUUGAAAGAAAACACAUAUAUGAGCCCCGAAUGUUAGACGUUGCAGUCUAUGAGACUUGGUGUUCUCUAGUAAGCUCUCGAAGAGACCAGAGAGUAUGAUGUAUAUGCUCCACCCGCGGGGUAGGCUACUAGCAGCCAUAUACUAGUUAUGACUUAGAGUGAAACGUGUUGCACAAAACUCGUAAUUCAAGGCAUAGUCCAUUGUGAAGUUGUAAAUGGGUGUAACUUAAAGCUCUACGUAUAAGUUCAACUUAAAAGUCUUUAUUGGAACACUAGCAUAUUAAACAAGAAGCGAAAUCGGGAAGAUCUCUAAAUGGACAUUUUAGAUCUCGGGGGUGUUAGAAUAAUGGGCUUGGCCCAUGUAAUUUUCUUAAAUUCCCAAAAGAAAAAUUCAAAAGUUCAUUCAUAAGAUGAAAAGUGGAGGGUCUAAAGUUUCGCCCCACCCUGAAAGUUGAUGAGAUGUGAGACCUCUUUAUAUUGUGGGUUCUCUCCACUCCAGUAAGUGGUGUCUUGAGGAUAGAAAAAGAAGACCACACGCGCGCUUGCCGCGUCUAGCCUGGCUCCGGCUCGGGCCGAGGCCAGGGCAAUGGAGGUAGGCGUGUGACAUGCAUGUGAAUGGUCCGUCGAAAUCCAGUUCGUGGUCUUGUAGGAGCACGGCUUUUUUAUAUCUUGACAAACAGGUUGAUGUUUACUUGUUCAAUAAAUUCAAGACUUGGAAACCAACUCGGUUUGAGAUCAGGGUCUCGACACGAUACCGCCUUGGUCCUCCUAUAUAUACUGCUUAUCGGCCGUGGGCAAAGACACACUGAAACAAGCUAGGGUUUUGCCUCAUCUCGCAACUUGCGCUGCCACCGUAGUCUACUCCAUCCUGAACACCGGCGUGCACCGACGUGCAGGAGAGCAAGUCUCCAAAAUCAUCUGUCAUUGUGAUCUUACACUAGGAGAGGACGAAUUGGUUUUUUGGAAAGAGCUUUGCGCGACUACUCAAGCUUGUCACCACGGAUCGCCUUCCAUUCAAGUCGGGCAGCGUCAUGUACUAACGUCUCCAACGUAAUCUACUUAAUUCGGUCUUCACCAACAACGUCAUCAACAACAUCACUCUAGGAGCUAUGACUACUAACGAACAAUAUGUGUGUUGUGAUAUGUUCAUGCCUAUAAUUAUGGUUGUCAUUGUGCAUGUUUUUCUGUUCAUCUAGUAUGCUAGACUCUUGCAUGCUAACUAUUGUUAUAGUCAUGAAUUACUUACUGCAAUUAAUCGCAGAAUUGUUUAAUAUUCUAACAUCUUCUCCAUGCCGCCUUGGUCCCCUCAUUUCCUUCGUCUGGUGGCCUCACCGGAGGCAAGAGGACUGGAGACCUAUAUGUUUUUUUUCUUUUGCUUGGGUUUAUUUCCCUGACGACAUCGAUGAGGUGGUGGCGACUGUGGCCUAUUGGAAUAAGGUCUCCUCAUGCCUCGACGACAUCCAAUCCGACGCUGACGAAUGGCCUAUGAGAGUUUGUGUCCCCAUGUCUGUUGGCUCUCUUCAUAUAUUGGCGGUCUAUUAAGGAGAGCCAUUGCAUGACUAUUGGUGAGGUGACUUCGACAUCUUUUUCCGUGUGAUUCUGUGGCAUGAUCUGAUUUCUCUAACUCCCUGGACCGAUGAUGAUAGAUUGCAAAGUCUAUACUACGUAGGAUGAUGCUUCAACCGAUGCCUGUUCGGUGAUUUCUAGAUCUCGUCUCAUGGGGCGAGUAAUGCCUGGUAUUGCGAGGACGUUUGCAGAUGUCCCUUUUCUUUGUUGUUGACUUGGUGCGAUUUUCAAUCUUCGGCGGGUGGCGUAUAAUUGAAGAAAGAAGAAGACUAGUAUGAUUUUCAAUAUAAUUUUGAUCUUUACUGACCGUUCUGUGACCAGUUGUCUUUCCAUUGCAUUGGCUAUUUUUAUAUACUCCCUCUGUUCCAUAAUAUAAUGUGUACAUAUAUUUUGCAAUGUCAAAUUAUACAAUCUUUGACCAAGUUCAUAGGAAAAACUAUUUAUAUCUGCGACACCAAAUAUAUGAAAUAUGAAACUAUUUCUUAUAAUGAAUUUAAAUGAUACAUGAUUGGUGUUCUAGAUGUAAAUGUUUUUCUUCAGAAACUCGGCCAAAGUAUAUGAAGUUUUAAUAUUUUAGAAAAUAUAUAUGCACUACAUUAUGAAAGGCAGGGAGUAUAUAAUUAUCAGACCUAAGAUACUCUUUAGGUGUCUUUUCUUUGUAAAAAAAUGCCCAAGGGUUGUGGGAAUAACGACUGUGCUUUUCAUAUUAUAGUGAACUUGAACUCUGUACAAGAGCUGUGGGAAUAAACAACUGUUUCCUUGUAAAUGGGCUAUUUGGAAAUGUAGAUCCUCCUAGUGUCAUAGCUCAAGUAGCUCCUUAGAGCUAUGCGCGCUGCUGCCCAACUACUGCAGCAUGUGACGGGCAAGAUUUUUUUGCGGGAAUAGUGGACGGGCGCCCAUGGUAUUGAGGAUUCUAUCCCUGCAUCGACGACGCUGCGAGCCUGCGCCCCCAGUUUUUACACAACUGUUCCCUGUAGCCAUGUUCUUGUUUCGGGUUUUGCCAAUUUACGUUUACGUAGCAAACGUUUAGACCUGAAGGAUGAUGAUAUCCUUUGCAUGAAUGAAGUCGGGAGGUAUCCUCCUCAAUUCGAAAACAAAAAAAUAAUUACCUUGAAAACUAAAAUGAAAGUCCACCUUCGAUGAUCACUCAGGUGUUUGACAUUCGGAACUUGUGUCCCCUCCUCUGACUUUCAGUGAUCAUUGCGAUGUUUGACAUGCGAAACGUGUGCCCCCUGCUCCCCUCUGGCACUCUUUGCUUGUGCCGACUCUUGGGAUCCGGAAAUGCCACAGCACCAAAUUCUUCUUUACGACCACCAGUUUGCACGGAUAAUUUAAUUAAUUAAUUUAACAAUAAUUAAGAGCAUAUUCGUCGUUGUUUGCGUGCACUGCGUUCCUUAAUGGAGCCAGCCGUUGACCUACCGACAAACAGGGGACGGUUGCUUUUGCUUGCCUCGGCUCGUCGGGCAAACCCCAUGCGUCAAGGAAUGGUGAAACUCGAGUAAUGAUGAAACUGCGUCAUCGCCUCGUUGCUUCAAGCAACGGAUAUCCAAGAAAUAGAAGCAACGGCGUUAAUAGAUGGGGAAAGGAAAAUCAUGUGUUACGGUUGAACCAUGCACAGCUACAUCCUACAUAGGGCAAAGCAUCGCAGCGAGGAUACAUCCAACAACAGUGCAUCUCACUAUUCGGUACUCUUAUCGCAUCAUAUCACAGUGCUGUGACGGGACACCGCUGCCACGGAUAUCCAAAACAAAAUGAUGAACAGCUCAAUGAUCAACACUGGUGUGCCCCGCAGAACAAAAGAAAACUAGUAACAUCACAGCCACUAGUAUAAAGGGAAAGGGGAAAACGUCAGCGCCACUCAGAUGAUAAUAAUUAAACCGGGAAAUGGCAGAAUCUUUGCAGGCCAAUGAUUUGUUUUUGCACGCAUUAGUACUAAUAUGAAAAAUUAAAGCUGAAGUCGCAUCACGCAUUAUUGCAAAAUAACAAAUCCCUGCCAAGUGCCAACGGUCACAAAAGGCAGGGCCUACGAAACAUCAACACAUGCAAAGGCAAAGGGAUAACAUGCUUCGUGCAGAAGAAUUUAUUAUAAAUAUAGUAAUAGUGCACCGCAGCUACUGUGAAGAUAAACAAUAAUUAUAUGCACCCGGAAUCCAGACAAAGCGAGUCCUCCAGAGAUGCCUGGCUUAUAUAGGCAGGCAACUGCGGGGGAGGCAACACAAAGCAAAGCAAAGCAAAGCAGUCCAGUGAAGAAAAGCCAUAG